AUGCAUUGCUUCCAUUUUUCAAAUCAACUGACAAGUGAUUGAAGGGGGCAUCAUCAACAUCAUCAACAGAGAUGGAGAGAUUCUGGAGCAGAUCAGCAGGGUUUGUAUAUGAUCUUUGGUGGUUGCUUUCUUUUGUGAUUUUUUUUUUCUUCCUGUCAUUUUAUCAUUUCUUUGUCUCUUUUUUUAUUGCUGAUGUUAGUGUAUGCUUACUGUUGCUUGACAAAGUUCGCUUGCUUCUUGUUUAUUAAAUUUUUUAUCGUCACAAAAUAUUACUUGUUCUAUUUGAGAGUGAUGUGAAUCAAUUUUCAAUUAUAUAUUUUGUGGUCAAUGUGAAUUCAAUUUCAUUUGUCUCCUGCAAUUAUGAGAAAACUGCAGAGUCAUAAUAUGGAAAAGUACACCAGCAAAAACUUUGUAAAAGCUUCGGAGUGAAACAGGGAAUUCACUUACUACUAAGAACAAUUGAUGGCGAGUUAUUCCAUUCAUUUUAUGUCCAUCUAUCUAUUUAAUUAUUAAAGAUAAAUGGUCCAUUUAUAAAUUUCAGAUUGUCUCUCUCUGAAAAUAACAAUAUUUAAAAUAUCUCUUAAAUUAUUAUAAAUUUUAAUACACUCUCGAUUUAAAAUGGAACAUGCUGAUGAAAUUGUUUUCUUCUUAAUAAAAUUGAAAUAAAUUGUGUUUGCAGUAGUUUGAAAUAUUUUAAAGAUUAUUAUUUUAUAAGGGAGUAAUAUGAAAUGAAAUUUACUUUUCAUGCGUGAAAUGUUGAAAAAGGACAAAGCAAGUGUCCCUGCUUUUAUUUUUAUUUUAAAGUGGAGUCAUCUCACAUACUUUAGCUCUAUCAUUACAAUUUUUCAGGUUACAUUUUUAUUAUUUAUUUAUUUUCUUUUUUACACAUGCAUGUGGGUUACUUUUCCGUAAGCUCCUCAAUAUAUAUUGAACCCAGCGAAGAAUGUUAUGGAAGAGCAAAUUAAUGAUAUUUCUGAUAGAGUCUAUUUGAUUAUGUAGCCUGAAUGGAUGUCUUGUUGAAAGAUAUCUCAGUGCAUUAGUUCAUCCUUGUCUGUCAAUGUGUUUUUAAUGGUUUUUCCAAUUGUUUAUUAUUAUAGAUUGAUUGUAAAUUGAUAUGAAAAUUUGAUAUGAAUUUAAUGUUGAAAUGUUUUCUCUUUAGUGGAAUGAAUUUAAAAGUGCAAAAGAUUAUUGCACACAGAGAAAUAAACAUAUAUGCUUUAUAACUUUAGCAAUCGAUUCUUUUACAGCUGGAAACAGAGAUGAUGAUUAUCAUAAGGAUGAAGAAAAGUAGUGCGUUAGACGAUUAGACUCUCUUAUUAAAGGCAAGUAUAAAGUAGUGAAGAAUCCAAUAUCUCUAUUGUCUAGUCUUUUGUUUAAUUCUUCUUUUAUUAUUUUUCAGAAUAAUUUUUGGUGAUUACAAUCGGGUUAUUAUUCAGAGUUAUUGUUAUCUUCUGGGGCAGUUUCUGUUCAUCGAAUUCAUUAAUUAAAAUUUUAGAACUCUUAUCAGAAGAAUAUUUUUCGGUUAUCUUUUUUAUGUUCUAAUUCCAAUUGUAAGAAGUAGCCAUUUUAGAAUUUGGGUCUUGAAUCGAAUUUCAAUGCAUGAAUUAAUAUUAAAAAAAAAAAAUUCACUACUCGCAGUUUAGGUUACAAAUUACUUUUUGGAAAGUUGACUUUGGAAUGUUUGCAAAGAAAGAGACUAACAUAUUUCCAAUUACACUAAAUCUCUAUUAUGAUAAUGUUAAGACUAAAUUAAUUUAAAUAAUUUUUAUUUGAAAAUUAUAUCAAACGCAGUCUAAUUUUAUUAAUUUUAAGAAAUAAUAAUUAUAAAAAUUAUUGUUCUGACUUAAUUAAUACAAGUGAUAUAAAAGUUAAGUGUGCACUAAAUCUGUUUUAAUUUUUUCCAGUAUAACUAACAGAGGUCAUUACUAGAAUUAUAUUACUAGUCUAUUAGAUAGAAAAAAUUACUUAUAUUGUUUUAUAUUUAUUAAAAAAUUUAAAGCCAAUUUUUUUAAUUACUAUUUAAAGAAUAUUAUAAUUUGAAAAAUUUUAAUAUCUUUAUUAAAAAUUUAGAAAUUUACAGUCCUCUAAAUAUUUAAGGCGUAACUGUCAUUUUCUCAAGAAGCUUUAUUUAAUAUUAUUGAUUUAAAUAAUAUCUUAUUAAAAAUGUACUGAGGAGAAAUUUUGGUGGGUAUUUUAGUCUUUUCAGCAAUCAUCAUGAUUAACCUUUGGUUGGCCUUGAAACGUCGGUCAGAAAAGUUUUAAAAUGCUUAAUUGUUUUUCACUGUUAACGUUAGUGGCCUUGAAAUUGCUUAUAUUUUAUUAAAAAUUAAUGCUAACAAGAAAAAACUAGAUCGUAUUCCACCCCCAAAGCAAAAGUGAUAAAACAACCGGCUGUAUUCUUUUAUUAAACUACAAAUUAAAAUGGAUUUCUUUAAUUAAAGUGGAUAUCAUUUAAUUAAUGUUUGAACAUUAAAGUUCUGAUAUAUAACCACUAUGCCGACCACCUAAUUGCUGCUAUUUAAUUUCGUUCCAGUUCUCUCUCUCUCUCUUUUUCUUUUUUUUUUGGGCCAAGCAAUAAAUAGUAAAAAUUCAAUAAAAGCAAUAUUAAUGCUGCAAGUGAGUCAUGUUAUUUAUUGUCAAUUAGGAAAUGUGAACCUAAUUUGAUUGCAUCCCUUUAAUCAUUUAAUAAUUAUGUAAGCACCAUCCCUUUAAUUAUUUAAUAACUAGAAAAUAGAACACUGCGUUUCACGCGGCUUUGAAAAAAGAAUUUAGUAUUAUCUUUUUUUCUUACUUUACACUUGAUGAAACUGAUAAAAAAUAUGAAUUGAUUUUUUUUAAAGAUGAGGCAGCCUUAUAAAAAAUAAAAAAAGCUAUUAGCCAGCAAUACAAAUAAAGAAGGAAUGCAAGAUAAAGAAUAAAAUGAGAGAAUAUAUUAUAGAGUGAUCUUAUUCAUUCUAAUUGUGUGUGUACAAAACAAAAAGAUGAGCUCUCCUUUUAUAACUACAUAAUUACUUCAUGAAAUUAAUGAAAAAUUAUGAAUCAUAAUUUCUUGUGAGAUAGUGGGAGUUAUUGGGAAGCUAAAAGUUGCUAAUGGGAGAUAGUGGGGAGACUAAGAGAUAUAUAUUAUGAACAUCUACAUUUAUUUUAAUAAAUUCAUAACACUCCCCCUUAAAUGUUCAUUACAAAGAAUAUGCCUCAUUAAAAUCUUUACAUAAUUGUUAUUGUGUAAUAACAAUCAAAUUAAUUAUAAGAAGAUGAAAAGCCAAAUCUAACAGAAAAUUUCUCUAUUUAUUAGAUAAUAGAGAAUAUAGCAAGAUGAGAAAUGGUAAUGCCACAUCAUCUCCUCACGUCCCAACUUUAUAUAUAUAUAUAUAGAUAAUAUAUAUUAUUCCUGUCCUACAUUCACAUAUUUAAUUGUCCUUUUGAAAAUAUUCAUGAGUUAGGCCAAGUAAAGUCAAAGAAAUUGGGAAAAAGGAACAAAAGGACAAACCUAAAUUAAUUGAACCUAAUUCAUGAAAAUGCACACUUUUGUGUUGCGGACGGCGGACCCUAAAGCUUCGUUGUUUGCAGCUGCAAUUAAUUCUUUUCCUUCAAAAGUUAGAGGCUCGUGUUUACAGUGGGUCCCGAAUCGGACGUACCUAAUAAAUCUUUUAAAAAAAUUUGCCGUAUAAAGGACAGAGGUCAUUACUGAAAUUUCUCUUCCACGGGCAAUUACAGCAGCUUCAGUUAAUCAAACUCAAAUCAAUUUUCUUUCUUAACAAAAUAUUCCAAAGAUGUGUAGCAUUUUUCAGAUCACAUGCGAUGGUGCUUUUUUCAAUCGUUGCUUGGAUUGCUUUCUUGGAAAAGCAGCAUACAUACGUAACCUCCAAGAUAAUCUUGUAGCCUUGGACACUGAAUUGGGAAAUCUGAUCGCUAAAAAGAACGAUGUGAUGAGGAGGGUUGUCGAUGCUGAACGGCAACAAAUGAGAAGGCUGGACGGAGUGCAAGUGUGGGUUUCGAGGCUCGAUGCUGUUAAAACUGAAGCCGAUGAACUUAUCACAGACGGCUCUCGAGAAAUUGAAAAAUUAUGUGUUGGAGGCUACUGUUCCAAGAACUGCAGGUCAAGCUACAAAUUCGGAAAACAAGUGGCAAGAAAGCUACGAGAUGUGGAGACUUUAAUCGCCGAGGGAGUUUUUGAGUCGGUGGCUGAGAGAGCUCCGGAACCUGUGGCAGAUAAAAGACCCACUGAGCCAACAAUAGUAGGCUUGCAAUCACAGCUUGAACAAGUUUGGAGAUGUCUUCUUGUAGAAGAAUCAGCGGGAAUCAUUGGCCUAUAUGGUAUGGGCGGUGUUGGUAAAACCACACUGUUGACCCAUAUCAACAAUAAAUUUCUUGAGAGUCCCACCAACUUUGAUUGUGUGAUUUGGGUCGUAGUUUCAAAAGACCUGCGACUUGAAAAAAUUCAAGAAGAUAUUGGGAAGAAGAUAGGUCUGUUUGAUGGUUCGUGGAAGAAUAAAAGUGUUGAGGAGAAAGCCGUAGACAUCUUGCGGAGAUUAGGAGAGAAGAGGUUUGUAUUGUUGUUAGAUGAUUUAUGGGAGCGGGUUGAUUUAACAGAAGUGGGCGUUCCACUUCCCAGCCCACAAAAAUACUACAUCAAAGUCGUAUUCACGACCCGUUUCAUUGAUGUGUGUGGUAGCAUGGAAAGUCACAGGAAGUUUAAAGUGGCAUGCUUAUCAGAAGAGGAUGCUUGGGAGCUGUUUCGAGGAAAAGUAAGGCAAGAAACUCUUGAGAGUCAUCAUGAUAUCGUUGAGCUAGCCCAAACUGUGGCCAGAGAGUGUGGCGGUUUGCCACUCGCGCUUAAAACUAUAGGUCGAUCUAUGGCCUACAGAAAGACAGCUAAGGAGUGGAGACAUGCAAUUGAAAUGUUAAGGAGAUCAGCUUCAGAGUUUGCAGGUUUGGGAGAAAAGGUGUAUCGUCUUUUAAAGUUUAGCUAUGAUAGUUUGCAGAAUGAUACGAUUAGAUCUUGUUUCUUAUAUUGUUGUUUGUAUCCUGAAGAUUAUGGCAUUCUUAAAUGGGAUUUGAUUGAUUGUUGGAUUGGUGAGGGAUUCUUAGAGGAAUCUGACAGGUUUAGUGCAGAAAACCAAGGAUACUACAUUGUGGGCACUCUUGUUCAUGCAUGUUUAUUAGAAGAGGUGGAAGAUGAUAAAGUAAAAAUGCAUGACGUUGUUCGUGAUAUGGCUAUAUGGAUAACCGGUGAAAUUGAGAAGGAGAAGCGAAACUUUUUGGUUUGUGCAGGUGCUGGAUUAAAAGAGGCACCGGAUGUUGAAGUAUGGGAAAAUGUGAGAAGAUUGUCAUUGAUGCAAAACCAAAUUGAAACUCUGUCAGAGGUUCCCACAUGCCCUCAUCUUCUCACUUUAUUUCUUGACUUUAAUAGGGAGUUGAAGACUAUUGCGGAUGGCUUCUUCCGAUGUAUGCCUUCUCUCAAAGUUUUGAAGAUGUCAAACUCUGGAAAGCCUUGGAAAGGUUUGGAAUUAAAUUUGGGGAUGCCAAAGUUGGGUUCACUACAGCUUCUUGAUAUUUCACACACCUGCAUACAAGAUUUACCGCAAGAAUUAAAGUUGUUGGUAAAUCUGAAAUGUUUGAAUUUGAGGCGGACAAUUUGGUUAAAUAAAAUUUCAUGGCAACUAAUAUCAAAUUUUUCAAGGUUACGUGUGUUGAGAAUGUUCGCUACUGGCUGGUUCAAUUUUCAUGAAGCACCAGAAGACAGCGUUUUAUUUGGUGGGGGUGAAGUUUUGAUACAGGAAUUGCUCGGUUUGAAAUAUUUAGAGGUAUUGGAGUUGACCUUGGGAAGUUAUCAUGCUCUCCAAAUUCUUUUCAGCUCAAAUAAGCUAAAAAGUUGUAUUCGAUCUCUUUACCUCCAGUUGACCGGAGAUACAGCGUUAAUUAUUGAUGCUACGGCUUUCGCAGAUCUAAAACACCUCAAUGAAUUACGCAUUGAGUCGGCUACAAAGCUGAAAGAAUUGACGGCUGAUUAUACAGAGAUAGUUCGAAAAAGGCGGGAACCUUUUGUUUUCCGCAGCCUUCACCAUGUUACUAUACAAAGCUGCCAGAAGUUGAAAGAUUCGACAUUCCUCGUUUUUGCUCCAAACCUCAAGUCUCUUUCGAUAGUCAAAUGCAAUGCUAUGGAAGAAAUAAUCAGCGUCGGAAAAUUUGCUGAGACUCCUGAGAUGAUGGGACAUAUAAGUCCUUUUGAAAAUCUCCAAAUGAUUGAUUUACUAGGUUUGCCACAUUUGAAGAGCAUCUUCUGGAAGCCAUUGCCUUUCACUCAUCUGAAAGAAAUAUCUGUGCGUUAUUGCCCUAAUCUUAAAAAGCUUCCACUCGAUUCCAACAGUGCAAAGGAGCGUAAAUUUGUUAUUCGUGGAGAAGAAGACUGGUGGAACCCACUUCAAUGGGAGGAUGAAGCCACUCAAAUUGCUUUUCGUUCCUGUUUCCAACCCUUGUUCCUGAACAGUGGUCGCAAAAUUUGAUUUCUGGUGAGUGCGUUUGUCUUUUAAAAAGAAUAAUUUAAAAGAAAUUUAUUCUUGUCGGUUUCUUCACUGUUUUUAUUUCAGUUUCUCUCUCUCUCUCUCUCUCUCUCUCUUUUUGUCUUCUGCAAAUCACAAUUACAUUUUUAUUCUUGUCGUUUUCUUCACUGUUUUUAUUUCAGUUUCUCUCUCUCUCUCUCUCUCUCUUUUUGUCUUCUGCAAAUCACAAUCAAAUGUUGAAUUAAUGGAAUUAAUGCUUCAUAAAUUUGCCGGCACUGCCAUUACUUUUUUUUGGGGGAUCGAAUUGAUACUUUAUUUAUAUCUUCUUAGCGAUUUAAUUUCCUGUCAAAAGACGAACGAGAAGAACAUAUGACUUAAACCAAUGCUCGCAUAAACUUGCUGUAAAAAGAUAUAAUCUCACUGAAAUGCACACGCCUAGAAUGAAUAGAAUUAAAACAGGGAAAAUAUUAAGUAUAUUAGCCCUCUUUACUGAAAAUCAAAUGACAGUAAAUUUUUUGAAGUUUUGAUUUUCUAUGGUCAAUUCCACCUUUUGCAAUUUCUUCUGUUCUAACAAAAACCAAUUUCUUUGUUCAAGUAUUUUCGUUUGGAUAUUAAUAAUUCUCCACCGAAAGAGUGAACUCUUGCUCAAAGGGAUCUCUAAUAAUACAUAACAUGAUUAUUUUCGUUUGAAUAAUUGAUUUCUUGAUUGAAUUGUCGUGUAAUUGAUUUAUGGGGGAUGACACAUCAACAUACUUGAAAAUACACUAAUCUCAGCAUCAUCGGUUAAUAACUUUUAGAUUUAUGGGUAAUCAAUAGUUAAGAUUAGUUGUCAUUAAUACUAAAUAAUUUUUACUUUUUUUGUCUCUUCUAGAGGAUCUUCUAGAAAAAUGCAUCCACAAUUAAAUUUAAUACUUUACAUAAUAAACAAAGCCUAAAUGUUAAAUUUAAGAAACUGCAUUGUAUUUCAGUUGAAGUUGACUUUAAUAUUUAGGGUAGAAAAACAAUUAAUUUUAUUUUUUGAAAUGUCCAUAUUCAGAGCACAUUUCAAAAAGACUCAAUAAUUUCUCAUAAAUUUCAAUUAAAAAUAUUCAAUUUGUUGUUUCAGUUCUUUUAUUUUUUAUUUUUUCCGACAUGAAAGCGACUUAAUGUUACUAAAUUGGGUGGUCUUUGGAUUUUCAUGACCCAAUAAUUGGAACAAAACAAUUUUCUCAAGCGCUCUCCCGCAACAUUUUAUAAUUGAAGCCGCUGCCCCGCCCGUGGUUUCAAACUUUUUUCUUUCUCCUUGUUUAAAUUAAUGGGAGCAGCCUCCGUCCUUGACUAGUUGACUGCUUGUCUUCUUUUUUUUAUUAAUUAAUUAAUUCAGCCGCCCCCCUUUCUUGUCCCAAUAUCUUCUACUUUCGGUUUCCUUUUAUUAUCUCUUUAUUUUUAAAAAAUGCUUAUAAUAAUAAUAAAAUAUAAAAUAUAAAAAUAAAAAUAUAAUUUAUCAGAAAAUUAAGAUAAAGAAAUAUUAUAAGCACAUCAAUCAACAAGUGAAAAAAAAACAAUUUUAAUUUACAUUAAAUAUAAACUUUCAGUGUUAAUCAACUUUUCUAAAUAACUAAAUUAAAAAAUUAAUUGAUUUAAUUGUGGUGUAAUUGAUUUGUAGGGGAUGAAUCAGCAGCAUCAUCGGUUAACGCUUUCAGAUUUAUAGUUAAUCAAUAGUUGAGAGUUGUUAUCACUAACGCCGUGUAUUUUUUAAUGUUUUUUCUCUCUCCUACAGCAUCUUCUAGGAAAGUGCAUCCGUUGCUAAAAUUUAGUAUCGUAAAUAAUAAACCAAGAAUAAAUAUUAAAUCUAAGAAACUGUAUUGCAUUUAAUAUUUAAGGGAGAAAAAUAAUUAUAGUGUCUUUAUUAAUCAGUAAAAAAAAAAAUUAGAAUCAUAAUAAAUUGUAUUGUUAUUGAUGUAUUUAUUUUAUUUUAUACUCAAAAUAAAUUAUUUUAAAUUAUUAAAAUAAUUUAAAAUUAGUAUUUUAUUUUAUACUCAAAAUAAAUAAUUUAAAAUUUUCAUUUCUUGUUUAUUUCGCAAGUUGUUAUUGCCUAAUGCUAUGUCAACUCGAACAUUAGCAUUUUUUUUUUUGGUCCUCUUUUAACGCAAAAUUAGUGUAGGUUAAGUAACAUAAUCAAUAUUAGGACAAUUUGAAAUCCCUAUGGGUGCGUUUGGUACACUGUAUUGUAUUAUACUGUAUUGCAUUAUUUUAAUGCUGAUGUAUUGUAUUAUGUUGUAUUGCAUUAGCACUGUAUUAUAACAAUGCUAUACAAUAUUUGGUGUUACAUUGUACUGUAUUAGAUUUUAAUUAUAUUAUAUUUAGUGUUACAAUUGUUGUAACAUAAACACGACCAAAAUAAAUUGUACUAAAUAAUCUAAGUAAGAGUUCUGUAGUAUAUGUAAUAAUACUAUUUAUAUUAUUAUUAUUAAUAAUUCUAAAUUAAUAUUAUUUAAUUUUAUUCAUAUUUAAAUAUGUAUUAUUAGUUUAUUAAAUUAUUUAAAAUAAUUAAUUUAUAUAUAUUAAUUAUUGUAACUUAAUUAAAUAAUGUAAUGCUAUAUUAUAUUUUUAUAUACUAUUUAAGUAUUUAUUAUUAAUUAUAUUUAAUUAUAAAUUUAUUAAUAAAUUAUAAUAUAAAAAUAAAAAAUAAAAAUUAAUAUUGUAUAAUAUUAUAUUAAAUUAAAGUUUUAUUUUUAUUACUAUUAUUAUAAAGUAAAAAAAAAAAAAAGGGAAGCUACUGACUUUUGAAACACAAAAGUCAGUAAUACAACCUAAUCACGAGGGGGGGCGCGGGUUUUGAUAAUGCGGCAAAAGCUGCAUUGUAAUGCUGCUCAAUGCAAUCCAUUUGAUCACCAAACACAGGUAUAUUUUAACUAAUGCUGGGCCCACAAAAUAAUACAAUGCAAUUCCGCAUGCCAAACAUACCCUAUGGGUGCGUUUGGUACACUGUAUUGUAUUAUACUGUAUUGUAUUAUUUUAAUGCUGGUGUAUUGUAUUAUGCUGUAUUGCGUUAGCAUUGUAUUAUAAUAAUGUUGUACAAUGUUUGGUGUUACACUGUACUGUAUUAAUUUUUAAUUAAACUAUAUUUGGUGUUAUAUUGUAUUGUAUUAAUUUUUAUAAUUAAUUAAAUUAAAUAAUUAAAAAAUAAUAUUUAUUAAUACUUAGAAAAAUAAUAAAUAUAGAAAUCUUAAUUGUAGAAAUUUAACAAAUUUUUUAGUAAAUAUUAAAAAUUAAUGAUUAAAUUUCUAAAAUUUGUAUUAUAAUUAUGAUAAAAUAAAUUUAUAAAAUUUAAUAUUAUAUGUAAAUAAUAAAUUUAGAUUAUAAUUAAUAUUAUAAUUGUUAAUAUAAAUUAAUAAAUUAUUAUUCAAUAAUAUUCAAUUAUAUUUUAAUUUACAAUAUAUUAUUAUUUUUACAUUUUAAUAUAUUAAUAAAUUUAUAAUUUAACAUAAAUAAUUAUAAAUUUAAAUAAUAUUAAUUUUAAAAUUAAUAUUAAUGUAAAUAAUAUUAUAAUAUUAAUAUAUUAUUUUUAUAUGAAUCAUUAAUAAAUAAAAUAAUAUUAUCAUAUAAUUUAUUUUUAUAUUUUAUUCAUUAUAUUAAUAUUUAAUAAUAAAAUAAUUUAUUUUUAUAAUAUUUUAAUAAAAUAAAUUUGCCUCAAUUGAGGCAUUAACUGUUGCCUCAAUUGAGGCAAAAAGCUUCCGCAUCCCUCGGGUUUGCGUAAUGCGGCCCCAUGCCUCAUUAUGCUGCAUUAUAAUGCAGCAUAAUGAGGUGUCAAAUUUUGCCAAACAUGUUCUUGGUAAUAAACUAAUGUGAAUAGUAGUAUAAUACCACAUAAUCUCAUGCACCAAACACGCCCUAUGUGUAUUAUUCACGGUAUCUAUGAGGGCUUAUCCUUUUGCUAGAACAAACUCUAGCAAAUUGUCAAAUGUGCUUAUCCUUUCCCUUGACGACUCAUUUUAAAAUUGUCACUCAUUUUAAAAUUGUCUUUCAAUGCACAAACACAGACAUAACCGCCGACAUCGAGCACCAAGUUUGGAAUUUAAUUGAUAAGCAUACAUUUGAUAAAUUAAUGAAAAGUUUGGAGAGUAGUUUUGAUCACCCUUGAUUAGGACGGUAUUACAAAAAAGAUCAAAAAGAAAACAUCGUCUCUCUUCACAAAAAUAAAUAUUUUCCGUUAGAAUUUAAUACAAUAAUAUUUUUUUUGAUUAAAAUUUAAUUAAAUACACAAAUAAAUUAUAUAUUUUUUAAAAAAAUUUACACCCAGUCACAAGGCUGGCUAUUAAACUUAAAGGGUGGAAGCUUCGGAGACUAAAGUUGGUAACUUCUCCAAGUGGUCUUAAGUUGACCGGAACUACCCAGACUUUAUGUUUGGUAGCCUAGACCUGAUCGGACCUAGGCCCAAGUUUGGUCUUAAAGUCCACAAUUAAAUUAAAAAAAAAUUAUUUGAUUUGUAAUUGAUUUAUGGGGAAUGAAUCCGCAGCCCUAAAAUUACACCAAUCUUGACAUAAUGACAUCAUCGGUUAAAAACGUUCAGAUUUAUGGUUAAUCAAUGGUUUGAGAUUUGUUAUCAUUAAUGCUAGAUAUUUUUUAACAUUUUUUUCUAUCUCUCUUCUCCUGAAGGAUUUUCUAGGAAAAUGCAUCCACAACAAAAAUUUUAAAUUGUAAACAAUAAACAGAGUAUAAACGUUAAAUCUAAGGAACAUCGCUGCAUUUCAGCUGAAGCGAACUUUAAUAUUUUACGGAGAAAAAUAAUUAAGUCUUUAAUGUGAUUUAUUGAUUAAUAUAUAUGACUAAUUUUUUAAAAGAAGAUGAAGGAUGAAGCUUAAAAAUAUAAAUUAUAGAAUUAAUUUAUCUCUUCAAUAAAUCUAAAGUUUAUUUUUUUUAUUACAUGCUUCUAUUUUAUUUUUAUUCCAUGUUAAUGAAUGGAGAUUUAAAUCCAUUUUGGAUUUAUAAAGAUGUUUAGAUAUUUAAAUCCACGUGUGAUUCCAAACUUGAACCUUUUUUUUUUUUUUUUCUAAUUAAUGCAAACAGCCGCCUCUUUGACUGCUUUUCUUCUUUGUUUAUUAAUUAAUUAAUUCAGCUGCCCACCUUUCUUUUCCUAAUGUUUUCUACUCCCAAAUUUUUUUAAGGACAAGGCUACGUUGCAGACGCUGUACCUAACAGCUGCACCUUCGCCAGCUUAAAAAAGGGUGCAUUUGGUAAGCAACUUUUCUUUCGUGUGCAUAUGUGUCCUGCCACCAUUGGGUGUGUACGUAACAGAUAAUGUACCGUAACAAGCUCCUAUUUUUAAAUUUGUUUAUAAUGAUAAAAUAUAAAAAUUAAGAUUAAAAUGUAAUGUAAUGUAAAAUUAAAGGUGGAAGAGUAUUAAAAUAAGGCUAAACCUAUGUUACGUUUAACGUAACAUACAUUUAAAUAUAUAAAAUAUCAAUGGAAACCCUCAAAUUUUAUGGAAACUAUAUUAAUAAAAUUAAAAGAAAUAUUUUUAAAUCUGAAAGAAGAAAUAAAAGAUAUAAAGCAAGAGAUAGGAAAACUAAAAAUAGAAAUAUCUGUAAAAGAAAAAGGAAAAGAAAAAUUAGAAAUAAAAGAAACAACUCCAACUGAAUCGAAUUCAGACUAAUGGAAGAUGUAUUAGAAACUUUAACUGAAAAAUUCAGUGACAUAAAUCUUAGUGAUUUAGAAGACUUUGAAAAAGAAUAUUAGAUAAAAAUGAAUACUGCUGGAGGACCAGAAAUGAAACCUAAUGUAGCAUAACCAAGUCAUAGAUAUGGUAUAAAUAAAAUGAAAAAUAAACCUUUUUACGAGUAUAUACCUCCUAUUAAAAAUACUCCUUGGAAAAAAGAAUACAAACCAAAUCAAGAUACAUUAACCCCAAUAAAUAAUGCUGGAACAUUUUUAAAUCUAGAUUGUAAGAUAGACAUUCGAAAGGCGUUAGCAGAAUGGGUGUUACAAAUGAAAUUAUUUUUUAUAUUUAACGGGUCAAAGGAUGACUAGAAUGUAGAGACUGAAGAAGAAAAAAUAGAUAUAUUUGUUGAAAUCUUAAUAGCCAGUUUUUCAGGAAAUGUGUUUAAUUGGUGGAGAGGAUUAAGCGAUGAUACACAAAACUUAAUAAAAGAUUCAACCAAAUAGCAUUUAGAAAAAAUAAAGCCUUAGGAAUGGAAAGGAUAACUGAAUACAUAGCUAGUGAAUUUUUAGGAGAAGAUUGGCUAGAAAAAUCGGGCAUAUAUGAAAAUUUAAAAAUUUAUGAUAAAAAGAUCUUAGUGUUUUUAUUAAAAAAUUAAAAUUUACAUGACUAUUUCUUUAAAUAUUUAGGGCAUAUAUGAACCACGGAGGAGAAAAGCUUUAUUUAAUAUUUUAGAAUAGUUUUUGAUCAGUACAAUUGGGUCCUUAUUCAGAAUUAUUGUUCUCUUCCGCAACAGUUUUUGUUUAUCAAAGUCGUCAAUUAAAAUUUUAGAAUUCUUAUCAGAAGAAGUAGUCGUUUUAGAAGUUGGGUCUUGGAUCAAAUUUCUACGAGUGCAUGAAUUAACAAUAAAAAAAUUUCAUUACACACGGUUUAAGCUACAAACUACUAUUUGCACAGUUGACUAUAAAACUUACCUCCAAUUACACUAAACCUCUCUAUUUGGUAACGUUGAGACUAAAUUAAUUUUAUUAGCAUGAAAAGAUGAUAGAAAUAUAAUUAUAAAUAUUAUUGUUGUUAAUCAAUUAGUACAUGUGAUAUAAAGGUUAAAUGUGCACUAUAUUUAAUAAUUAAUUAGUGGAGCAUGUUAAACAAAAUGUUAAUGUAUAUUUAUAUAGUGUUAGGAAUAUGCAAAGUCAAGUCCUCAAUUUGCAUUAUCCUGUAUAGAAUAUUACUCUAAAAAUGUUUUACUAUAAUUGGCUUAGAACAUUUGUAAAGAAAAAUAAUAAUAAAAUAAUAAAUAACAUACACCGUCACAUAGCACCUAGACAAUGAUAGAAAAUUAUUAAAGAGAGUGCAAACAAUUAAUUAGAGAUUUUUAUGAUGACUUUUAAUAUUCAUGAUAAUAACAAAUAAAUACAUGUAUCACUUUUUUAAAAUAUUAAAUUUGACUGCUCCAUUAAUAAAUUAUUAUUGUAAUUCAGACUCUAUCUAUAUAUCCUUGCACUAAGAAUAAUUAAGGUAACGUUUGUUUUUUAACUUAAUGACUUAAAGUGACUUAACUUAAUUAAUUAAGUUAAUUAGAGGUGUUUGUUUUAUAACUUAAUGAGACUUUUUAGAUAAUUUUGACUUAAUAAAAUAAGCUAAUUUUUUUUGGCUUUUUACUUAAUGGAGAAAUCUGAAUUAAGUCAAUUACUUGCUAAUGUCAAAAAUAUCCUUGUUUUAUAAUUUAUUUUUCAUGUCUAUCCCAAAACUCGCCCGUAGAUAUUUACCCCACAUAAAAAUAUCCCUGUUUUUUUCUUUCUUAUAUUAUAUACGAUAAAAUUUGAAAUUUAUAGUAUUUUAUAUAUUAAAAUUCUAAAAUAAUUAUGUAUUCACUUGAAUAUAGUUUUACUUAUAAAUGUUAAAAUAUGAUGGUAUUUAAUAUAUUAUUUAUUUGACAUUCAAAUUUAAUAAGGAUACAAAUGUAAAAGUACAUAUUUUCAGCUUUUUAAAUUGAAAAAAAAUAACUUAAUAUUUAUUUUCUGAGAUUCAGACGAAAAAAUAAACAUAUUAUUCAGAUUCAUACAUUCAGAUCUAUUCAGAAUUCAAACUAAUUCAAGUCUAUUCAAAUUUUAGACAAAAAAAUAAACGCCACCUAAGUCAUAAUAAAAAUUUUCGUAACUACAUCUCGUUUCUUCCUCAUAAUAAUAAUUAGAUUGGUUCGAAUAUUAUAACUAUAUAGAUUUAGUGUAUAGCCACAUCCAAUUUAAAUAUUGACCCAAUUGGGAUGGUCCCCAAAAAAAAAGAUUCGUUAAAGGAUAAUUCUAAUUAUUUUUACUUCUCAAACGUUAGUGGGACGUUUCUAUUAGCGCACUCGUAAGCCAAGUUGUCAAAUAUUUAUACUAAACUACAAUUGCUAACAAGAAAAAUCAAGAUCGUGUUAAGCAAGUGGGUCCCGAAUAGGACGUGCAAAUCUCUCGUAAGUCAAGUUGUCAAAUGUUUAUAUAAAACUAACAAUUACUGACAAGAAAAAUCAAGAUCGUAUUAAAAAUGGGUCCCGAAUAGGAUUAUCUUUUUAAGAAUAUUAUUAUUUUAUUAUUAAAAUUUUAUUAAUAUAACAGUAUUAAAAUUUAUUAAAAAAUAUAUUUUAUUAUUAAAAUUUUAUACCGUUAUCAAUUUAUUAUUAUUUUAUUAAAAAAAUUAAUAUUUAACAAAAAUUGAGAUAAAAAUUAAUUUUUGUUCUCUGUCUUUAUUUAUUUAUUUAUUUUUUUGGGUCUUCUGCAAAUCACAAUCAAAUGUUGAAUUAUAAAUUUGCCGGCAUUGCUUUUUUUUUUUUUUUUGGGCCGGGGGGUGGUGUUGAAUUGAUGCUCUGGGUUUUUGACUUUUGUUGUCAAAUUUUACUCUGUUUUUCCCAAAUUGAUGCUANNNNNNNNNNNNNNNNNNNNNNNNNNNNNNNNNNNNNNNNNNNNNNNNNNNNNNNNNNNNNNNNNNNNNNNNNNNNNNNNNNNNNNNNNNNNNNNNNNNNNNNNNNNNNNNNNNNNNNNNNNNNNNNNNNNNNNNNNNNNNNNNNNNNNNNNNNNNNNNNNNNNNNNNNNNNNNNNNNNNNNNNNNNNNNNNNNNNNNNNNNNNNNNNNNNNNNNNNNNNNNNNNNNNNNNNNNNNNNNNNNNNNNNNNNNNNNNNNNNNNNNNNNNNNNNNNNNNNNNNNNNNNNNNNNNNNNNNNNNNNNNNNNNNNNNNNNNNNNNNNNNNNNNNNNNNNNNNNNNNNNNNNNNNNNNNNNNNNNNNNNNNNNNNNNNNNNNNNNNNNNNNNNNNNNNNNNNNNNNNNNNNNNNNNNNNNNNNNNNNNNNNNNNNNNNNNNNNNNNNNNNNNNNNNNNNNNNNNNNNNNNNNNNNNNNNNNNNNNNNNNNNNNNNNNNNNNNNNNNNNNNNNNNNNNNNNNNNNNNNNNNNNNNNNNNNNNNNNNNNNNNNNNNNNNNNNNNNNNNNNNNNNNNNNNNNNNNNNNNNNNNNNNNNNNNNNNNNNNNNNNNNNNNNNNNNNNNNNNNNNNNNNNNNNNNNNNNNNNNNNNNNNNNNNNNNNNNNNNNNNNNNNNNNNNNNNNNNNNNNNNNNNNNNNNNNNNNNNNNNNNNNNNNNNNNNNNNNNNNNNNNNNNNNNNNNNNNNNNNNNNNNNNNNNNNNNNNNNNNNNNNNNNNNNNNNNNNNNNNNNNNNNNNNNNNNNNNNNNNNNNNNNNNNNNNNNNNNNNNNNNNNNNNNNNNNNNNNNNNNNNNNNNNNNNNNNNNNNNNNNNNNNNNNNNNNNNNNNNNNNNNNNNNNNNNNNNNNNNNNNNNNNNNNNNNNNNNNNNNNNNNNNNNNNNNNNNNNNNNNNNNNNNNNNNNNNNNNNNNNNNNNNNNNNNNNNNNNNNNNNNNNNNNNNNNNNNNNNNNNNNNNNNNNNNNNNNNNNNNNNNNNNNNNNNNNNNNNNNNNNNNNNNNNNNNNNNNNNNNNNNNNNNNNNNNNNNNNNNNNNNNNNNNNNNNNNNNNNNNNNNNNNNNNNNNNNNNNNNNNNNNNNNNNNNNNNNNNNNNNNNNNNNNNNNNNNNNNNNNNNNNNNNNNNNNNNNNNNNNNNNNNNNNNNNNNNNNNNNNNNNNNNNNNNNNNNNNNNNNNNNNNNNNNNNNNNNNNNNNNNNNNNNNNNNNNNNNNNNNNNNNNNNNNNNNNNNNNNNNNNNNNNNNNNNGAAGGGUCUCUAAUCAAUAGCUGGAAGCAAUUGAGAAGGCGGUUGCUACAGUGAAUUCAAAUGUAAAAUGUUUGCUAUUCUUCGAUUUGGUUAAUGAUUUCGUAUGAAUAUUGUUGUUCCGUUGAGUUGCAUGCGAAUUCAAAUGCAAAAUAUUCUUCGAUUUUCAAUUUUGAAAUCAAAUUUUUUUUUCCUUCUCAAGCAUGUUAUGCAGAAACGAUUGUCAUGUUAUGCAGAAACGAUUUUUACUAAAUCAUUUUUAACAAACUAUUGAAAUUAAACCACUGGAAUAAGAAUUGUAAGGAUUUAUCGUAAGCUUACUAAUACGAUAAUUCUGAAACUAUCACCUUUUUUUUUUUAUUUGUUGCAGGGAAACCCAAAUUUUGUAUUUUGUCAAUUUCAUCUGAUAUGGAAUUUAUUUCCUCCCUAAAGAUUUAUCAAACUGCUUCUCUUCCCUGCUUCAAUAUCUUUAUGCAAUUACGAUCUCAUAGGAAAAGAGAGUUUGGGUUGUAUAUCUUAUAGUAUUUAUUUAUUUUUUGUUAAAAGAAAUUUAUUUUAAAAUAGUUUAUAGCAACAGUUUUUAUUUAACAAUAAUGAGGAAGGAUUAUUAUAGGUUCAAAUAGUUGUUAGAACAUUAUAAAAAAGUCCAUUUACUAUCAAAUGUUUUAAAUUGGUGCAACGUGAUAAUUGUCUCAUAUAAUUUUUUAAGGGUAAAAACUCGUUUCAUUCCCAUAUUUUAAGAUUAUUACUCAUUUAGUCUUUAUAUUUUUAAAAAUGUUUCAAAACAUUCAUACCCUUAAAUUAUUAACAUCUCUGCUGUUACUUUUUAUUUUUUUUUGACUUGUUUUUACAAUAUUGCCCUCUUACAAUAAUGUUUCUUUUUAUAAAAUUAAUAAAAAGAAAAAAAAUUAAAUUAUCAAUUUAACCCCAAAAAUAAAAUAAAAAUAAAAAGAAUAAAUAUUAAUUUUUGUGAAAGUUUACAUGUGUCCAAAAUAAAUUUUAUUGUAAAAAUAAUUAAAUUGCCUUUUUUUUGGACAUUAGUAAUAAAAAAAUUAAUAUAUUAAUUCCUCAGCAGUGUGUUACAAAAAAGUAAAAUAUAUUAAUUUUGUUUUUAUUUUAGACAAUGAGAUAGAGAAAAGUACAAGAUAAAGGAAAGGACUUCAAAACUCACUGUUCAUCAUAAUGCCCUUUGCCUUUAAAAAAAAAUCAUUCUAAUAUUUUAUAACACAUAAAAUAUAAUCCUAAGAUAAAUAUAAUAAUACAUAUUUUAAACUAAUCUCGAUAUUUAAAAUAUGUUUUAAUAUUUUAUAAUCUAUCAGACAUAUUUUAUUAUAUUAAUGUAAAAUUUAUAAUAAAUACAAACAUAUUAUUAAAAUAAAUAUAUAAAAAAUAUUUAUUUUUUAUAUGUUUACACUGAGGACUCUCUUUAAUUCAUUUAUUUUCUCUCUCUCCAAACAGGUACUGUCUUCAGUUAGCAAUGCUAUGAUAGUAAUCCAAUUCUCUUCUCCCCCACCUGAGCGAGAUUUGAAUUUGAAUCCCUUGUUUUUCACCCACUCUGUUUUUUUUCACGCAAGAUUUGACAAUUUGAGUUAAAAAAUAUGGUCCAAAACUUGAACACGUAUCUUUUAAUUGUAAUAAAAGUUCUUUAAGCUUUGGAGAUGGCAUAUAUAUGGCUGGAAGUGUCCUUUUCUUUGACCUAGAGGCAGCACCAAGCUAUCCAGCAUCAUCAUUUUUCAAGUGGGUCUUAAAUGCCUAGAAACGUUGGUGUUUCUUGAUUUAAAGAUGACACAUGCUAUAAGUGUGAAUGGUUUGGCUAAGCCUAAAUUUAAAGUCUACUCAAGUCGCAUUCAGGAUCAUGGAAAUUGGAAAGGGAGAGAUGAUAGCAAGAUUUAUAAUAAACAAUUAACUUGGGUCCUCAGUGUACAAAGCAAAUGCCACGCAAGCGAUAGCCGGCCCAGCCCAGAAAACCCAGUGGCGAUCCCAGAGAUGGCCUCCUCUAACGAGUGCUGGGCCCAAAAAUCUUUGCGGGUUGAGCCCAGCUCCGGCAUAGCCCUUUUGAGCAGUAACAGUUGUCGAGACAAAAACCAGAAGACCCAACACUGUUCCAAUGACAAUGCAUACGGUAAACUCUGCCAAGAGCCUUGGCUUGUCUGGAGUCAAAAGCCAUCCACACAGAAGCAAAAAGGAACACAAACGAGCAAAUUAUCUCAAGCCAAAGGGCCUGCCUAGUCCCCAAGCCGAUCUCAACAGGCCCAUCUGGCCCAGGUACGACAACAUUCAGGGUGCAGCCUCCAAGUUGUCAAAUAUUUAUAUUAAACUACAAUUGCUGACUAGAAAAAUCAAGAUCGUAUUACAAGUGGGUCCCGAAUUGGACGUGCCUAAAUCUUUUUAUAAUUUUCCCAGUGUAGCGGACAGAGGUCAUUACUAAAUUUCUCUUCCACACGCCACAGCAGCUUCGGUUAAUCAAACUCAAUCAAUUUUCUUGGCUUCUCCGCUUAUCAAUAUUACAAGGUAUGGGUAGCAUUUUUCAAAUCACAUGCGAUGGUACUAUUUUCAAUCGUUGCUUAGAUUGCUUUCUUGGAAAAGCAGCAUACAUAAGUAACCUCCAAGAUAAUCUUGUUGCCUUGGAGACUGAACUAAGGAAACUAAUCGCAGCAAAGAACGAUGUGAUGACGGCGGUUGUCAAUGCUGAACGGCAACAAAUGAGAAGGCUGGACCAAGUGCAAGUGUGGGUUUCGAGGGCGGAUGCUGUUAAAAAUGAAGCUGAUGAACUUAUCAGAGGCGGCUCUCAAGAAAUUGAAAAAUUAUGUCUUAGAGGGUUCUGUUCCAGGAACUGCACGUCAAGCUACAAGUUCGGAAAACAAGUGGCUAAAAAGCUACGAGCUGUGGAGACUUUAAUCGCCGAAGGAGUUUUUGAGGCGGUGGCUGCCGAGGUGGUGCCUGAGAGAGCUCCAGAGCCUGUAGCAGAUGAAAGACCUACCGAGCGAACAGUAGUAGGCUUGCAAUCACAACUUGAACAAGUCUGGAGAUGUCUUGCAGAAGAAUCAGCGGGAAUCAUUGGCCUAUAUGGUAUGGGCGGUGUUGGUAAAACUACACUAUUGACCUAUAUCAACAAUAAAUUUCUCGAGAGUCCAACCAACUUUGAUUGUGUGAUUUGGGUAGUAGUUUCAAAAGACCUGCGACUUGAAAAACUUCAAGAAAAUAUUGGGAAAAAGAUAGGUUUGGUUGAUGAUUCAUGGAAGAGUAAAAGUGUAGAGGAGAAAGCUCUCGACAUCUUCCGGAGUUUAAGAGAGAAGAGAAUUGUAUUGCUGUUAGAUGAUAUAUGGGAGCGGGUUGAUUUAACAAAAGUGGGCGUUCCACUUCCAGGACCACAAAAUACUACCUCAAAAGUCGUAUUCACAACCCGUUUGAUCGAUGUUUGUGGUAGCAUGGAAGCUGACAGGAAGUUCAAAGUAGCAUGCUUAUCAGAAAAGGAUGCUUGGGAACUGUUUCGAAAAAAAGUUGGGGAAGAAACUCUUGGAAGUCAUCAUGAUAUCGUUGAGCUAGCCCAAACUGUGGCCAAAGAGUGUGGUGGUUUGCCACUCGCACUUAUUACUAUCGGUCGAGCUAUGGCCUACAAAAAGACAGCCGAAGAGUGGAGACACGCAGUUGAAGUUCUAAGAAGAUCAGCUUCGGAAUUUGCAGGUUUGGGAAAAGAGGUGUAUCCUCUUUUAAAGUUUAGCUAUGAUAGUUUGCAGAAUAAGACGAUUAGAUCUUGUUUCUUAUAUUGUUGUUUAUAUCCUGAAGAUUAUGGCAUUCUUAAAUGGGACUUGAUUGACUGUUGGAUUGGUGAGGGAUUCUUAGAGGAAUCUGACAGGUUUGGUGCAGAAAACCAAGGAUACUACAUUGUGGGCACUCUUGUUCAUGCGUGUUUACUAGAAGAGAUAGAAGAUGAUAAAGUAAAAAUGCAUGACGUUGUUCGUGAUAUGGCUCUAUGGAUAGCUUGUGAAAUUGAGAAGGAGAAGAGAAACUUUUUGGUUUGUGCAGGUGCGGGACUAAAGGAGGCACCUGAUGUUAAAAGAUGGGAAAAUGUGAGAAGAUUGUCAUUGAUGCAAAACCAAAUUGAAACUUUGUCAGAGGUUCCUGCAUGCCCUCAUCUCCAUACUCUAUUUCUUGCCUCUAAUAAUAGUUUGCAGAGGAUCACCGAUGGCUUCUUCCAAUUUAUGCCUUCUCUCAAAGUUUUCAAGAUGUCAAACUGCGGGAAUUUAAUUUUGGAAUUACCUUUUGGGAUGUCAAAGUUGGGUUCAUUGGAACUUCUCGAUAUUUCACAUACCUACAUACAAGAGUUACCACAAGAGUUAAAGUUGUUGGUAAAUCUGAAAUGUUUGAAUUUGAGGUGGACAAGCGAGUUAAAUAAAAUUCCACGGCAGCUAAUAUCAAAUUCUUCAAGGUUACGUGUGUUGAGAAUGUUGGGUACUGGCUGGUUCAAUUUUCAUGAAGCAUCAGAAGACAGCGUUUUAUUUGGCGGGGGUGAAGUUUUAGUACGGGAAUUGCUCGGUUUGAAAUAUUUAGAGGUAUUGGAGUUGACCUUGCGAAGUUAUCAUGCUCUCCAAAUUGUUUUGAGCUCAAAUAAGUUAAAAAGUUGUAUUCGAUCUCUUUACCUCCAGUUGACCGGAGAUAGAAAGUCGAUUAUUGAUGCUACGGCUUUCGCAGAUCUAAACCACCUCAAUGAAUGAUUGAUUUUUAAAGGUUUUGAGUUGGAAGAAUUGAAGAUUGAUUAUACAGAGAUAGUACGAAAAAGGCGGGAACCUUUUGUUUUCCGCAGCCUUCACCGUGUUACCAUAGAUUCGUGCCUUAAAUUGAAAGAUUUGACAUUCCUCGUUUUUGCUCCAAACCUCAAGUCUCUUUCGCUAUUCAAUUGCCGUGCUAUGGAAGAAAUAAUCAGCGUUGGAAAAUUUGCUGAGGUUCCUGAGAUGAUGGGACAUAUAAGCCCUUUUGAAAAUCUCCGAAGUCUUCGUUUGUCACAUUUGCCAAAUUUGAAGAGCAUCUACUGGAAGCCAUUGCCUUUCACUCAUCUGAAAGAAAUGGUGGUACAUGGGUGUGAUCAGCUUAAAAAGCUUCCACUCGAUUCCAACAGUGCAAAAGAGCGUAAAUUUGUUAUUCGUGGACAAGCAGACUGGUGGGACCGACUUCAAUGGGAGGAUGAAGCCACUCAAAUUGCUUUUAGUUCCUGUUUCCAACCUUAACUUGAUUUCUGGUUAGUGCUGUUUCCUUAACUUUUACAUAUAUUCUCGUCGUUUGCUUCGUGCAAAAUACUAGGUCUUUUGUUCUCUGUUUUUAUUUCGCCCAUUUUUUUUUUUUUUUUUUGUCUUCUGCAAAUGACAGACAAAUGUUGAACUAAAAGGAAUUAAUGCUUUAUAACUUUGCCGGCAUUGCUUUUUUCUUUUUCUUUUUUGAUUUUUUGGGGCGAGGGGGGAUCGAAUAGAUGCUCUGGUUUUUGACUUUUUGUUGUCAAAUUUUACUCUGUUUUUUUCAAAUUGAUGCUUGAAUAUUUGAAUCAAAUUAAUGCUCACGUAAAUUUGUUCAGUUGCCGUAAAAGGAUAUAAUUACACUGAAAUACACAAACUCUAGAAUGAAUAGAAUUAAACAGAGAAAAUCUUGAGUAUAUUAGCCGUCUUCACAUAAAAUCAUAUGAAAAUUAAAUUUUGAAGUUUUUAUUUUCUAUUUUUAAUCAUACCCUUUAUAAUUUCUUCUGUUCUAACUACAAUAAAAUUUUUGGUUCAAGGAUUUUUAUGAGGGGUAUUAAUAAUAGUCCACCAAAAGAGUGAACAGUUGGAUGCUGCCCUAAGGGUCUCUAAUCAAUAGCUGGAAGCAAUUGAGAAGGCGGUCGUUACUGUGUACAAAGCCAUGCAGUAUUUGCUAUUCAUCUUAGUAAUUAUGAAGCUUUGGUAAAAUUUUCAAACAAAGUUGACAUGUUAUUUUGAGAUUUGGUUCAUGAUUUUGUAUGAAUAUCGUUGUUCCAUUGAGUUGUAUAUGAAUUCAAAUGUAAAAUAUUCUUUGGUUUUCAAUUUUGAAUUCAAUUUCUUUUCUUAAGCAUGUUGUGCAGAAAUGAUUUCUACUAAAUCAUUUUUGAUAAACUACUUAAAUUAAACAACUGCAAUAAGAACUGUUAAGGAUUUAUCGUAAGCAGACUAAUAUGAUAAUUCUGAAACUAUCAUUUUUUUUUUCAAUUUGUUGCAGGGAAAGCCAAAUUUUGUAUUUUUCAGUUUUAUCUGAUAUGGAAUUUAUUUCCUCUACACUAGCUACCUAAAGAUUUAUCAAAUUGCUUCUCUUCCCUGCUUCAAAUUAAUAUCUUUAUGCAACUACAAUCUCAUAGGAAAAGACAGUUUGGGUUGUAUUUAUUAUAGUUUUUUUUUUCGUUAAGAGCAAUUUAUUUUAAAAUCGUUUAGUAGUAACAGUUUUUAUUGAAUAAUAAUGGGGUAGGAUUAUUAUAGGUUCAACUAGUUGUUAGAACAUUAUAAAAAGUCCAUUUACUAUCAAAUGCUUUAAAUUGGUGCAACAUGAUAAUUGUCCCACAUAAUUUUUAAUAAUAUAUAUGGCCCAUAAAUUUAAUAUGAAUAAAUGAGUUUCGAUAGUUAAAUUUGAUACGAUUAUUAAAUAAGUUAUAUCCAUGUCAAUUCGACUUAAAAUCUGGUAAAUUUAGAUUUAGAGUUUAUAACAUGAUAACUUGUUUUAUGACAUGAUUUACUAAUCAAUUAAUAUUAAAUUAUAUUUUAGCCAAUCAGAUAUGUGGUACAUUUGUCAAAUUUUAAAAAUUAUUUAUUUAUAUAUGAAAUAAAUUUGACUAGACUGUGUGUAGGUAAUAGUGCAUAAUUUCUAAAAAAAUGUAAUAAUAACACGUUAAAAUGUUAUUUUUAUGAAGAAAAAUUGAAAUUUUAUUAAAUAGGCGACACAAUAAUAAAUGGGUUGAGAUUAUUUACAUUUUAAGAAUUACUCUGAACAUUAUUUUAUUUUAUAAAUUUUAUAUUACAAAAACACCCAUAGUUUAAUUUACCAUUAAGAACAAUUUUGUGCGAUUAAAUAAAAUACAUUACUCUUUACCCUUUCACUACAUCGACAUAAAUCCUAAUUGUUAUGUUUCUAAUUUCUUUGAUAUGCUUAUUGAAGUCCACAUUAUAAUCAAUUUUAAACUAUUAUACCACUUAAAUACAUUUUAGAAUGAGAAGUUUGGUUUUCUUCAUGGGCUGCCUUGCUGAUGCUGUUAUUGAAACUAUCGAACUUAAUAAUUUUAUGGCCAAAAUGAUAUAUGUUGAACCAGCUUUUACAUCGAAUUCUACCACCAUAAAAAAUCGUACUUGUAACAUCUCAAGGUUCCAAUUUAUCAAAAGUUAAUCAUUCAUAUUUGUUAGUUCCUAACAGUCACAAGAGCGUACAAGCCAAUUUUUGUAGCUCCUUUUUCUGCAGUAGAUUCAAGUAUAUUAUUAUCAAGCAUUUUUGUUACACCCUUAAUUCCUUAUCAUCAUCCCUUCAUUCAGAGCAACUAAACAGAGGUCAAUGUCAUUAUGUUAGAGUUACGAGGAAGAGUACUGCCAAAAAAGUUCUUUGUAUGGGAUUUAAUUUUCUGGGUUUGUAGUGAUGAACAAAUUGAGGGUUGUUUUGGUAUUUUCAAGAGUGUAUUGAGUGAAAAUUAUUUUUAAAAAAUUUAACAAAUGAGUGUAAUGAGUAAAAAAGUGUUUAAAGUAUUUUUUAGAGUACAAAUAGCUCCACCUUAAUAAAUGAGUUCUUGUAAAAAUUGAGAUUAUUGAUAUAAUUAUUAAAUAGGUUGGAUUGAAGUUAGUUUAAUUUUGACAAGAUAAUAAGACGACGCGACACAAAUACAACCAACCAGUCAACCCAAAUUGCAACCUUUUACUAAUAAAAGAUACCUGUUUGAAAAGUAAUUAUAAGCUAUCUUCUUUGUGUUAUUUCUCUAAAAAUUUGCGGCACAAAUAUUAUUUCCAUGGAGAAAAGUACGAAAUACCCGCUUUCACUUCAGCAGAAGCAAAGCAAAGCUAUGAGCCAUCUCUGUAUAAUUGAAACGCCAUUGCUAAACGGUUCUUGAUGAUGGGUGCCACCGUGCCAGCGUUGUCGCUGAUUUGCAUGAUUUAUUAGUUGUUCAGAUGGCGGAUUUUGUACUGUCACUUUCAUUUCAUUCUUGAGAGCCACGUACAAUACUAGGUGGCAUUGAAGUUGCCCCAGUGGUUAGUUUUCUGAUUUUUUUUAAUUCAAAUUUUUAUGUUUUAGAAAAAUGUAAGAAAUAUGUAGAAAUGUUGACAGCUACAAUUUUGAAACUUUGCCUAAAAUUAUUAUCGUUGCUUAUUGUUUCUUAGCUAAAGAGAAAUCCUAGAAACAUGAAAUUAUUAUUCUAUGCUUGUUUUAAUAUUAUACAUUAGCAGGUUAAUUAAAAAUUAGACGUGAAUACAACAAGAGAUAAGUGGAGAGAAUUUGGUAGUCGACCGCAUUUAGAAUUUAAUUUUUCUUUUAGCUGCCGAUCAUUAAAUUUUAUAUUUCAGAAAAUUAUACCUAGAAUAUUUCAAGGAUAUACUACGAAGAUUAUGAAGGUUUGAUUACAUGUCACUAUCAAUUGCCUCAAUCAUUUGUAGUAAAUUAAUUAAUCAUUUUGCUGCAAAUGAUUUCCUAUUAAAAAAUUCAAGUCAGAGCUGAAUUGCACAGUAGUUAGUCGUGCUUGCAAUUCAAAUCAAGUAUUGUAUUUUCUGCCUGAUUUGGUUGAUUCAACUAUGUGCAUUUGCAUAAUGGAGAUGCUUAUGAACGUUGUAGUAUAGAAAUCGAAACGUCUUGUCUUUUGCUAAGCCCAGAAGCAAAGUUCUUUGUAUUAUACUCAUCAGUUUUCUUCGUUCUCUUCGUUGAAAUUUUAUCCAAACAGCGGUUUCUUCGAAUUUUUGCCCUCUCUUACAUUUUUAAAUCUAUCAAAGAACGGUUACCUGAGAAGAUUGCCAUCAGGUAUUUCGAAAUUGAUUUCACUACAAUACCUUAAUCUAUCAGAUUUUAAUCUAUCAGAUGCUCCCGUCACUCAGUUGCCAAAAGUGACAAAAGCCUUAGUAAAUUUUUAGAGUAAAAACUCAUUUAUUCCUUAUAUUUUAAGAUUAGUAUCUAUUUAGUCCUUAUAUUUUGAAAAAUACCUUGAAACAUCACUGCCAUUAAAGUAUUGAUACCCUUACCGUUACUUUUUAUUUAUUUUGGCUUAUUUUUACAAUAUUACCCUUUAAUAAUAAUUUUUUUGUUUAGACAUUAAUAAAAAUAAAAUAAUUAAAUUACCAAUUUAAUCCUAAAAAAUAAAAAUAAAAAUUUAUAUUAAUUUUUAAUUGUAAAAAAUUGUAUGCAAACUACCAAAUGUGCAAACGGUGCUUGCAAAAAAAUUAAUAUAAAUUUUUUAUUUUUAGGGUUAAAUUAGUAAUUUAAUUAUUUUAUUUUUAUUAAUGUCCAAAAAAUUAGUAAUUUAAUUAUUUUCUUUUUAUUAAUGUCCAAAAAUUAUUAUAAAAGGGUAAUAUUAUAAAAGUAAGCUAAAAGAAAUGAAAAGUAACGGUAGGGGUAUCAAUACUUUAACGGUAGGGAUGUUUCGAGGUAUUUUUAAAAAUAUAAAGAGUAAAUGGACACUAAUAUUAAAAUACAGGGACUAAAUAAGUUUUUAUCCUAAAUCUUUAAGUGUUUGAAUUGGAGUACAUAAAUUAUCUCUCUACAAUUCAAAAACAACAGAUUUGUUACUUUUCAACGCUACAGGUUCCGCGAAUAUUCAGUUGUGGUUAUCUUGUUGAAACACCAGAAAAUAGCGUUCUAUUUGGUGGUAAUGAAUUCUUGGUUGGGGAGUUACUUAGUUUAAAACAUUUAAAUGUAUUAAGCAUCGCCUUAAAAGGUUUUUCUACCGUCCAAAAAUUUAUGAGCUCCCAAAAGUUUCAAAGUUGUACAAAAUGUUUGGAGCUUAUAGACAGUGAUGAUUCAAAGUCGUUUGCCAUGGCAGAGUUGAAGCAUCUUGAAAAACUAGGUAUUUCAAAUUGUGGAAAUUUGGAAGAGUUUAAGUUCUGCUGUGUCGAAGUUGGAAAAACUUGAGAAGAUUUUUGUUUGAACAGCCUUCACCAAGUUAAGAGAAAGGCUUGUCAUAAAUUGAGGGAAGUGACAUGGCUUGUGUUUGUACCAAAUCUUAAGGUUAUUCAGAUAGAAAAAUGUAUGGAGAUGGAGGUUGUUGGGAAAGAGACUACCACAAGCAGCUAAAAAUUAAGCGAAUACAAAAUUCUUUCUCUCUUUGUGUGAUUAAAAUAGGAUGUGCACCACAAACAAAUAAGCAGAAAAAUAAACCAAUAAAUGCAAAGCAAAAACCAACCACAAGAGACACCGAUUUUUAAGUAGAAAAUUUAAAUUGGGAAAAAUCACAGGAUAGUAGUCUGAUAUAAACUUCUACUAUAUUAAUGAGAUUACAACACAAAUUCUUCUCCAGAUAAUACUAGAUGCUAACAAUAUUAAAAUUCUCAACAAUCUUAGUUUAUAAUAAUAGAUCUAAAAUCUAUUUCUUCAAUAAGUGAGUAUCUCAAAUAAUAGCUACUGAGAGAAUAAAAUACAGAUCAACACCAGUAGAAAUAUAGAGGGCAAUGUCAGGAACUUACCCUCCAAAUUUAGGACUAAUCAGAGCUAAAAUAACCUUUUGAUUGUUGAAUCAAAGAUUGAAAACCAAAAAAAAAAAAAAUAUCUCUUUCUCUCGCAGUGUCUUCUCACUUUCGCAAAAUGUCUACAGCUCUCGCGAUUCUUUACUUAUUUCCUUAGUUAAUUUCAUCCAAGUCCAAAAUUUUACAAUAAUUACACAUCAAGCAAAUUAUUUUGGACUUUGAACUUUUUGGUCCACUGAAGUGAAAUGGACCUUACAAAUCUCCCCCUCCAUCUCAUCUAAGGGGCACCACCAAGCCCGCUCUCUACUUACAGCUUUCCAGCUUCUCCUUGGGUAAUGACUUUAUCAUCAUAUCUGAUGCAUUCUUCGUUGUGUGAAUUUCUCCAAGCUGCAACUGUUUCUACUCAAGCACGUCUUGUAUCCAAUGAUACUUCAUAUCAAUAUGCUUCGAUUUCAAAUGAUAUGUUGAAUUCUUUGCCAAGUGGAUGACACUUUAACUGUCACAGUACACAACAUAACUAUCUUGAUUAACACCUAGUUCUUGUAGAAAAUUCUUCAUCCACAAGGUUUCUUUGUAACUUUCAGUGAUUGUAAUAUACUCUACUUCUGUAGUAGACAAAGCAACACACUACUAAAGUCUAGACUGCCAUGAAACUGCUCCUCCUACAUAGGUGAGCAAAUAUCUUGAUAGAGACUUUCUAGAAUCAACAUCUCCUGCCAUAUAUGCAUCCGUAUCUACUUGUAAUAUAGGUUUGUCACCACCAAAACAUAAACAUGCCUUGGAAGUGCCUCUGAGAUAUAUGACAAUCUACUUUACUGCUGUCCAGUGUUUUUUACCCAGAUUAGAGGAAAACCAGUUGACUACCAACUGUUGAAGCGUACCUCAAACUACCAACUGUUGAAGCAUAAAAAACUCUUUUUAUCUCUUGCUUCUCUUUCUCACUUAUGGGACAAUGCUUGAAACUAAGCUUGAAAUGACCUGCAAGUGGAAAAUAAACAUAUUUUGCUUUGUCCAUAUUAUAUCUUUUAAGAACUUUUUCAACAUAUGCUUCCUGAGAUAACCAUAAAUUCCCAGUUUUUCUGUCACGAGAAAUCUUCAUGCCAAGAAUUUGUUUCGCCGAUCCCAAGUCCUUCAUUACAAAAGACUUGCUAAGCUCUCUCUUCAAAUUGUCAAUCUUACUAGUAUCCUUGCCAACAAUCAACAUGUCAUCCACAAAAAGUAAAAGAAUAAUAAAAUCAUUAUCACUAAACUUUUUCACAAACAUACAAUGAUCACACAUUGUCUUGCAAAAGCCAUGAUUCUCCAUAAAAGAAUCAAACUUCUUAUACCACUGUCUUGGUGCAUGUUUCAGCCCAUAUAAAGUUUUUUUCAAUUUGUACACAAGUUCUUCUUUACCUUUGACACUGAACUCUUCAGGUUGUUAUAUGUAUAUUUCCUCCUUUAAGUCAUCGUGUAAGAAAGCAGUCUUUACAUUGAAUUGUUCAAUUUCCAAAUCCAAGCUAGCUACUAAUCCCAGAGGUGCUUGCUCAAUUGGUUCUGCUGGACCAUUAUUAUUAUCCUCUCCAGCUCCCCUAUGAUCAUCAUGAACAACAUGUGGAGAAACCGAAGUUGGAAUAAUAAGAAUCUCUGGAGAUGGCUGAGACUUAUCAUUUUUUUUUCAUCACCAACUAUCUAAUUUUUAAGAAACACAACAUCUCUAAUUCUGAUUACUUUUCUUGUCACUGGAUCCCAUAAUCUGUACCCAAAUUCUUCAUGUCCAUAGCUUAAGAAAAUACAUUUCUUGGCUUUAUCAUCAAGUUUUGAUCUCUCAUCUUUAGGGAUAUGAACAUACACUCUGCACUUAAACACCCUCAAGUGUUUAUAAGAAACAUCUUUCCCAAUCCAAACUCUUUUAGGUACAUCGUCAUCUAAUGGAGCUUAAGGAGAAAGAUUAAUCAAAUCAACUACAGUACGCAUAGCCUCCGCUCAGAAGGAUUUAUAAAGCUUGGCAUCAGAAAACAUACAUCUGACUAUCUUUUCAAUUGUUCUGUUCAUUAUUUCUGCAACACCACUCUGCUGAGGGGAUUUUGGUACAGUUUUCUUAAGUUUGAUUCCAUGAGAUCUGCAAUACUGCUCAAAUGGUCCUCUGUACCCACCAUCAUUUUCUGCCCUGACACAUUUCAAUUUUUUUCUUGUCCCUCUCUCAACAUAAGCACGAAAGAAUUUAAACAUAGUAAGCACGAAAGAAUUUAAACAUAUCAAGCACUUAAUCUUUAGAUUUUAAAGCAAAAGUCCAUACUUUUCUAGAACAAUCAUUAAUAAAAGUCAUAAAAUAAAGUGCACCUCCUAUUGAUCUAUUUUGCAUCAUGCAAAUAUCAAUGUGAAUCAAAUCAAGGAUUUGUGACUUUCUAGAUGGAGAAAAGCUUUUAAAAGUUACUUUAUGUGCCUUUCCAGCUAAACACUAAACACAAGUCUUGAGGGACGUACCUACAAAGCUUGGUAGAAAUCCUUUUUUGGCAAGAGUUCCUAACCCUUUCUCACCAAUGUGACCAAGCCUUUUAUGCCAUGUCUCAAUGUCAGAAUUGUUUACAGCCAUAUUCAUAUAUUCUUUCUUGAUUUUGGCUUCUAUUACGUAGAGGGUGUUCAUUUUCUUUCCUUUAGCCAACACUAGAGAGCCUUUGGUGAGCUUUCAUUUUCCUUCACCAAAUUAGUUAGUAUAACUAUCAUCAUCAAUUUUUCUUGUGGAGAUCAAAUUAAGACGAAUAUCUAGUACAUGCAAGCUUUUUUGUGGAGAUCAAAUUAAGGCGAAUAUCUAGUACAUGUCUGACAUCUUUAAGGAGUAGCUUAUAGCCAACACUGGUUUGAAGCAAAUAUCUCCUAUGCCCACAAUCUUGGAUGCCCCCUCAUUUCCCAUCCGAACAUGGUCAUAAUUACCAUUAACAUAGGAUGUGAAGUAAUCAUGAUGUGCAGUUGUUGUGCAAAUUUUAAUGUACUCGCAAGCGCACGAAUCUAUUGUAGUAUAGAUCAAUGGUGACGAGUGUCGAUCCCACGAGGAGGUGGAUUUUAAUUGUGUAUAGAAUUAAUUUUGCAAAUGGUUGAUUGGAUUUGUGGUGGAAAUGAUUUGGAAUAUGCUAAAACUUAAAUUAAAAUGGCGAGAAUAAAUUCUAAAAUUGGAAUUGAAAUUGCGAGAAUAAAGUUGAAGAGAAUUCUAUUGAAAUGACGUACUUGGGUAUCUGGAUCCGUAUCAACAUGCAUCAUGGGCUAAAUAAUGCGUAUUAAUGCCAAUUAAAUCAUGAGGGGGGAAUCCACACCUCAUGAACCACGCUCUAAUCAAUAUGGUGCUAAGGGCUUAUCGUGCCAAAUAAUAAUAACCUUGUACUAGAGAGCCGGUGUAACCAAGGCGGUACUAGACAAGAUUAGUAUUAUUUGUCGACGAGAAGUCAAAACAUCCACAAAAACUAGAGGGGAAGAGAAAAUAAAUUUACCAAAUAAAGCCCAUGACACAUGUUGAGACUUCACCUUCAACCCAAGCUUAAAAGAAAAUUAGCUACUCAUAAUUGAACUAAGGGCAAAAUGGGAAUUUAUUAAAAUACGAAGAAAAUACAAGAUAGAGAGGGAAUUACAGAAAAUGGAUCCCAAAAAUGGAUUCAGAGAUAUCAAAUUAGGGGGGGAGGCCCCCUUUUUAUAGAUACAUGGAGUAAAUCAUGGCAAUCGGAUUAAAAACAGUUUGGACGCUCAGGAUUGCGCCACGUCAUCAGUCAACAGUCCACGGUUUGACCACGCGGAUGAACAGUAAUACGGUUUGACCCAUAUGAACAGUACGCGGUUUGACCCGGAUGAACAGUAACGCGGUUUGGUUGAAAAUAAUCCUGUGUGAUGCAUGCACCGUACGCGAGAUUUUUUGUCCACUGAUAUGCUGCCACGUCACCAUCAACAGUACAUAAGAAUUUUAGUCCAACAGGAUCGUGACACCUCAUCAGUCAAUGCCACAUCAUCGAUCCGUCUAUGUGAGCAGUGCCGUGAACAGUAACAUAUACAGUACCGUAUACGUGAAUAGUACCGUACAUGUGAAUAGUGCUAUUUUUCCUUUUAUGCUCCUCCUAAGGUUUUCGACCGUCCUGAGUUCAAAAGUGAUGUCCGUUUUACCGUCUGAUCUCUCCUUUAUUGUGAAAUCACUAUAAUACCACUAAAAUACAUAAAAUACUUAAUUAAAAUAAAACACAUGUAAUUAAAUCACAAGAAGGUUAAAUACAUAAAAGUAAGGGUUGUUAGUAAGACUUGAAAUGUAAAAUGAUGGUUUUCUCCUUUAUAAAUAUGCAUUUUCUAACACUCAACAGCAGUAACCACGAUGUGCAGUAACAUCAAACGAAGCACCCGAAUCAAUCACCCAAUUACUGGUAUGGCAAGUAAGAUUUAUAGAGCUAUCAUUAUAAGCAAUGCCCAUAUCACCAUUAAUUACGGCUGUAACAUUCUCUUUGUCAUUUUUCUGACCAUCGCCUUUUUCUUUCGCAUGUUCUCUUUUCCACAAUUUACACUACCUUUUUACAUGGCCCAUUUUCUGACAAUGAAAGCACUUAGCUUCUCCUAUGGGACUUAGAUCUUCCUCCAGGGUUAUCAUUAUUCUGAUGACGGAAAUUUCUGCUUCGACUUCUCCCCCGUCUUUUUUGGUUUUCUGAAACAAGUGUAGCUGACUCAGAGGGAACUACUUCAGCAUUCUUUCUUCGAGAUUCUUCAUUCCGCAGUCUAUCUGUAACCAUAUCCAAGUUUAAUUUACCAUUCGGUGCCGAAUUAUUCACUGACACCACUAAUGUCUCCCAACUAUCAGGUAAAGAACUAAGCAACAACAAUGCUUGUAACUCGUCAUCUAGAAUAAUCUUCAUAGUAGUCAACUGAUCAACCAAACCCUGAAACUCACUAGUGUGUUCAGUAAUACUGUGGCCUUUUUUAUAUUUCAAGUUAACAAGCCUUUUCAUUAGAUUGACUUUAUUUUGUGCUGUUGGCUGCUCAUAAAUUAUUUCUAAUUUUCUCCAAAGAACAUCAGCCUUGGAUUCCUUCGCGACAUGAUGGUACACACUCUGAUCAAUCCAUGACCUAAUAGUGCCCACGGCUUUCUGGUUCAAUUGAGCCCAUUUCUUAUCAUCUAUAUCAACAAGUUUAACUUCAUCACCUUCAAUAGGUUCAUGUAAGUCUUUCAUGUAGAGCAAAUCUUUCAUUCUAGACUUCCAAAUAUCAUAAUUCCACGACUCAAUUUAAUCAUGAACGCCAAAGACUCCUCUAUUUCAACCACAUAAGUAAUAAAAACACACAACCUGGCUCUGAUACCACUCUAUUGGGAAAACGACUACCACAAACAGCUACAAAUUAAGCGAAAAUAAAAUUCUUUUCCUCUUUGUGUGAUUAAAAUAGGAUGUGCACCAUAAACAAAUAAGCAGAAAAAUUAAUCAAUAAAUUCAAAGCAAAAAUCAACCACAAGAGACACCGAUUUUAACGUGGAAAAUUCAAAUCGGGAAAAACCAUGGGACAAUAGUCCGAUAUAAAUUUCCACUAUAUUAAUGGGAUUACAGUACAAAUUCUUCUCCAGAUAACACUAGAGGUUAACAACAUCAAGAUUUUCAACAAUCUUGGCUUACAAUAAUAGAUCUAAAAUCUAUUUCUUCAAUAAGUGAGUAUCUCCAAUAACAGCUAAUGAGAGAAUAAAAUAUAGAUCAACACGAGUAGAAAUGUAAAGGGCGAUGUCAGGAACUUAUCCUCCAAAUUUGGGAGAAAUCAAAGCUAAAAUUAUUUUUCGAUCGUUGAAUCAAAGAUUGAAAACCCAAAGAAAAAAAAUAUCUUUUUCUCUCGCAACGUCUUCUCACUUGCGCGAAAUGGCUACAUCUCUCGCGAUUAUUCACUUAUUUCCUUUAUAUUUUUUUUGGUUAAUUUCAUCCAAGUCUAAAAUUUUACAAUAAUUACACAUCAAGCAAAUUAUUUUGGACUUUGGGCUUUUGGUCCACUGAAGUGAGAUGGACCCUACAGAAGCAAUAAUCAGUGCAAGAAAAUUAAGUGAAGUUCCAGAGAUGAUGGCAGAUCUAAACCCUUUUGUAAAACUCCAAUAUCUUGGCCUCCGAAUUCUACCAAAAUUAAAAAAGCGUCUAUUGGAAUGUGUUGCCCUCUCCACAUGUCAGGGAAAUUUUUGUAUCUGAAUGCCCAAUUCUCAUUAGAGGAGAGGAACACUGGUGGAAUAAGUUGCAAUGGGAGGAUGAAGCAACCUAUAAUGCUUUUCUUCCUUGUUUUGGAUCCAUUUGAUGGGCAUCAACAUGGAUUAAUAUUUUGCAGCGAACCAAUUUGAAUAAAACUUACGGUAAGUGCUUUUCCAUUUAUUGCAUAUUUAUAUCUAAUUUUUGUUUUCCUUUAUGGUUAAAUUUUGCCCUGUAUAUGUUGUUGUACGGUGACAUUCUUGAAUCAAUUAUUAAUUUUUUUAAUUCUCGUCUCACAACCACCCUUUUGAUCAUGAGGAUAUGCCGAUAUCAAAGAGUCAUAAUUUGGGAUACAAAUGUAAGAAUUAGGCAGAUGACAUGUUGUUUCAAAGCUUUCGAAGAAGGACUAAAUAUGUCAUUGAAAGCCUCCAAUUUUGCGACUGAUUUUUUUUUAAUUUGUUAUUUUUAUAGGUGGCAAAAAUACCCGUCUGAUUUGGACUCGGCUGAUUUGGGCCGGGUACGGAGUAUGAAGCCGGGUUGGUCCUGGGCAUCACUUGAAACUCGGAACCUGGAUUUUAUUAAAAAAUAUUAUAAAUAUAUAUUAUUUUAAAUAUCUAUAUUUAUUAGACUCAUCUAUUACAUAUAUCUAAUUUCAUUGAAAUAAAUUUAAAAAUUAUAAAAUUACCAAUAUAUAUAUAUAUAUAUAAUAUUAAAAAAGUAUAAAAUCUGAGUCCUCAGAUUAAAACCCAGUUCAAGUGUCUAAAAAAUACAUGUGGACCGAGUUUGAACAUUGCGAUACCCAGACCCAAACUUGGGUUUUGCCAACCCUAGUCUUUUAAAUUGCUUGAUUGUAAUGUUUUAGUAUAGAAAAAUGAUAGCCAAGACAACAAUAAGAGGGCACAUUGUGCAUGCACAAUAGUGGAUAAUUUCGGCAUUCCAAAUCCAAUUAGGGUGGAUAACCUUUUAUUAGUAUUAACCUUCUCUCGUAUUCAAGUAAUGUAAAAUAUGCUUAGAAGCUGUGGAUCCCCCUUUAUAAGUGUUGGGCUUAUGCCAAACUCGAUUGAUGUGGGAUGCCUUUAUAGGCAUCAAGUUUUCUCCCAUACACUUUAUGUUAAAAAUAAUAAUGAUAAAAUAAAUCCAUUUUAAAAUAGACUUCUUUUUCUUUUCUAUAUAAACAAACUCAUUCUUCAAAUCAGUUGUGGGUGGAAGGAGUGAGUAGAGAAGAACUGGGCCCCUUUCGUUCCUCUAAAAACCUCACCAAACCUCUCUUGUAAGCUUCUCAGUGUCCCUCUCAAUAUUUCUUAUGAUCUCGUUUUUUAUUGAAUCACUUCUUUUGUGUGCUGCAUUUUUGUGUGUCGUAUUUGGGUUUAUCUUAUCUGGAAUCCUGUUAUGAUUGAUGGAACAAGUAAUCGAUUUUUGGUUUAUUUGGAAUGGAAUUAUGGUUUAUUUGGAAUGGAAUUAUCUGGGUGUAACGGAUUAAAUUAUGACAUUGGGGAGAAGGCACUAAGGGGUUUGCUUGACACAUUUGGUUCUGUGUUUACUCUGAAAGAAAUAGCUUUUGCUUAUCGUAAUGCAAGGCGAAAUCCCGAUUUGGGUGGUGAAUUUCUCUAUCCCAAUUGGGCUGGUGAAUUUCUCUGUGACAAAUAGGCAAACAGCUCAACCUCUUUUAUCUAUCUUCUACUAGUGAGGCAAGGGAUAAAAAGUCUUCAAAAUCAUCAAAUAGUAACAUCUUCGAGAAUUCAUUUUAUGCAAAUGGAAAAUCUAGACCUUCUAAGACAAAAUGGCGUCCAGUAUCAAGAGGUACCGUUUCAAGUUUUCUUGGUAAAAAUUAUGUAAACUUGCACAGCCAGCUAAUGGCACUUUUCUAGUUUUCUGGCAUCAAAGCCAUUGAAGUCGUAUCCAAAGGAGUUUCCCAUGUCUGCACUUUGUGGAGAAGGAACUAAACAAAAACAAUCAAAGGAUGACCAUUUGCAGAAGGAUGUGGAAGAUUUUCUGUUUAAAUUGCUAGGAGAAGUGUUCCAGCUGAAUAGGGAUGUGAUUCGGGAAGUUCCAGUAAUGUCUUAAAUAUGUUGAUGCCAAUUUAAUAUAUAUUGUCAUUUUCAAUGUUCUUUCUUUCUUUCUUUAUCUUCUUUUCUUCUACUUCUUCUUCUUUUUCUUUUCGUGUGCAUGUGAUCACUAAUUUGUUAUUAUACUUAACUUGCAGGUAGUUGUGGAUAUGAUAUGCAAAAGGUAAGGACUAUAUCUUCCUGAUAGAGGCCUCUGCUUUUUCCCUUUUAUGUAAUUUAGUAAAUCUCAUCUCCCUUUGUGAUUGUUAUAUCAUAUCAAAGUCAAGUCUUAAAUACUGCUGUCAUAUGUUAAGGUUCAACUUGCAUUUUGACUAACAUCCAUUUGUUGUCGCUUCCAAAAGUGAGAAUGAGAUACUUCGGUUAAUUUCAGUAGUUGAACCCAAUCGAGUACUUUAUCUAGAUCUUCAUGGUUCAAAGGCCUGAAACUUGCCCGUGAUUGUAAAAUGAUAUUAUGUGCUUUUAAUGCAAUAGGGGGAACAAGGUGUCAAAGGAAUUAGCAGAUUCUAUGGCAGAUUCUAUGCCUGUACAACUGUAACAAUUAUCCUUAUGAUUGUAAAUCUUAUAUGUUUUCCUUAUUUAGGAUAUACUAGCUGUAGGCUAUUUUAGAUAGUUAUGUAUAUGAUAGUUUAGCUAUGUUUAGGGCUAAACAUAAGCUUGUAUUCAUAGUAUAUAAAGGGAAUUCUCUUCUAAGAGAAAGCAUAACUUUUGCUCAAAAUUCUCUGAGUUUAUCAUGGUAUCAGAGCCUCAGUUCUGAAUUCUCUUCUUCCUAGUUCAUUCCCUUGUUCUUAGUUAUUCUUUUUUUUAUCAAGUUAUCUCAGCCUCAUGUCUUCAGACAAGUAUGAUGCUUUUUUGAUCCGUUUUAAUGGCACAAACUACUCAGCCUGGGCAUUUCAUUUCGAGAUAUUUGUCAAAGGCAAAGAUCUAUGGGGACAAGUUGAUGGCAGGAAACCUGCCCCUGAUAAAGAGAUAGACCAGGAUGGGUACGCCAAGUGGGAAGUCAAGGAUGCUCAAAUCAUGGCAUGGAUUCUAGGAUCUGUGGAAUCCAACUUCAUCUUGAAUCUUCGACCCUUCAAGACUGCAGCAGGAAUGUGGAAUCAUCUAAAGAAACUCUACAGUCACACCAACACUGCUCGUUGAUUUCAGCUUGAACAUGAGCUAGCCAAUCUCCAACAAGGCAGUCUCUCUAUUUCUGAUUUUUAUUCUAUCUUUAUGAUUAUUUGGGCUGAAUAUACUGAUAUAAUCUAUGCUACCUUACCUCCGAAGGUCUUAGUUUUGUUCAAUCUGUACAUGAAACUACUAAGAGAGAUCAAUUUAUGAUAAAACUGAUAUAUGAAUUUGAAAGCACUAGGUCCAAUCUUAUGAAUUGAGAAUCUGUCCCUUCCUUGGAUACAUGCCUCAAUGACUUAUUUCAUGAGGAGCAACGACUUCUUACUCAAAAUACCAUGAAACAAAAAAAAUCUACUUCUGUUCCUAUGGCUUAUGCAGCUCAAGGCAAGCCAAAAGGUAAGGACAUCAGUAUAGUUCAAUGUUUUUGUUGCAAAGGAUUUGGACAUUACGCUUCAAAUUGUUCAAAAAAAUUAUGCAACUAUUGCAAAAAAGAUGGACAUAUCAUUAAGGAAUGCCUUACUCGACCCCCCAAGAAAUCUGAAACAACAUAUGCUACCUCAGUUGGUUCUUCUAGUGAUGGUAGUUCUGUGGAUACAGCACAUUUGACCCAAAGUGCUCCUGUUCCUGUUCAAUCUGUGACCCCAUAAAUGAUUCAACAAAUGAUCAUUAUUGUAUUCUCCUCAUUAGGACUCUCAGGUAAAUCACCCACUAGAUCUCCUUGGUACUUUGAUUCUGGGGCUUCCCAUCACAUGACAAACAAUGCUAAAUUCUUCACCAAUGUAAGUAAAUACCUUAGAAAUCUAAAAAUUCAUACAGCUGAUGGCAACUCUUUACCUAUCACAGCCACUAGUGAUGUUUCUUUUUCUAUAACCAAUGUCUUUGUCUCUCCUGGUCUUCCUACUAAUCUUGUUUCAAUCGGUCAGUUAGUUGACAAUAAUUGUAAAGUAGAAUUCUCUAAAUCUAGUUGUGUUGUGCAGGAUCAGCAGUCAGGGAAGAUGAUUGCCAGGGGGCCUAAAAUAUGACGUCUUUUCCCUCUCCAAUUUGCUAAGUCUCCAUGUUUCUCUUUGCCUAUCAUCACUUGCAAUUUUACUAAGGUUAAUUAUCGAGCAUGGCAUAAACGUCUAGGACACCUAAACUCUAAUGUAUUUUAUGCUUUGCUAAAUUCUGGUUUACUUGGGAAUAAAAGAUCACCAUCCCUUAGUGUUGUUCAAUUUGAUUGCAAUUCUUGCAAGCUUGGAAAAAGUAAAAUUCUGCCAUUUCCCACUCACACACCGAAUGUUGUCCAGCCUUUUGAUUUGAUACAUAGUGAUGUGUGGGGUAUGGCGCCUGUUACAUCUCAUGCUAAUUACAAGUACUUUGUCACUUUUAUUGAUGACUAUAGUCGCUUCACAUGGAUUUAUUUUCUACAUUCUAAAGAUGAAGUGUUCUCUGUUUUCAAGCUUUUUCAUGCAUAUAUUCAGACCCAAUUUUCUACUAAUAUCAAAAUUCUUUGCUUUGAUAAUGGGGGUGAGUAUAUGUCUCAUUUAUUUUAAGAAUUUUUGCACACCAAUGGUAUAAUUUCUCAAAGAUCUUGUCCUUCAACCCCUCAACAAAAUGGGGUGGCUGAAAGAAAGAACUAUCACCUUCUCGAUGUUGUCUUCAUUUGUACCCUCUCGUUUUUGGUGUGAAGCUUUCUCCACUGUUGUCUAUCUCAUCAACAGAUUGUCCUCUCAUUCCUUGAACCAUGUCUCCCAUUUCUUUCAGUUAUUUGGCCAUACACUAAGUUACUCUCAUCUCCAUACCUUCAGUUGUGUGUGCUAUGUUCAUCUUCCUCCAUAUGAGCGUACAAAACUCACAGCCCAAGCUGUGAAAUGUGCUUUUCUAGGAUAUUUUAUGCACUAAAAAUGUUUUCUUUGUUAUGAUCCAAAUUUGCAUCAUAUAAGGGUUUCUCGAAAUGUGAUUUUCUUUGAAAAUCAGUAUUUCUUUUCCGCAUACCACGACGAUUCUUCGCCUUCAUUUUCUGUUUUGCCAAAGUUUACUAACCCUUCUGCAGAUUCUGCACCUUCUAAACCUAUCAUAGUCUAUCAGCGACGCAAGAAUUUAGUACCUCUCGGGCCCCCUCCAGCAACUUCCCUGAAUGUUGAUCCAGUUCCAGCAACUGCACCUGAACCUUUCAGACAUAGUACUCGGGUUCGUAGACCACCAGAUAGGUAUGGUUUCACCUCUCCAUUAUUUUUGACAGCCACUUUGUCUUCUAUUCUUAUUCCUUCAUCAUAUAAACAGGCAAUAGAGCAUGAAUUUUGGUGAAAAUCUAUUGAAUCAGAACUUCUUGCACUUGAAGAAAACCAAACUUGGGAUAUUGUUUCAUGUCCUCCAUCCGUGAAACCCCUUAGUAGUAAGCUAGUGUUUUCUAUCAAGCUGCGUUUUAAUGAAUCCAUAGAUCGUUACAAGGCUCGGUUGGUGGUUCUUGGCAACAAGCAAGAAUAUGGCCUAGACUACGAUGAGACCUUCGCGCCGGUAGCCAAAAUGACCACUGUUCGAACAAUAUUAGCCCUUGCUGCAUCACAAUCAUGUUCUUUACAUUAAAUGGAUGUAAAGAACGCUUUCCUACAUAGUGAUCUCAAGGAGGAAAUUUACAUGAAACUUCCCCACGGUAUGACUACUUCCUCUCCUAAUGAUGUUUGCAAACUAAAAUGUUCGUUGUAUGGGUUGAAGCAAGCACCGCGAGUAUGGUUUGAGAAGUUUCGAUCAACUCUUUUCAGUUUUUCAUUCACUCAAAGUCAGUAUGACUCCUCCUUUUUUUUUUCCAACAGACAUCUAAGGGCAUCAUUGUUCUCCUUAUUUAUGUGGAUGACAUCGUUAUCACUGGUUCUGAUAUGGAGGCAAUUUCUAAACUUCAGAAUUUGUUGCACUCUAUUUUUCACAUGAAAGACCUCGGUCAACUCACCUAUUUUUUGGGGUUAGAGGUGCAUUAUCUGCCUCAAGGUAUCUUCUUGAAUCAACACAAGUAUAUUCAGGAUUUAAUUUAAUUAGCUGGACUUAUGGACAAAAAUUCUGUUGACACCCCAGUGGAACUUAAUGUGAAAUAUCGACAAGACGAAAGGGAACUACUUCAAGAUCCUACUUAUCUAUCUAACUAUCACCCGCCCAGACAUCUCUUAUGCUGUCCACACCGUUAGCAAGUUCAUGCAAGCCCUUCGACAUCUCCACGUAUCCACAGUCCGCCGCAUCAUUAGAUAUAUUCUUGGCACUCUUAACUGCAGUUUAUUCUUCCCUACUGGUUCUUCACUCCAACUACAAGCCUACAAUGACGCAGAUUGGGCUAGCUGCCCGGACACGAGAAAAUCUACUUUGGGAUGGUGCAUGUUUCUUGGUGAUGCCCUUAGCUCUUGGAAAUGCAAAAAGCAAGACUCAGUCUCCAAAUAAUCCACUGAGGCAGAAUACCGCGCCAUGUCUGUAGCCUGCUCCAAGAUCAUUUGGUCGCGUGGUCUCUUAACAGAGCUUGGUUUCUCACAACAUCAACCUACUCCCCUACAUGCUGACAACACAAGUGCCAUCCAAAUUGUAGCCAACCCUGUCUACCAUGAGCGCAUGAAACACAUAGAGGUUGACUGCCACUCUAUUCGAGAGGCCUAUGACCACCAAGUUAUCACCCUCCUGCAUAUCUCCACUACUCUACUGAUUACGAAUAUCUUCACCAAAUCCAUGACAUGUCAGCGACAUAACGUUCUUGUUAGCAAAUUGAUGCUUGUAGAUUUACCAGCAUCAAUUUGAGGGGGGAUGUCAAAGGAAUUAGUAGAUCUUAUGGCAAAUUCUAUGCCUGUACAGCUGUAACAAUUAUCUUUAUGGUUGUAAAUCUUAUAUUUUUUCCUUAUUUAAGAUAUACUAGCUGUAGGCUAUUUUAGAUAGUUAUGUAUAUGGUAGUUUAGCCAUGUUUAUGGCUAAACAUAAGCUCGUAUUCAUAGUAUAUAAAGGGAAUUCUCCUCCAAGAGAAAGCAUAUGAAAGAAACUUAGUUCUAUAUUGUUUGGUAGGCUAGAAAAUGAAAGAAAAUAAAAGAAAAGCUUUGCAAAGAAAACUGUUAGAUCCUUUUAUUAUACCAAACUUACAGUUUAAUGACUAAAAAUUGAUAUUUAUAUUGAGCUACAAACUCUUCACACACACACACGAGAUUGUUGCAACACAUAACCAAUUGCUGUAUAACUAACUUGACACAUCAGCUCAACCAGCUAACUAACUUUGACAGGUCAGCUUAAUGAUUUGAUCUGAUACAACCAGCUACACAGCAACAUCAUGCUCUGCUCCAGCUUCAUCUAAUUCACUAACAACUUUUGCUCAAAAUUCUCUUAGUUUAUCACAGGGAAGUAUAGCUUUGGAAAAGGCCGGAUCAAUAACUAUGGAGAGAUUUAUAAGUGAUAAAAAUUCCCGUAACCCGCUGUCAAGAAAAUUUCACAUAGUUAAAGACGCCAUUUUGUUUCAGCCAAAAAUGUUUGUUUAAUCUGCCAAAAAUGUUUGUUUCGAUUAAAGACUUGAACCGUUUUCAUUUAACCUGAUUGUGAUGCUUUAUGUUAUGUAUGUUCCUCUCAAUCAAGAAAAGUUGAGGUUCAUGAUUUUAUAUUUCUAUCUUGUAACUUGCAAUAAUAACUGGUCUUCUUGUUUUUGUAGCUUGAUAACAUGAAUUUUCCUUCUCAAGUUAAUUUGAUCAAUAAAGUAAUUCUUCAAAGAAAAUAUGCCCAUUCUAUAAUCAUUUUCUUAGCUAAUAUGUUUUUUUUUUGUUUACUCUUCAGAGUGUGUCGAAACUAAUUGAUUGCUCGGCAGAGACUUUGGGUGACAAGUCAAAAUUUCAUGGUAAAUCCUCUGAAAAGGUAUGCAUAAUUCCUGAAUAUUAAAUAACCAAUGGUCAUAGUUUUUGUACACGACUCUUUUUGUGGAGAUCGUUAAAAGUGGUUGAUGAUCCAUUUGUAAUUUCAUAGAGGGAUCAUCAAUUCCUUUUCUUUUCUGUGGCUAGGCAUCACUUUCGUGCCAAAGUAAGGAAAUCUAUUUUAGGUAAUGUAAAAAACAAUGGUAGGAUGUAAUAGCUUAUUAUGCACUGACAAUAACUUUUUGUAUAAUUGUCAGUUUAAGGAAUACAAGAGGAACUCUGUUGACAAAUUCAUCCAAGAUAGAUGCUAAAAUUAUUUAUGCAUGCCAGUUGCCUUAACUAAUUUUUCUUAACACUUGUAUUGAACAGGAAAUGAGUAUGCAAUUUGUGUACGUGCCAUUGUGGAGAAUUUGGAUAUUCUUAUUUAAGUAAGAAGAAGAGUAUUUGCCUCAUCUUUAAACAAUGAAUCUUUGAGAAAUGAGGAGUGGGUGAUUGGAAGUGUCUUCAUGUAAAUGUUCAUUUACUUGUAUUUUGAACUAUUAUGAGAAUCUUUUAUAUGCCAAAUUAGUAAUACAAAUGUUCAGAUGAUUUUUCCUGUUGAUCACGCGUUUGUGUCUGCAGACAACCAUUGUAUAUCACUUUAUUCUGAUGUGCAAUUAUGUAUAGAUUAGAAGAAAAGAAAUAAUAGUCUUAUAUUAUUGUUUGGUUCAUGAUUAUUAAACGAUUAUGGCUUCAAAAAAUCUACAAAUUCCUUCUGUUCAUAUAUGAAUGUGCCAAGUUUGCUAUAUCUUAGAUUGCCUUCUUCCAAGAUAACAAGUUCAUAUGUUUUUUAAUCCUCUUCAAUCACAGUUGAAUUUUAAGUGUUAAGAUUUGUUAUUAAUACCUGGUUCCCUGUUAUUAUGAUUUUUAUUAUGAUUUCAUAAACAGUGUACGGACAUGUGCUCUACUUUUAAAGGGCCUCCACGUGAAAGAAAAUUGCAACAAUUGAAUUCUUCCGGAGGGUAUGGCAUUUAAUUUAUUUUCUCAACUUCUUGUAAGACUAAUAUAUUUCCUUCAGUAGGCAGGGCAUGUUGGGAAGGGCUUUUAUUGAAAGAAUUCUGAUAUUUCUUAGACUUUGUUUUGGAAGGGAGGUGGAGGGAUUUCUCAUCCAUAUAUGGUUACUUGAUUAGCUUUUGACUGUAUUGCCUCAGUCGUGCAAAGGAAGAUCCAAAUACUAAUGAAUGAGAAUUGGUUAGAGACCCAAAAGACAGAAAUGAACUACAGAAGGAAGUUUUUGCUGCUUUAUUUAGUGUUCCUGAGAACUCUGAUGAAGAUGGAGUGGAGGUCCAAAGCAUUAAGAAAGGUGGUGAGUGAACCGCCAGAGGAAUUGGUACCAGAAUACAAAGCUAAUGUGGUGCAUUUGCAGCAAGAUAACCAGACUAGUAUGUGCUCUUGUAUUAACUAUAUUGACUGGAUUUGUGAGCAUGUUCAUUUUUGUGUGUAUAAUCACUUUUGUAUUUAUGCAUAUUAAUGUUAGUAGGAUUCUUGAUUUCCUCCACUUACUGGAGAACUAGUGGAAAGCUUUAUAGUGAAAUAUCUGCAAUAACUAAUGGAAACCAUGAUUUGAAUAUUUUCUCUCACCUGGAGAGCUUUGUAACAGAUGUACUUUGUGGCUAUGGAAUACUAGAGAUUCUGCAAUAACUAAUGGAAACUCUGAUAUGAAUAUUUUCUCUCACCUGCAGAACUUUGUAACAGAUACACUUUGUGGCUCUGGAAUGUCUAAAGAUUUUGUCUGCUUCAGUUAGAUCAAAUAUCUUUUAGUUACCUACAUUAUGGAAAAGAUAGAGUUCUCUGAAUCUGAAAGACUGAAACAUUUUGCAUAUUUCGUGAAAGGAAAAUAUCUGUAGAUACUAGUUCAUGCAUUGAGGUAACAUCAAUGUUAAAGAAAAACAGCAAUAACUUAUUAUAUAGAAUUAGGUUCACUUGCUUUAAAUGCUGGUCUGGUCAACCAUAUGAACCUGUAAGUGUAUCUGCAGAAAUAUAUAUGGGGGGACAAACUAGCUAAAUUUUCCUCUCAUUUCUGGCUUUGGUCAUUUUUUCCCCUUAUUUUUCAGCUUUCCUUCUCCUGAAGUAUGUUAACAAUUGCAGAUAAUGACGAAGAGGACAGCUUGCAGGCUCUUCGUGGAGCUGUGAUGGAAUAUAGGGGCACAAUGAAAGAACAUUUUAAAGCUGUAGGUUCUUUUUCUCCUGUCAUUUAUAUUUGCUCACACAUUUUUCAUAUGCUCCAAGCAUGCAAGUUUGUAUGUGUCUUUGCCUUUUAAGUUUUAAAAACCAUAAGGUAAGAAUACAGUUCCUCGUCAGGUUAUUGAUGCAUUCACUCCGGAGGAUCAUGUUCGAGCAGGAAAACUUCUAGAACAGGCAAGGUUUUCCAUCUACAGCCAUCUAUUGACAACAGAUACAUUUUCAUUCAGCAGACACUGUUAGCAUUCAAGAUGCUGGCAGAUUCACUUGAUUCUUAUUAGUUUGUUUAGUGGUAAAGCAUAUAACCUGUUUUUCAAAGCCAAGUUGUGCUAUUGAUUAUGUUAACUUUAUUGUUCACAUAAAGUGAUAUGGAGGAAAUAAUCAUUGUAGGAAAAUUAGGUGAAGAGGUGAUGUCAAAUCUUGAACCUGUUACAAAACUCCAAGUUCUUUACUUGAAGAAGCUACCAAAUUUGAACAGGGUCCACUGGAAGGCCUUGCCAUUCCCUGAUGCCUGCAGAAUUUUUGUAUUUAAAUGCCCAGAGCUUAAGAAGCUGCCACCGGAUCUUGAAAGGGCAGGCCAAGGUAAAAUUCUUAUCAAGGGAAAGGAAGAUUGGUGGAAACAACUUCAAUCGGAGGAUCAAGUAACUCAGAAUGCAUUGCUUCUAUUUUUAAAAUCAACUGACAAGUGAUUGAAGGGGGCAUCAUCAACAUCAUCAACAUGGAUGGAGAGAUUCAGGAGCAGAUCCGCAGGGUUUAUUACGACCUGUGGUGGUUGCUUUUUUGUGACUUGUUCCCUUUCAUUUUUUCACUUCCUGUCAUAUUAUCAUUUCUUUGUCUCUGUUUCUAUUGCUGAUGUUGCUGCAUGCUUGCAGCCCUUGACAAAGUUAGCAAUGCAAUAUAGAUUUUGAAAUUAAAUUUUGUAUGUUCGGGACAGUCACAAAGUACUACUUGUUCUAUAUGGGGGUGAUGUGAAUCAACUUUUCAAUUAUAUAUUCUGUGGUAAUUGUGAAUUCAAUUUCAUUUGUCUCCUGCAAAUUAUGAAGAAAGUGCAGAGUUAGAAUAUCGAAAAGUUCACUGGCAAAUACUUUGUAAAAGCUUCGGAGUGAAACAGGGAAUGCACUUGCAACUAAGGACAAAUUGGUGGCCAGCUAAUGCAUUCAUUUUAUGUACAUUCAUCUUUUUAAUUAUUGAAGAUAAGUGGUUCGUUGCUUUUGUUGUAGAAAAAAUUCAGACGACCUCAAUUGUGAGAUGAAAAUAUUUAAAAUAUCUCUUAAAUUAUUAUAAACUUUAAUUUAUCUUAAUUUUAUUUAAAAGAUAAAAGAAAAAUGUGGUAUAUGGGUAAAAAUUUUUUUAUCUUGUUAAUAAAAUGAAAUAAAUUAAAAUUUACAAUAAUUUAAAGUAUUUUAAAAUUAUUAUUUCAUAAGAGAUUAAUAUGAAAUUAAUCCUUUUUACUUUUUGAAUGUGAAAGGACAAGAAAAGAGAAAGCUAGUGUCACUGCUUUUUAUUUUAUUUGAAAUCGGAGUUAUCCCAUAUACUUUACUACUUUAGCUCUAACAUUACAAUGUUUUUAGGCUACACUUUUAUUUUUCUUUUUCCCCCUUUUUUUAUACAUGCAUGUGGAUUACUUUUCUCUAAGCUCCUUAAUAUUUAAGACAAAUCAUAAAAGCAAUUGAAGCAUAACAAGAUGAUCAAAACAUUUAACCGAAAAAAAAAGAAAUAAAACAUUGAAAAUGGAGAUGUUGAUUAAUUUAGAAGAGAUGCAAGCAAAAAAUAUUCCCAAAAAAAAAAAAAAAAAAAGCAACGUUAGUUCAUCCAUGUCUGUCAAUGCGUUUUUUAUGGUUUUUUUUUUCCAGUUGUUUGUUGUAAUAGAUUAAUUGUAAAUUGAUAUAAACUUGAUGUUGUAAUAUGUUCGCUUUUGUGGAAAUAAAUUUCAAUAUUCAAGAUUAUUCAAGUCUUAUCUAGUAUGUGUUCGGUUGUGUUGUCGAUAAUUUUACAUUCUAAUAAGUUUUCACCUAAAAUAUUAGCAUGAGUAGUAGUCCUUAAACCUUUGGUCAAAAUUAUUGUUAUUGUUUCUUUUAGAGGAAAUUUUUUUAUUAAAGCCUCGUUAACACUAUUCCUUAUUAAGAUUAUAAGUUAGUGUCGGUGCAGGAUUUGCAGCGACAAAUCUUGUCUAGCCACGUGUCAAAAUACAAAUAAAUCAAGGGAAAGCACAUGACAUGGAUUAGGAUCCAAUAAAAUUUAAAUCCCAAGGAAAAGGACAACUGUAUCCUAAAGUUUCAAUAAGAGAUACUGGGAUAUCUUUUGACUAAUGUUAUUUUUUGGCUUUAUUAAUAAAAAGAUCCAAUAGUUUAUAACAAAUAAAAAUAUAGUAUUAAGCUAAAUGUGAUAAUUUACACAUUUUACAUAAUUUCAAUAAAAAUUUUUUUAAUGUUUUACAAUCUAUCAGACAUAUUUUAUUAAAUUAAUAAGAAUUUUCUUAUAAAUAGCAACAUAAUAUUAAAAUAAAUUUAUAAAAAUUUAAAUGUAAAAUAAUUUUAGUAUAAUUAAUACGCGGGAUAUAUUUUGUAAAUUAUAAAAUUACUUAACCCAAUGAUUUUUAAAAAUCUUUAAAAUAAAUAAAAAUAAAUUAUUCACAUUUUGAUGUAAAUAUUUAAAACAUUUUUAUACAUUAGUCCACAAUUAUUUAUGUUAUAUUUGUAUUUAUUAGAAAUUUUGAAAGUCAAAUGUUUUUUACCUCUAUGUUAUUAGAAUUAUUGCACACAGAGAAAGAGCCAUAUAUGCUUUAUAACUUUAAAAUCGAUUUGUUUUAUAGCUGGGAAUAGAGAUGAUCAUUAUUAUAAGGAUUUUUUAAAAAAAGAUAAAGAAUAUUAAUGAUUAGCGAAAUCUCUAUGGAAAUUGAAUUUAGUAAGAAAAAAUUGAGCUGAUUUUAGUGGUAUAGUAAUAUUUUAUAUAGAGAAAAGUAAAAGCUGCACCCAAGGUUAAGGGAAAUGGUCAAAAUUCUUUUUUAAUCAUAAUACCCUUUUUCCUAGAUAAUUUAAAAAUUUUACUCUAAUAGUUUAUAAUAAAUAAAAACAUAUAAUCCUAAAAUAAAUAAAAUGAUAUAUAUUUUAAAAUAAUCUCAAUAUUUAAAAUAUAUUUUAACAUUUUAUAAUCUAUUAGAUAUAUUUUAUUAUAUUAAAGUAAAUUUUAUAAUAAAUACAAAACAUACUAUUAAAAUAGAUAUAAAAAUUUUAAAGUAUUUUGAAUAUUAUAUAAAAUAACUUUAAUAUUGUUAAUGCAUGAGAUGCAUUUUAUUAAUUAAAAAUUCUAUGUAACCCAAAGAUUUAUUUAUAAUAAAUUAAUAAUCAUAUUUUUGAAAUUAUUUUAAAUAUUAAAAAAUAUUUUAAUAUUACUAACUAUUAGAUAGACUAAACUAUUUAUUUUAUUUUCUAUUUAUUAUAAAAUUUCAAAGUUAAUCUUUUUAACUACUAUUCAAAAGAUGUUAUGAUAAAAACAGAAUUUUUGUGUUUUUAUUGAAAAUUUGGAGUUUACAUCUAUUUUUUCAAAUAUUCAGGGUGUAACUGUUUUUUCCCUUUUAUAUAUACGAACGGUGGUGAGAAAGUUUGAUUUAACGUUAUUUAUUUAAAUAAAAUCUCAGUUAAAAAUGUACAGAGAAGAAAUUUCGGUUGGUAUUUUAGUCUUGGUAAUCUCUAUAUUAUAUGCAUAUAAGAUACAUCAUUCUCACAUGAAUAGUAUAUGUGUGAGAUCCAUAUAUUAUUCAUGUGAGGGAGAUGUAUCUUAAUAAGAUAGAGGGAUCCGUUAGUCUUUUACCAAUCAUCACGAUUAGGCCUUGGCCUUGAAACAUUAAUUGUUUCACUUUUAGCGCUAGUGGCGUUGAAAGUUGUCAAGAAAAAGCAAGACCAUAUUCCACAAAAGCAAAAGUAACGUAGGCUCUUUUAUUAAAGGCAAAGUAUAAAGUAGUCAAGAAUCGAAUAUCCUGUCGUCUACUCUUUUUUAAAUUCUUCUUUUAUUAUCGUUUAGAAUAGUUUUUGGUAAUUACAAUCAUUAUUCAGAGUUAUUGUUAUCUUCCGGGGCAGUCUCUGUUCAUCGAAGUCGUUACCUUUUUUUUAAUGGAUCAGUUCCAGUGGUAAGCAGUAAUUUUCUUAGAACUCGGAUCUUUAAUUCGAGUUUCUGUGUGAAUUAAUAAUAAAAAAUUUUCAUUACACGCAAUUUAAGCUACGAAUUACUUUUUGCAAAGUUGAAUAUGGAAUUGGAGAAAUUAAGUAAUUUAGAAUGUUGGUAAAAAUUGACGAACAUAUCUCCAAUUACAGUAAAACCUCUCUACAGUCAUAACAUUAUAACAAAAUUAAUUUUAUUACUAUGUUGAGGUAAUAUAGGUUUAGUUACAAAAUUAUUGUUUUAAUAUGGUUAGUGUCAAGUGAUAUAAAGGUUAAGUAUGCAGUACAUUAAUAAUUAAAUAAUGAAGUGUCAAAUCUAAUGUAUAUAUAUUAAUGAUAUAGAUAGACAUAGUUUUAAAAAACUAAUUAAUGUAUAUUUAUGUAGUGUUAUGAAUAUGGAAAGUCAAGCCUACACUUUACAUUAUCCUUAAUUUUUUCUCUCAGUUAAAUUCUACAAAUAUUGUACAAUGGUUGGGCAAGAACUCUAAAUUAAGAAUAAAUUAUUGUCACAAAUAAUUUUAGAAAAUAUUUUAUUUCGUCUUAAACCUUUAAUAUAAAUAAACAUAUAUAUAUAUAUAUAUAUAUAUAUAUAUAUAUAUAUGUGUGUGUGUGUGUGUGUGUGUGUGUGUGUGUGUGUGUGUGUGUGUGUGUGUGUGCAUAUUUUGCAACGUAUAGAUAAUUGUUAGUAUAUGGAGACAAGUCUUUUAAGGUAGGACCUAGGAAAAUUUAUAACUUACUACACUGUGGAGUUUUUAUUCCUUUUUAUAAUUGGCUCAUAUUGAUACAUUCUUACACAAAAUAUUACCAUUGACAUAUUUUACUACAAUUAGUUUAGAACAUUUGUUAGGAAAAAAAAGAAAAGAAAAGAAAACAUCCCUUGGAUGUAGCUCUCCUGACUAUUUAAAUCUUUUAAGGAAAAAAAGAAAAAAGAAAAACUGGCACAUUCAAAUCUUGAAGCAAUUACAUUAAAAUCUCUCCAUAAUGAUAGGAAUAAUCUCCAUUUAGUAAUAAAAAAUUUUGUUCGCAAUUUAGGCAGAGUUAUAAAUAAGAAUAAAAUCCUCAUUGUAAUAAGUUAUAUUUAUUAUGGAUCCCAUCCUAAGGAAUUCGUCUCUAUAUAGUAAUAAUUAUUUGCAUAUUAUAAAUAUAUAUGUUGCAUUAGAUUAAAUGAACUUGUCUCCACAUACUACUUAGACAACGAGAGAAAAUUAUUAAAGAGAACACAAAUAUUUAGAUAUUUUUAAGAUUACUUUGCAUAUUUAUAACAAUAAUACAUUGAUAUAUGUAUUAGUUUUUUGAUAUAUUAGAUUUAACAUGCUCUAUUAAUAAAUUAUUAAUACGAUGCAUAUUCAUCUCUAUAUCCUUGCAAUAAAAGUAACUAAGUUAUAACAAUAAUUAUUAAUAAAUUAUUAAUACGUUGCGUACUUCAUCUCUAUAUCCUUACAAUAAAAAUAACUAAGUUAUAAUGAUAAUUUUUGUAACUACAUACUUAUUAGGUUUUAACUACUUCAUAAUAAUAAAUUAGUUUCGUCCUAAUAUUAUAAUUAUGUAGAGUUGUAGUGUAUAGACACACCCAAUUUAAAUAGUAUAUCAAAUAAAAUUGUCCCCACGAAAAAGAAAAAAGGGGUAAAGGAUUCUCAUUUCUUCAAACAUUAGGAUCACGUUUGUACAAGUGCGAUGCCUUUCUUUUGAAGGCAACGUCAGUGGGUACCCAAUAGGACGUGUGUAAAUCUUUCCAAAAUUUCUCUGGUAUAACGGACAGAGAUCAUUACUUUUCUCUUCCAUAUACCACAGCAGCUUCAGUUAAUCAGACUCAAUCAAUUUUCUUGGUUUCUUCGCUUAUCAAAAUUCCAAAAUAUGGGUAGCAUAUUUCAAAUCACAUGCGAUGGUGCUUUUUUCAAUCGUUGCUUGGAUUGCUUUCUUGGAAAAGUAGCAAACACAAGUAAGCUCCAAGAUAACCUUGUUGCCUUGGAGACUGAAUUGGGAAAACUAAUCGCAGCAAAGAACGAUGUGAUGAUGAGGGUUGUCAAUGCUGAACGGCAACACCUGAGAACGCUGGACCAAGUGCAAGUGUGGCUUUCGAGGGUGGAAGCUGUUGAAACUGAAGCUGAUGAAUUGAAAAGACACGGCUCUCAAGAAAUUGACAAAUUAUGUGUUGGAGGCUACUGUUCCAAGAACUGCGCGUCAAGCUACAAGUUCGGGAAACAAGUGGCUAAAAAGCUACGGGAUGUGCAGACUUUAAUCGACGAAGGAGUUUUUGCGGCGGUGGCUACCGAGGUGGUGCCUGAGAGAGCUCCAGAACCUGUAGCAGAUGAAAGACCCACUGAGCCAACAAUAGUAGGCUUGCAAUCACAACUUGAACAAGUUUGGAGAUGUCUUGUAGAAGAAUCAGUGGGAAUCAUUGGCCUAUAUGGUAUGGGCGGUGUUGGUAAAACUACACUAUUGACCCAUAUCAACAAUAAAUUUCUUGAGAGUCCAACCAGUUUUGAUUGUGUGAUUUGGGCCGUAGUUUCAAAGGACUUGCGACUCGAAAAAAUUCAAGAAGAUAUUGGGAAAAAGAUCGGUUUGGUUGAUGAUUCAUGGAAGAGUAAAAGUGUAGAGGAGAAAGCUCUCGACAUCUUCCGGAGUUUAAGAGAGAAGAGAAUUGUAUUGCUGUUAGAUGAUAUAUGGGAGCGGGUUGAUUUAACAAAAGUGGGCAUUCCACUUUCCGGACCAAAAAAUACUACAUCAAAAGUCGUAUUCACAACCCGUUUCGUCGAUGUUUGUGGUAGCAUGGAAGCUGACAAGAAGUUCCAGGUGGCAUGCUUAUCAGAAGAGCAUGCUUGGGAACUGUUUCGAAAAAAAGUUGGGGAAGAAACUCUUGAGAGUGAUCAUGAUAUCGUUGAGCUAGCCCAAACUGUGGCCAAAGAGUGUGGUGGUUUGCCACUCGCACUUAUUACUAUUGGUCGAGCUAUGGCCUUCAAAAAGACAGCCGAGGAGUGGAGUCAUGCAAUUGAUGUGCUAAGAACAUCAGCUUCUGAGUUUGCAGGUUUGGGAGAAAAGGUUUAUCGUCUUUUAAAGUUUAGCUAUGAUAGUUUGCAGAAUGAGACGAUUAGAUCUUGUUUCUUAUAUUGUUGUUUAUAUCCCGAGGAUUAUAGCAUUCUUAAAUGGGACUUGAUUGAUUGUUGGAUUGGUGAGGGAUUCUUAGAGGAAUCUGACAGGUUCAGUGCAGAAAACCAAGGAUACUACAUUGUGGGCACUCUUGUUCAUGCAUGUUUAUUGGAAGAGUUAGAAGAUGAUAAAGUAAAAAUGCAUGACGUUGUUCGUGAUAUGGCUCGAUGGAUAGCUUGUGAAAUUGAGAAGGAGAAGAGAAAAUUUUUGGUUUGUGCAGGUGCUGGAGUAGGAGCGGUGUCAGAUGUUGAAGGAUGGGAAAAUGUGGGAAGAUUGUCAUUGAUGCAAAACCAAAUUGAAAUUCUGUCAGAGGUUCCCACAUGCCCUCAUCUCCUCACUUUAUUUCUUGACUUUAAUUAUAAAUUGGAGAUGAUCACCGAUGGCUUCUUCCAAUGUAUGCCUUCUCUCAAAGUUUUGAAGAUGUCAAACUGUGGGCAUGUCAAAGUUUUGAAAUUACCUUUUGGGAUGUCAAAGCUGGGUUCACUACAACUUCUUGAUAUUUCACAUACCGGCAUAAGAGAGUUACCAGAAGAGUUAAAGUUGUUGGUAAAUCUGAAAUGUUUGAAUUUGAGGUGGACACAUAUGUUAAAUAAAAUUCCACGGCAGCUAAUAUCAAAUUCUUCAUGGUUACGUGUGUUGAGAAUGUUCGCUAUUGGCUUUGAAAAUUCUAAAGAACCAUCAGAAGACAGCGUUUUAAUUGGUGGGGGUGAAGUUUUAGUACAUGAAUUGCUCGGUUUGAAAUAUUUAGAGGUAUUGGAGUUGACCUUGCGAAGUUAUGAUGCUCUCCAAUUUUUUUUGAGCUCAAAUAAGUUAAAAAGUUGUAUUCGAUCUCUUUUCCUCAAUAAGCUGGGAGAUACAAAGUCGAUUCAUGCUACGGCUUUCGCAGAUCUAAAGCAUCUCAAUGAACUAUGCAUUCGUUCGGCAGUGGAGUUGGAAGAAUUGAAGGUUGAUUAUACAGAGAUUGCGCCAAAAAGGUCGGAACCUUUUGUUUUCCGCAGCCUUCACCGUGUUACUAUGGAGCGGUGCCAUAAAUUGAAAGAUUUGACAUUCCUCGUUUUUGCUCCAAGCCUCAAGUCUCUUUCGCUAUACGGUUGCAAUGCUAUAGAAGAAAUAAUCAGCGUUGGAAAAUUUGCUGAGACUCCUGAGGUGAUGGGACAUAUAAGCCCUUUUGGAAAUCUCCAAACGCUUUAUUUAACUGAUUUGCCAGAGUUGAAAAGCAUCUACUGGAAGCCAUUGCCUUUCACUCAUCUCAAAGAAAUGACGGUACAUGGGUGUAAUCAGCUUAAAAAGCUUCCAUUCGAUUCCAACAGUGCAACAGAGCGUAAAUUUGUUAUUCGUGGAUACACACUCUGGUGGAACCGUCUUCAAUGGGAGGAUGAAGCCACUCAAAUUGCUUUUCGUUCCUGUUUCCAAUCUCAUGAAAUAUAAAUUCCUGAGCGGUGGUUGCAAAAUUUGAUUUCUAGUGAGUGCUUUUUUCUUAAACUCUUACAUAUAUUCUCGUCGUUUGCUUCGUGCAACGGACUAGGUUUUUAUUUCAGAUUCGUUUUUUGUCUCCUGCAAAUCACAAUUAAAUGUUGAAUUAUAUGGAGUCAAUGCUUUAUAAAAUUUUCAAGGCACUGCCAUUUCCUUUUUCUUUUUCUUUUUUUUUUUGGGUCGAAUUGAUGCUCUGGCUUUUUACUUUUUGUUGUCACAUUUUGCUCUGUUUUUUCAAGUUGAUGCUUGAAUAGUUGAAUUCAAUUGAUGCUCACAUAAAUUUGUUUAGUUGCCGCAAAAGGAUAUAAUUAGACUGAAGUACACACUUCUAGAAUGAAUACAAAAUGUUAAGUAUACUAGCCCUCUUUACAGAAAAUCAAAUGAAAAUCAAUUUUUUGGGGCUUUGAUUUUCUAUGGUCUAUUAUAUACUCUUUUUAAUAUCUUCUGUUCUAACUAUAACCAAAUCCUUUGUUCAAGGAUUUUUAUUUGGGGUAUUGAUAACUGUCCACCAAAAGAGUGAACACUUGGAUGCUGCUCAAGGAUCUCUAAUCAAUAGCUGGAAGCAACUGAGAAGGCGGUCGCUACUGUUUACAAAGCGAUGCAGUAUUUGCCAUUCAUCUUAAUAAUUAUGAAGCUUUGGUAAAAUUUUCAAACAAAGUUGAACACAUGUUGUUUUGAGAUUUGGUUCAUGAUUUUGGAUGAAUAUCGUUGUUCCGUUUGAGUUGGAUGUGAAUUCAAAAUCUAUAUAUUCUUUGGUUUUCAAUUCUGAACUCAAUUUCUUUUUCUCAAGCAUGUUAUGCAGAAAUGAUUUUUUACUAAAUCAUUUUUGAUGAAUUGUUUAAAUUAAACAAUUGGAAUAAGAAUUGAAAAGGUUUAUCAUAAGCAUGCUAAUAUGAUAAGUUGUUUUAUGAACGAUUAAUUAAUUAAUCAAUUAAUAUUAAAUUAUCUAUUAGUCAAUUAGAUAUGCGUUACAUGUCAUGUUUAAAAAUUAUUUAUUUAUAUUUCAAACAAAUUUGACUGGAUGUUGUGUAGGUAAUACUACAUAAUUUCAAAACAAAAAAAGUAAUAAAAACACGUUAAAUUUUGUUUUUAUGAAGAAAAAUUUAAAAUUUUAUUAAAUAGGUGAAAAUAAUAAAUGGAUUCGUGUAUGGUUUGAGAUUCUUGACAUAAUUAUGAAAUAAGCCGGAUUCGACUUAGUUCAAUUUUGACGCGAUAAGAAGACGACACCACACAAACACACGAUAAGAACCGUUACCUGAGAAGAUUGCCAUCAGGAAUUUUGAAAUUGAUUUCACUACAAUACCUUAAUCUUUCAGAUACUACCAUCACUGAGCUGCCAGAAGAGCUAAAAGCCUUGGUAAAUCUUAAGUGUUUGAACUGUACACAAAUUAUCUCUCUACAAUUCAAAAACAACUAAUUUGUUACUUUUUCAAUGCUACAUGUUCUGCGAAUAUUGAGUUGUGGUUAUCUUGUUGAAAUAUCAGACAAUAGAGUUCUAUUUGGUGGUAGUGAAUUGUUGGUUGGGGAGUUGCCUAGUUUAAAACGUUUAAAUGUAUUAAGCAUCACCUUACAAGGUUUUUCUGCUGUCCAAAAACUUAUGAGCUCUCAAAAGUUUCAAAGCUGUACAAAAUGUUUGGAGCUUAUAGACUGUGAUGAUUCAAAGUCUUUUGCCUUGGCAGAGUUGAAGCAUCUCGAAAAACUAGUUUUUUGAAUUGUGGAAGAGUUUAAGUUCUGCUUUGUUGAAGUUGGAAAAGCUCAAGAAUGUUUUCGUUUGAACAGUUUUCACCGAGUUAAUAUAAAGGCUUGUCAUAAAUUGAGGGACGUGACAUGGCUUGUAUUUGCUCCAAAUCUUACAGUUAUUCAAAUAGAAAAAUGUAUGCAGAUGGAAGUAAUAGUCAGUGCAAGGAAAUUGGGUGAAGUUCCAGAGAUGAUGGCAGAUCUAAACCCUUUUGCAAAUAUCUUUGCCAGCGAGUUCUACCAAAAUUAAAAAGCGUCUAUUGGAAUGAGUCACCCUUUCCACAUGUCAGGGAAAUUAUUGUAUCUGAAUGCCCAAUUCUCAAGAAGCUUUCACUCGGUUUUAACAAUGCAAAGGAAUCUAAAAUUGUCAUUAGGGGAGAGGAACACUGGUGGAGUGAGCUGCAAAGGGAGGAUGAAGCGACCGUUAAUGCUUUUCUUCCUUGUUUCGGUUCCAUUUGAUAGGCAUCAACAUGGAUUUAUAUUUUGCGGUGGACAACUUGUGGUAAGUGCUUUUCCAUUUAUUACAUGUUUAUAUCUAACUUUUGUUUUCCUUUAUGGUUAAAUUUUACUGUAUAUAUGUUGUUAUACGGUGACAUUCUCGCAUCAAUUAUUAGCUUUUUAAUUCUCUUCUGGCAUUAAUUGCCCUUCUGAUCAUGUAGGAUAUGCCGAUGUCAAAGAGUAGUAAAUUGGGAUACAAAUGUAAGAAUUAGCCAGAUGACAUGUUGUUUUGAAGCUCUCUCGAAGGACUAGUUAUGUCAUUCAAAGCAUCCAAUUUCGCUACUUUUUUUUUCAUUUGUUGCUUUUUAUAUUUCUAGAUAGCUUGAUAUUCGGCCAAGACAUCGAUAGGAGGGCACAUUGUGCAUGCACACUAGUGGAUGAUUUGGGCAUGCCGAAUCCAAUUAGCGUGGAUGACCCUUUAUAAGCAUCAGGCUUCUCUCAUACCAGAGCAAUGUAGAAUAUGUUUAUAAACUGUGGAUUACCCUUUAUAAGUUUAGACUUCUUCUAUACUCGAGCGAUGUGGAAUACCUGUAUAAGCAUUAAGCUUCUCUCAUACACUUUAUGUUAAAAAUAAUAAUAAUAAUAAUAAAAUAAAUCCAUUUUAAAAUAGGCUCUUUUUUUCUUUUUUUAUAUAAACAAAAUGCAUUCUUCAAAUCAAUAGUGGGUGGAAGAAGUGAGUAGAGAAGGACUAGGCCCCUUCAUUCCGCCUAAAACCUCACCGAAACCUCUCUUGUGAACUUCUCAGAUUCUCUCUCAAUAUUUCUUAUGAUCUCGUUUUUGAUAGAAUCACUUCUAUUGCAUGCUGCAUUUUGUGCGUCGUUUUUGGGUAAUAUCUUAUCUGGAAUGCUGUUAUGAUCAAUAGAACAAGUAAUCAAUUUUUGGUUUGACGGAAGUCGAUUUAUUUAUUUACUAUUGUUUUUUAUUUGAAAUUUUGACAGUUGUGUUUCAUUCAUUUCUUUCCUUCUUUUUUUAUUUUAUAUUUAUUAUGUAUAAUUGUGUUUCAUUUGAUAUUGAUCAUACUGUAGAUAACUAUGUGAUUGUAGCUGGGGAUUUUAAGUUUUGUGAAUUCAAGAAACUGUCAAAAUGCUAGUGAAAUUGGGACCUUUAUUCAUAAGCUUGUGGUUUUCAAAAGUAGCCGGGUUCAACUGAUGAAGUUCCUUUUUGGGAUUCUUUUUUUUCUAGGCUGCAAUUCGGAUAUGUACCUGAUAGACAAUCUUUUGUGAGUUUAGCAUAUCUUCUCCGAUUUUGUCUUUUAUUCCCCAACUUUACAGCUACACACCAUGAAUGCUGGGUGAUUGUACAGAAAAUUUGUGUUAGAACAAAAGCAUUGUGAAGGAGUUUCUGUGCUAUAAGUUAUUGGCUUCAGCUUUAUUGGCAUUAAUUGGGUAGAUUAUGUGUUACAGUGAUUCAAUUUGUGAUCCACACUUUAAUUUUCUCUUUUCCCCAAUUAUUUAUGUCAAAUUCAAAUCCAGAAGCAUGCGCUGAUUUUUUUUUUUUUUUGUGAUAAUCUGUGAAGUUUAUUUGGAAAGGACGUAUCUGGGUUUAAUGGAUUAAAUUAUGACAUUGAGGGAAAGGCACUAAAGGUUUUGCUUGACACAUUUGGUCUGUGUUUACUCUGCAAUAAAUAGCUUCGCUUAUCAGAAAUCCCUAUUUGGCUGGUGAAUUUCUCUGUGACAGACAGGCAAACACCUAAACCGCUUCUAUCCAUUUUUCUGCUGGUGAGGUAAGGGGUAAAAAGUCUUCAAAAUCAUCAAAUAGUAACAUCUCUGAGAAUUGGUUUUAGAAAAAUGGAAAAUCUAGACCUACUAGGACAAAAUGGCGUCCGGUAUCAGGAGGUACCGUUUCAAGUUUUCUUGGUAAAGAAUAUAUUAAACCUGCGCAACCAGCUAAUGGCACUUUUCUGGCAUCAAAGCCAUUGAAGUUGGAUCUAAAGGAGUUUUCCCAUGCCUGCAUUGUGCAGAGAAGAAACUAAACAAAAACAAUCAAAGAAUGACCAUUUGCAGAAGGAUACGGAAGAUUUUCUAUUUAAAUUGUUAGGAGAAGGGUCCCAGCUGAACAGGGAUGUGAUUCAGGAGGUUCUCGGUAAUGUCUUAAAUAUACUGAUGCCAAUUUAAUACAUAUUGUCCUUUUCAAUGUUCUUUCUUUCUUUCUUUUUUUUUUCCUUCUUCUUCUUUUUCUUUUCGUGUGCAUGUGAUCACUGAUUUGGUAUUAUGCUUAAGUUGCAGAUAGCUGUGGAUUUGAUAUGCAAAAGGUAAGGACUAUAUCUUCCUGAUGUAGGCCUCUGCUUUUUCCCCUUCUAUGUAAUUUAGUAAUUCACAUCUUCCUUUGUGAUUGUUAUAUCAUAUCGAAGUCAAGUCUUAAAUACUGCUGUCAUAUGUGAAGGUUCAACUUGCAUUUUGAUUAAGAUCCAUUUGCUGCUGCUUCCAAAAGUGAGAAUGAGAUACUUUGGUUAAUUUCAGUGGUUGAACCCAAUAGAGAACUUUAUUUAGAUCUUCAUGGUUCAAAGGCCUGAAAAAACUUGCCCGUAAUUGUAAAAUGACAUUCUGUGCUUUUUAUGCAAUAGGGAACAGGGAAGUAGAGCUUUGGAAAAGCCUGGAUUGAUAACUAUGGAGAGACUUAUUAUUUAAGUGAUGAAAAAUUCCCAUCGCCCGCAGUCAAGAAAAUUUCAGAUAGUUAAAGACUCCAUUUUGCUUCAGCCAAAAAUGUUUGUUUCAAUUAAAGACUUGAACCAUUUUCAUUGAACCUGAUUGUGAUCCUUUACGUUAUGCAUGUUCCUCUCAAUCAAGAAAAGUUGAGGUCAUGAUUCUAUAUUUCUAUAUUGUAACUUGAAAUAAUAAUUGGUCUACUUGUUUCUGUAUCUUGAUAAUAUGAAUUUUCCUUCUCAAGUUAAUUUGUUCAAUAAAGUAAUUCUUCAAAGAAAAUAUGCCCAUUCUAUAAUCAUUUUCUUAGCUCAGAUGUUUUUUCUUCACUCUUCAGAGCAUGUCAAAACUAAUUGAUCGCUUGGCAGAUACUUUGGGUAAGAAGACAAAAUUUCUUGGUAAAUCCUCGGAAAAGGUAUGCAUAAUUCCCGAGUAUUAAAUAACCAAUAGUCAUAAUUUUUGUACAUGACUCUUUUUUCUCUUUUUUGUGGAGAUCAUUAAAAUUGGUUGAUGAUCCAUUUUGUAACAUCAUAGAGGGAUCAUCAAUUCCUUCUCUUUUCUGUGGCUAGGCAACACUUUCAGGCCAAAGUAAGAAAAUCUAUUUUAGGUAAUGUGAAAACCAACGGUAGGAUGUAAUAGUUUAUUAUGCACUGACAAUAACUUUUUGUAUGGUUGGCAGUUUAAUGAAUACAAGAGGAACUUUGUUGACAAAUUCAUCCAAGAUAGAUGCUAAAAUUAUUUAUGCAUGCCAGUUGCCUUAACUAAUUUUUCUUAACACUUGUAUUGAACAGGAAAAUGAAUAAGCAAUCUGUAUAUUGUGCCAUUGUGGAGUAUUUGGAUAUUCUGAUUUAAAUAACAAGGAGAAUACUUGCCUCAUCUUUAAAUGAGGAGUGGGGGAUUGGAAGUGUCUUCAUGUAAAUGUUCAUUUAUUUGUAUUUUGAACUAUUAUGAGAAUCUUAUAUGCCAAAUCAGUAAUACAAAUCUUCAGAUGAUUUUUGCUGUUGAUCAUGGGUUUGUGUCUGCACACAACCAUUGUAUAUCACUUUAUUCUGAUGUGCAGGUAUGUGUAGCUUAGAAGAAAUGGAAUAAUAAUCAUCUAUUAUUGCUUGGUUCAUGAUUAUUAAACGAUUAUGGCUUUAAAAAGUCUACAAAUUCCUUCUGUUCAUAUAUGAAUGUGCCAAGUUUGCUAUAUCUUAGAUUAUCUUCUUCCAAGAUAACAAGUUCAUAUUCUUUUUAAUCUUUUUCCCUCACAGUUGACUUUUAGGUGUUAAGAUUUGUUAUUAGUCCCCUGUUAUUAUGAUUUCAUAAACAGUGUACGGAUAUGUGCUCUAACUUUGGAGGACCUCCACAUGAAAGAAAAUUGCAACAAUUGAAUUCUUCCGGAGGGUAUGGUCUUUAAUUUAUUUUCUCAACUUCUCGUAAGAUUAAUAUAUUUCAUUCAGUAGGCACAGCAUGGGGGGAAGGGUUUUUAUUGAAAGAAUUCUGAUAUUUCUUAGACUUUGUUUUGGAAGGGGGGUGGAGGGAUUUCUCAUCCAUGUAUGGUUACUUGAUUAGCUUUUGACUGUAUUUCCUCAGUCAUGUAAAGGAAGAUCCAAAUACCAACGAAGGAAUAUUGCCUAGACACCCGAAAGACAGAAAUGAGCUACAGAAGCAAGUUUUACUACUUUAUUUAGUGCUCCUGAGAAAUCUGAUGGAGACCGAAUGGAGGUCCAAAGCAUUGGAAAAGGUAGUGAGUGAACCGCCGGAGGAGUUGGCACCAGAAUGCAAGGCUAAUGUGGUGCACUUGCAGCAAGAUAACCAAACCGGUAUGUGCUCUUAUAUUAACUAGACUGACUGGAUUUGUGAGUGUGUGCAUUUUUUUGUGUAUACUCUUGUAUUUAUGCAUAUUAAUGUGUGUAGGAAUUUCUGCCACUUACUGGAGAACUAGUGGAAAGCUUUAUAUCGAUAUAUCUGCAAUAACUAAUUGGAAACUAUGAUAUUAAUAUUUUCUCUCACCUGAGGAACUGUGUAACAGAUAUACUUUGUGGCUCUGGAGUACUAGAAAUUCUGCAAUAACUAAUGGAAACUAUGAUAUGAAUAUUUUAUCUCAACUGGAGAACUUUGUAACUUGUAGCUCUGGAAUGUCUAAGGAAUUUUGUCUGCUUCAGUUAGAUCAAAUAUCUUUUAGUUGCAUACAUUAUAGAAAAAGAUAAAGUUCUCUGAAUCUGAAAGACUGAAACAUUUUGUAUAUUUUGUGAAAGGGAAAUAUCUGUAGAUACUAGUUCAUGCAUUGAGGUAACAUCAAUGUUAAAGAAAAACAGCAAUAAGUUAUUAUGUGGAACUAGGUUCACUUGCUUUAAAUGCUGGUCUGGUCAACCAUAUGAACCUGUAAGUUCUGCAGAAAUAUAUAUACGGGGAGAAACUAGCUAAAUUUUCCGUUCAUUGAUGGCUUUGGUCAUUUUUUUCCCCUUAUUUUUCAGCUGUCCUUCUCCUGAAGUAUGUUAACAACUGCAGAUAAUGAUGAAGAGGACAGCUUGCAGGCUCUUCUUAGAGCCAUGAUGGAAUAUAGGGGCACAAUGAAGGAACAUUGCAAAGCUGUAGGUUCUUUUUCUCCUGUCAUUUAUGUUUUCUCACACAUUUUUUAUAUGCUCCAAGCAUGCAAUUUUGUAUGUGUCAACUGCUUUCUAAGUUUUAAAAACCAUAAUGUAAGAAUACAGUUUCUUGUCAGGCUAUUGAUGCAUUUGCUCAGGGGGAUCAUGUUCGAGCAGGAAAACUUCUAGAACAGACAAGGUUUUCCAUCUACAGCCAUCUAUUGACAACAGAUAUAUUUUCAUUCAGCAAACACUGUUAGCAUUCAAGAUACUGGCAGAUUCACUUGAUUCUUAUUAGUAAUGUUUAGUAGCAAAGGAUAUAACCUGUAUUUCAAAGCCAAGUUGUGCUAUUGAUUAUGUUAGCUUUAUUGUUCACAUAAAGUGAUAUGGAGGAAAUAAUGUGAAGUGAUAUGGAGGAAAUAAUCAAUGUAGGAAAAUUAGGUGAAGAAAUGAUGUCAAAUCUUGAACCUCUUACAAAACUCCAAGCUCUUUACUUGAAUAAGCUACUAAAUUUGAACAGGGUCCACUGGAAGGCCUUGCCAUUCUCUGAUGCAUGCAGAAUUUUUGCAUUUAAAUGCCCAGAGCUUAAGAAGCUGCCACUGGAUCUUGAAAGGGCAGGCCAAGGUAAAAUUCUUAUCAAGGGAAAGGAAGAUUGGUGGAAACAACUUCAAUGGGAGGAUCAAGUAACUCAGAAUGCAUUGCUUCCAUUUUUAAAACAACCAGCAAGUGAUUGAAGGGGGCAUCAUCAACGUCAUCAACAUGGAUGGAGAGAUUCAGGAGCAGAUCAGCAGGAUUUAGUACGACCUGUGGUGGUUUCUUUUUUGUGACUUUUUUCCCUUUCAUUUUUUCACUUCCUGUCAUAUUAUCAUUUCUUUGUCUCUGUUUCUAUUGCUGGUGUUGCUGCAUGCUUGCUGUCCUUGACAAAGUUAGCUAGUUUUUUUUUUUUUAAUUAAAUUUUGUAUGUUCGGUCGGGACAGUCACAAAGUACUACUUGUUCUAUAUGGGGGUGAUGUGAAUCAACUUUUCAAUUAUAUAUUCUGUGGUAAUUGCGAAUUCAAUUUCAUUUGUCUCCAGCAAAUUAUGAAGAAAGUGCAGAGUUACAAUAUGGAGAAGUUCACUGGCAAAUACUUUGUAAAAGCUUCGGAGUGAAACAGGAAAUGCACUUGCAGCUAAGGACAAAUUGGUGGCCAGCUAAUGCCUUCAUUUUAUGUACAUUCAUCUUUUUAAUUAUUGAAGAUAAGUGGUUCGUUGCUUUUGUUAAGAUUAUAAGUUAGCGUCGGUGCAGGAUUUGCAGCAACAAAUCUUGACUAGCCACGUGUCAAAAGCACAAAUAAAUCAAGGGAAAGCACAUGACAUGGAUUAGGAUCUAAUAAAAUUUAAAUCCCAAGGAAAAUGACAACUGCAUUAUGAAGUUUCAAUAAGGGAUACUGACUAAUGAUAUUUUUUGGCUUUAUUAAUAAAAAAAGAAUAUUUUAUAACAAAUUAAAACAUAAUAUUAAGCUAAAUGUGAUAAUUAUAUACAUUUUAAAUAAUUUCAAUAAAAAAACAUUUUAAUGUUUUACGAUCUAUCAUACAUAUUUUAUUAAAUUAAUAUGAAUUUUUUUUUAUAAAUAGCAACAUAAUAUUACAACAAAUUUAUAAGGAUUUAAAUGUAAAAUAAUUUUAGUAUAAAUAAUACGUGGGAUAUAUUUUGUAAAUUAUAAAAUUAUUUAACACAAAGUUUUUUAAAAAAUAUUUAAAAUAAAUAAAAAUAAAUUAUUCACAUCUUGAUUUAAAUAUUUAAAAUAUUUUUAUAUAUUAGUCUACAAUUAUUUAUGUUAUAUUUUUAUUUAUUAGAAAUUUUGAAAGUCAAAUGUUUUCACCUCUAAGAGAAAGACACAUAUGCUUUAUAGCUUUAAAAUCGGUCUGUUUUAUAUCUGGAAACAAAUAUAUCAUUAUUGGUAAGGAUUAAAAAAAGGGAUAAAGAAUAUUAAUGAUUAAUGAAAUCUCUAUGGAAAUUGAAUUUAGUAGGAAAAAAUUGAGCUAAAUGAUUUAGACAUUUAGUGGUAUAGUAAUAUUUUAUAUAUAGAAAUGUAAAAGCUGCACCCGAGGUUAAGGGAAAUGUUCAAAACUCUUUUUUACUCAUAAUACCCUUUGUCCUAACUAACUUACAAAUUCGACUCUAAUAUUUUAUAAUAAAUAAAAAUGUAAUCCUAAAAUAAAUAAAAUAAGAUAUAUUUUAAAAUAAUCUCAAUAUUUAAAAUAUACUUUAAUAUUUUAUAGUCUAUCAGACAUAUUUAAUUAUAUUAAAGUAAAUUUUGUAAUAAAUACAAACAUACUAUUAAAAUAGAUAUAUAAAAAAUUUAAAGUAUUUUGGAUAUUAUAUAAAAGAACUUUAAUAUUGUUAAUACGUGAGAUAUAUUUUAUUAAUUAAAAAUUCUAUUUAACCCAAAGAUUUAUUUAAGAUAAAUUAACAAUCAUAUUUGUGAAAUUAUUUCAAAUAUUAAAAAAUAUUUUAAUAUUACUAACUAUUAGAUAGACUAAACUAUUUAUAUUAUUUUCUAUUUAUUAUAAAAUUUCAAAAUUAAUCUUUUUAACUACUAUUCAAAAGAUAUUAUGAUAAAAAUAAUUUUUUUGUGUUUUUAUUAAAAAUUUGGAAUUUGCAUAACUCUUUUUUUAAAUAUUGGGGUAUAGCUGUCUUUUCCCUUUUAUAUAUACAAACCACAGUGGUGAAAAAGCUUGAUUUAAUGUUAUUUAUUUAAACAACACCGAUAUUCACACCACAUUGAGCACCAUAGUUUUUUUUUUUUUUUUGAAAAGAAAGUACACCUUUCAUUGAAUUAAGAGAAAAGAAACAAAACAUCCUCUGGAAAUUCAUCCAGCCAAAUACAAGGGUCUGACUUUUUGAAAGCCAACUUUGCCAAAUCAUGCGCUAAAAAGUUACACAUCCUAAGGACGUGCUGAGCUUUAAAAUUCUGAAAGAUUUUCUUAGCUUCUAUAAUAUCAAAAAUCACCCAAAAGGUGUCUGUCAAAGUGCUUCUCUUGUUAUUGAUUAGCUCUAUCACCCCUUUAGAAUCAGACUCUAAGAUAACUGAAGUUGCCCCUGCCUUGGCAGCUGCCUGCAUUCCCCACAAAACAGCUUUUGCCUCACUCAACUCCACAUCUCCUGAGCUCUUAAAAGUGCUAACAGCUGCAGCAACUGUUUCUCCCUUAUGGUUUUUAACUACUGCUCCCAGCCCAGCAAGAUAAUUCACCCUAUCCAUAGCAUCAUCAACAUUUACCUUAAGCCAUCCUUCUUCGGGUGGACUCCAUUGGCUUUGCUGAACAUUGUUUUGUUCUGCUAAGAAAUCCUCUUCUGACAUUGAGCACCAUAGUUAAGUACAAAACGGUGCGUUUUGUUCACGCAUGUUAGUAAACACCCACGCAACUUACACACAUACGCGCGGCUCACAACACGCGCUCUCCUCGCCCUAAAUCUCACCUGAUUGAAGCCACAAAUUUGGCCACGUUCUCCCACAGCUCUCUCCGUUCUGACCGUUUACUCUUCCUCUAGCCCCAUCGAUUACAUCUCUCAUAGCACCUCAUUCAACCGACGUAAUUGCCAGAAAACAACCUACCUGGUAAUAAAAGUCGAUUCUCUUACAAUUUUGGCCCAAAAAAAAAAAUUGCACAACUGAAAAAUCAAAAUGCCACUCUUUAAAACCAAAAAUCAAUUUUGGGCCCCCUUCAUCACCGCCUUCACUCUAGAUUUUUUCAAUCCACUUUGUCGUCAAAACCGUGGUGUUCUUAAACCAUUAUUAUAUUCACCAUCCCCUUAAUCACAUCCAACCAUCCCCAUUAUUCGUUUGUCAAACACGCUGUUCUCUUCCCAAAUUAAUUAAUUAAUUAAUGACAGACAGGAACAAAAGUACUUUAAAUCUCUGCCAAAUCGUAUUGUUAUUACUUCUUCCGAGUCGAGGCCACGUCGUUCUCGAUGGAAACCAUUGCUUUUUAUUACCACUCUUGAGGAGUUCGAAGCAUUCUCGACGGAGACCCGCGCAAGCUGUGGAAAGAGAGAGAGUCAACGGUGAAAAGAGAGCAUGGUGAGAUGUGUGAGCGACGGGGGGAGAGAGAGAGAGAAAGAAAGCCGACGGAGAGAGCACAUAGAGCUGAGAUGCGUGAGUUGGGUGAAGAUUUGGUGAGCGUUGUGUCAGUUGCCCGUGUGUUGUGUGAGCUCUGUGCCAUGUGAUAUGCGUGCUACUUUGAGAAUUUAUAGAUAGCACAAAACUCAAUCUAUAUCCAAUUCAUACCUAGAUAGAUGCGGAUUUGACUCAAUUUAUAUCCAAUUCGUCAUUUGCGAACUAAAAAUUUUUAAUUCUCUCAAAUUCACAAACUAACUAAAUAAAUAAAAAUUUAAUAUAAAAAUAACUGUACUACCGAUCAAAUUUAAAAUUAAAUAAUAUUUAAAUAAAUUAAUUGUUUAAAUAAAGUUAGAAAAUACAUUCAAAAUUUUAAAAUAUAACACAGUAAAAAGAAAAAAUCUCAUUUGUUUAGACCUAUGUAUGAAAAUUAAUUGUUUAGGAAUCUAUAUUUAUUUAUUUUUAUAUUAUUAUCGGAUAAGAUAUAAUAUGGUGUUAAUGUAACUAUAUUUUAACUUAUUUAUUUAUAAGACCAAUGCUAUAUGUACAAGUUUAAUUUUUUAAUUAAAUAAAUAUUUUUUUUUGCGGAAUUGUGGAUUUUUGCGGAUUUACAAAAGUAAAUCUAUAUCCAAUCCACCGACUAUGGAUUUUCAAAUUUUCAAAAUUUCAAAUUUUCAAAUUUUCAAAAUUUCAAAUUUUCAAAUUUUCAAUCCAAUCCAAUCCACCAAUUCACAAAUUCGGAUUUUUACGGAUUAGAUUUCUACAGAUUAAACGAAUUGAGCAGACCAUAUUUGAUUUUGAACAUUGCUAAUUUGUAUGUUAAGUAUAACAUAAUCAAUUAUUUGGAUAAUCCCUUGUGUUUUAUCUCUAAUUAGAGCAUCAAUCUUCACAAUAUCUACAAAGCUACAAUGGCUACAAAACAAACCUGCUUGCAAAUUGUCAAGGAUACUUAUCCUUUCUCUUGACAAGUCAUUUGGAAAAAUACUGUCCCUUGGCGGCUCCAUGACUUCUCUGCUCCUCCUUUUGGUCUUAAUGUACGGUUGCAUAAUGAUAGUUUAGGCCCUUUAGGGACUACUUUCCCUGGGGUUGUUAAGUCUUAGCUUGUGCUAGGCUCGUUUUUCUUACCAAAAAAAAAGGGAAUACUUCUCCUAUAAGAAAUAAUCUCUAUAUAUAGGGUGGUUGGAUUCACUUGUUUACAUAACAGAUCAAUUAGUUCUCUGUAAAUAGAGAGUUUCUAGUAUAAGAGAAACGGUAGAUCUAUUGAGAGAUUAUGUGUUAUUAAAAUUUUAGUUGCGAAGAAAAGUACUAGAGUGAUUGUAUUAAUUUUUUACAUAGUAGAUUUUUCUAUCGUCAUCUUUAUGGCUGUGAUUUUUCUUCCAUAUAGAAGUUUCUCACGUAAAUUUUUAUGUUGUGUGAUUAGUUUUAUUCUCUAUCUAUUUUUUGUUUAAUAUUUUAUUUGUAAGAUGCUGGAUGGGAUUAAAAUUUCUUAACAAAUAACGGAUUAAAAAUCAUGAAGAAAAAGCUCAAGAGAUCUUCAAGAUUUGAAGUGUGCAAAAGUUCAUAUUACUGCUAGAUGAUAUAUGGGAGCGGGUUGAUUUAGUAAAAAUGGGUGUCCCUCUUCCUAGAUCAGAAAACAGCACAUCCAAAGUGAUAUUUACAAACCCGUUCUGAGGAAGUUUGCGGCUUAAUGGAAGUUCGUAGGAGUUUUAAAGUGGCGUGCUUAUCAAAUAAAAAUGCUUGGGAAUUGUUUCUAUACAAAGUUGGGGAAGUGAAAGAAAACAGAGAUGUACUGUUUGGUUGAAUAGAAAAUUACAGAGAAAAUUCUCAAUACUUGUAUUUGAUAAGAUUCAAUUCUUAAGAGCUUUUACAAAUCAGUACAAGUAUUUAUAUUAUUCCUUACACGUGAGAAUUGCUAGUAACUCACUAACUAACUAACUUUCUUUGAGCUGGAUCACUAACACUUGACUAAUCACACUGAGCUGUUAUUCUUCACUAACAACCUUCUGCUGACGUGGCUUCACCAAGCUACUUGAAUAAUGAGCAGCCUUGACAGCCCCCCUCAAACUCAAGGGACAAGACAUGACGUUGAGUUUGGCCCUAAGAUAGUUAAAAUGGAUGAAUGAGAGUGGCUUGGUCAUGAUGUCAGCUACCUGCUCCUCACUUGGUAUAUAUUGAAUGUUUAGUUCUCCAGCAAGAACUUUGUUUCUAACAUAAUGAAUAUCAAUCUCAAUAUGCUUUGUUCUUGAGUGGAAAACUGGAUUGUGAGCUAACUCUGUUGCACUGAGAUUGUCACACCAAAUAACAGGUUUCUCUAUGCAUUGUAAUUUCAACUCAGAAAACAGUGAUUGCAGCCAGCUUAUCUCGGCACUUGCUGAGGCUAGGGACCUAUACUCACUCUCUGCACUGGACCUAGCAAUAACAGGCUGCUUCUUAGACGACCAAGAUAUCAGAUUAUGACCAAGAUAGAUGCAAUAGGCUCCAAUCGAUUUUCUGUCAUCCAGAUCCCCUGCCCAGUCUGCAUCUGUGAAUCCUGUUAGUUUCAGAUCACCAUCCUUAAUAAUUUUGAGUCCAUAGUUCUGUGUAGCCUUUAGAUAUCUGAGCACUCUUUUGCAAGCCAUAAGGUGCUGCAGUGUUGGUGCAGAAACGUAUUGACUCAGCUUGUGAACACUAAAGGCAAUUUCUGGUCUUGUUAAUACCAAAUAUUGCAUCCCACCAACAAUGCUUCUGUAAUGUGUUACAUCUUCAACAUAACAACCAAGAUUACCUUGAGCUUCCUUCUGUAGCUUCAUUCCUGUACUCAUAGGAGUAUCAAUAUCUUUGCAAUUUAUCAUCUCAACUCUUGACAGCAGAUCCCUUAUGUAUUUCCUUUGAGAUAAGAAAAUACAAUCUUUAUCAUACAGUACUUCAAUGCCUAAGAAAUAAGAGAGAACUCCAAGAUCCUUCAAAGCAAACUUUGUACUGAAUUCUGUAAUGAAUUUUUCCAGCUCAAAGCUAUUUGGUCCUGUUAUUAAAAUGUCAUCAACAUAUAUAAGAACUAGAAUCAUAGAUGACUUAUUUAUUUUCAAGAAUAAGGAGGUAUCUGAGCUGGAAUUUGUGAAUCCCCACUGCAACAAACAGCCUUUCAACUUAUCAUACCAAGCUCUUGGAGCUUGUUUAAGUCCAUAAAGAGACUUGUGAAGCUUGCAUACAAAGUCUGGUUUCUCAAAGCUGAUAAAUCCCUCUGGUUGAUCCAUGAACACUUCCUCUGUUAAGUCUCCAUUAAGAAAGGCAUUAUUCACAUCAACUUGCCUUAUCUUCCACUGAUUCAUCACAGCUAAACUCAAGACUACUCUUACAGUUGCUGGUUUUAUGACAGGACUGAAAGUUUCAAAAUAAUUCACUCCUAUAAUUUGUUGAAAUCCCUUUGCAACUAACCUAGCUUUGUAUUUAGCUACACUUCCAUCAGUGUUGUAUUUAACCCUAUACACUCAUUUGUUUCCAACAACUCUUUGAUCAUUUGUUUUUGGCACUAAGGACCAUGUACCACUCUGCAUCAAAGCUGCAUAUUCUUCUUUCAUGGCUGUAAACCAUUUUGGGUUUUGCAUAGCCUCAUAUACAGAAUCAGGUUAUUUGUGAACAAGGGUUGCUGUAUAAAGCUUUGGUUUGAAGAUACCAGUUUUGCUUCUGGUAGUCAUUGGAUGUGUAUUAGGUUGGACUGGAAAAGAUAUAUCAGGUGUAGGUUGAGCUAAUAAGGAUAUGUCAGGUGCAGGUUGUGGUGAAUUUUGAGGCUCUGUAGAUGGUUCAAUAAAUGUGGUAUGUGUUUGUGAAUAGGAAUGUUGAUUGUCAGUAUGAAAUGGAUUAUCUGAAUGUUGUGAACUGCUGCUGGUAGAAAUUGCAGAUAGAGGAUUGCAUGAGCUAUUUCCAUCUGAUACUGGUGUUGUAGAUAAUAUGGUCAGAUGAAACACUGGUUGGGGUGUAAGGGAUUGACUCGAAUAAGAUGAUGAUUCAUUAGAAUGAAAAACUGAGUCUGUAGAAUAAGGAAAUGUUGACUCAUAAAAAACAACAUGUCUGGCUAUGUACAUCUUGCCUGAUGAAUGCAAGCAUUUGUAACCUUUGUGAACUGGACUGUAGCCAAGGAAAAUGCAUUUGCUUGAGUGAUAAUCAAAUUUGUGUUUGUUGUAAUCCCUUAGAUAAGGAUAACAUGUGCAACCGAAACACUUGAGCAUGCUGUAAUCAGGUUUAAGUUUAAAAAUUGUCUCAUAUGGGGUAAGAAGUUUCAGAGCUGUUGAGGGUAAUCUGUUUAUAUGGUAAACAGCUGUAAGAAAAGCAUCCCACCAAAAUUUAAAUGGUAGCUUAGCUUGUGCUAAUAGGGUUAGUCCUAGCUCAACAAUGUGUCUAUGUUUUCUUUCUACCACCCCAUUUUGGUGAUGUGUAUAAGGACAAGAAUGUCUGAAAAUGAUUCCACAUUGGUUUAAGAAUUGAGUAAAUGAUCUGUAUUCUCCCCCCCAAUCAGAUUGCAGGUUUUUAAUGGGGCUGUCAAAUUGGUUUUCAACCUGCAAUUUGAAUAGUUUGAAUACAUCUAAUGCCUCAGAUUUCAACUUAAGAGGAUAAAUCCAAGUGUAUCGGCUAAAAUCAUCAACAAAACUUAUGUAAUAGACAUAGCUAUCUCUAGAAGGUGUAGGUGAGGGUCCCCAUAGGUCUGUAUGUAUAAGCUCAAGGGGUUUUGUUGUUUUGGUUUCUGUGCUGGGAAAAUGCAGCCUAUGGGAUUUGCCCAUUUGACAUGCUUCACAGAUAUGCUCAAGUGUUUGUUUUAUGUUAUUUCUUGAGAGAUUAACUGAAGUAAUUCCUUUUAGCAAAUGCAUUAGAAUUUGAGAAUUAGGAUGGCCAAAACGUUUGUGAAGAAGAAGAAUUUUAUUAUUCAAUGCAUCACAAGAUGAAAUGUAGCUGGAAAAUUUAUUUAUUGAUGCAUUACAAACUGUGACACAACUGGAAUCAUUAUUCUGAGUGUUUUUAAGAACACUUGAAUCAAAAGAACAUGCAGAUAACAUUGACAAAGGUUGAGUGGAUGAAGGUUGACCCAUGUAAGAACAAGGAAGAGACUCAGAUGGUCUUAGAAGUAGCUUAUACAAUCCUUUCUCAGCAAUUCCUGUCAGAAGCACUUGCCUCUUCAGAGAAUCCUUCACAUAGCAAACAUUAUCAACAAAUUCAAUAGAGAUAUUGUUAUCAGCAGUUAAUUUUGAUAUGCUGAGCAGGUUCUUUGUGAUAUCAGGUACUAAUAACAUGUCAUUCAGUAAGAUAUGUGUUGGUUUAUAUGCAGCAUUUGAUCCUUUAUAAGUAAAACAUGGAUUACCAACAUGAGUUAUAGGCAAACCUUGGCCAUUGCCGAUGACAAGUUGAUUAGAUCCUCUGAAUUCCUCUCUGACAUUCAUGUUGGCCAUACUGUUAGUCAAGUGAUGUGUGGCACCAUUGUCAAGGUGCCAUCCUUCAUCAGCAGGCCCUUCAUAGUUGGUAAGAUAGGCUUCAGGAAUUACUGUGUCUGUUGAUGGAUAAGAGGAGAAGGAUAAAGGAUUGUAGCUUGAGUAGGGUGCAGCAUACUGUUCUUCAGUUGAAGGAGCAGCAUAGGUUAGAGAUGGAUCAAAGUUAGCUGUGUAUGCAGCCUUAGAUUCAAAAGAUCUGCCCCUUCCAAAAUGCCUAGGUAAUGGUUGAGGAUUGUCAUCAUAUCUAUGCCAGCAUUCAUCUGCUGCAUGUCCUGUUUUGUGGCAUAUCUGACAUAUGGUUGGUAAUUCAUCAGCAUGCAUGUUAGCUGAAGGAUGAAAGUUUGGCUUCAUAGGUGGCCUAAAAGGUUGCAUCAUCUGGCCCCUGCCAUAACCCCCAACAUUACCAACACCAGGUGAAAAACCUCUGGGAUGUGGAUUGUGAAACAUGCCUCUUCCAACAUUAAAUCCUCUAGUCAUAGGUCGACCAUAAUUUCCAUUUCCAACAACACCUCUUCUAAAAUUUCCUCUCAUAUAAGGAUGAUUCACAUUCAUUGUGCUAUAGUUUGCAUUAAACACAGUUUUGGCACUUUGAUUUUGUUCAAGUCUAGCUUCAUGAGUCAGUAAUAAUGCAUAAGCAUCAUCAUAGCUCAUCUUAUUAGCUGUGAUUAUGGAAGCUAGAUCUAGAUAACCUGAACCUAAGCCAUUCAAAACUCUCAUUAACAGAUCCUUUUCAGUGAUUACAUCACCAGCACAAGCAAGUUUGUUGGCGAGUAAUUUCAUUUUAGCACAAUAUUCCUCAACAUUCAUUGAAUCUUUUCUUAAGAUAUUCAUUUCAUAUCUGAGUUGCAUAAUCUUAGCCUCAGAUUGAACUCCAAACUGUUUUUCAAUAGAUCUCCACACAUCAAAUGAAGUGUCAUAGCUAAGAACAGAACUAAGAAUACCUUCACUUAUAGUUGAGAGCAGCCAGCCAAGGAGUAUUUGAUCUUGUGCUCUCCAGUUGCUGUAGGCUGGAUUUUCAAUGCUCUCACCAGAUCCUUCGAUCAUUGAAUCAACUAGAUACUGUUCUGGAAUAAUUUGCGGCUCUAGAAUGAAUCUUUCAAGGCGAUUUCCUCUGAUUGAAGUUACCACUUGUUUGCGCCAAAGCAAGAAAUUUGAUCGAUCAAGUUUCACAGUUGCAGCAAAAGUAAAUGAUGUUUGUGUAUGUUGAUUUGAGUUUAUGAUUGUUUGAUUUGAGAUUGUAUUGCUUGAGCUGGCCAUUUGUGGCUCUGAUACCAUGAAAGAAAACAGAGAUGUACUAUUUGGUUGAAUAGAAAAUUACAGAGAAAAUUCUCAAUACUUGUAUUUGAUAAGAUUCAAUUCUUAAGAGCUUUUACAAAUCAGUACAAGUAUUUAUAUUAUUCCUUACACGUGAGAAUUACUAGUAACUCACUAACUAACUAACUAACUUUCUUUGAGCUGGAUCACUAACACUUGACUAAUCACGCUGAGCUGUUAUUCUUCACUAACAACCUUCUGCUGACGUGGCUUCACCAAACUGCUUGAAUAAUGAGCAGCCUUGACAGGAAGAAACUUUGAACAAUCAUCCUGAUAUCCUUCAGAAAGCACAAUAGUUGUUAAGGAGUGUGGUGGUUUGCCACUUGCACAUUUUACCAUCGGUCGAUUUAUGGCAUGCAAGAAGACACAGCCGAAGAAUGGAGAUAUGCUAUUCAAGUGUUCAAUUCGUCCGCUUCCCGUUUCCAGGUCUGGAAGAAUGGAUAUAUACUCUUGUAAAAUUCAGUUAUGAUAGUUUACCCAAUGACACAAUUACACCUUGUCUGUUAUAUUGUAGUUUAUAUCCAGAAGAUUGUUGCAUUUCUAAAGAGAAUUUGGUAGAUUGUUAGAUCAGUGAAGGAUUUUUUAAUGAGAGUGAUUGGUUUGGAGAAAAAAUCAAGGAUACUUCAUUUUGGGCAUUCUUCUUCACGUUUUUUUUUGGAAAAGGGAGGAGAUUGUGAAAUGAAAAAUGCAUGCAUGACGUUAUUCGUGAUAUGGCUUUGUGGAUCGCAUGCGACUAUGAGAAGGAGAAGGAGAACUUUUUGGUUUACGCUGGUGUUGGUUUAACUAAGGUACCGGAUAUUAGAGAUUGGGAAAAGGUAAGGAGAUUGUCAUUGAUGAAAAAUAAAAUUGAGAAUCUAUCCGAGGCUCAUACAUGCCCUCAUCUCCUCACUUUCUUUCUUGACGAUAAUGAGUUUCGGAAGAUCCCCGGUGAUUUCUUCCAGUUUAUGCCUUCUCUCACUGUUUUAAACUUGUCAUGUAUUAAACUAAAGUCAGUUCCUUUAGGGACUUCAAGGUUGGUUCCACUACAACAACUCGAUCAUUCAUAUUCAAGCAUAAAAGAGUUGCAAGAAGAGUUAAAUGCCCUGAUUAAAGUUAAAUGCUUGAAUAUAGAUCAUGUAGAGGAGCUAAUUACAGUUCCACAACAACGGAUAUUUAAUUUUUAAGGUUAUAUGUGUUGAGAAUGUUCGAUACUAUUAGUUUAAAUUUUCAAGAAGCAUUAAAUAAAGACAGCAUUUUAUUUGGUGGGGAGGAAGUUUAAGCAGAGGAGUUGCUCGGUUUGGAAUAUUUGGAGGUAUUGAGCUUCACUUGAGAGGUGUUCGUGCUCUCCAAUUUAUUUUGAGCUCACAUAAGCUACGAAGUUGUACUCAAGCGCUGUUCCUCCAAUCCUUCAAUAAUUCGAUAUGGCUUGAUAUUUCACUUUUGGCAGAGUUAAAAGCACCACUGCAGAUUUAAGUAUUUUUGGCUGUAGAAAAUUGGAGGACUUGAAGAUGGAAUAUACAGGGGGAGCGAAAAACAAGCGGCAACCUUGUGUUUUCUAAGGCCUACAUACAGUUCACAUAGAGGUUUGUUCUAAAUUGAAGGACUUAACAUUCCUUGUUUCUGCUCCAAAUCUCAAGAACUUGGAAAUACAAAAUUGCCCUGCUGUGGAAGCAAUCAUCAGUGUGGGAGAAUUUGCGGAAGCUCUAGAGGUGGUGGAAAAUCUAAACCCAUUUGCAAAACUCCAGUAUCUUGGACUAGAAAAUCUGCCAAAUGUGGAGAGCAUCUAUUGCAAGCCUCUGCCCUUUCCAUGUUUGAAAAGAAAUGACUGUGGAUAGUUGCGGUUGUCUUAAAAAGCUUCCACUCUACUCCAACAGUGUAAAAGAGUGUACAAUUGUUAUUUCAUCAUUCGGAGAGUUAAUGGUGCAAUGAGAUUUGGCAGUUAACUCUCGUGGGAAGAGCUUGAAUGGGAAGACGAAGCCACUCGAAUUGCUUUUCAUUCAUGUUUCAAAUCUCUGAUUGGAUUGGAGAUUGCAUUUCGCCUCAGGUUCGUACUUUUCUUGAAUUUUUCUUGUUAACUUCAUUUGUUCAUUUAUCCAUUUUUUUUUAAAGGAAUCAGAAGGGUUAAUAAUUUUGGUUGUGUUAGGUCGACUUCUAAUCACGAGGCAGAAGGAGUUGAGAUGAAGUUUAAUUUUGGUGGAGAAAUUGUUUGAUUUAAAAAAUUUAAAUGAGUUGACCAUCAUUCUUUAGCAUAUUUGUAUGAACAGGAGUGUGUAAAUAUGCAAACUGUCCAGCUGUAUGUGUAUAGCGUAAUAAUUUUGAGGAGUUAAAACAUUGAAGAAUAUUGAUGUUUCCAUUGUCAAACCAAAUAUACUUAAUUACUUGAGGAUAAUGAUUACUGCUAAUACAUUUGCUAAUACAUUUGCAAAGAAAAAAACAUGCCUAUUGAAAAACUCAUCUUAUUAGCAACAGCAUUAUAAGUAGUAUCCAAUCAUAGUUUCAUGCAAGAUUUUGAGAUUUUUCAAAUGCUGAUUCCGGGAAUGGAGAUUAAUAGAUAAUGGAGACAGGUUGACUGCAAUGGCUAAUUGCAAGAGGGAAUUUUAGUCGUAAAAACAGACCAACUAGCAAAGCAAAUUCCAAAUCUUGGAAUGAAGUGGCAAAAAAACGAAACAAACAAAUGGCAAGAGGAAGUGACUAUACAAUAAUAACAUCGACUUGCAAUUCAACAUUUAUACAGUUUUACUCACCAAGAAAAGAGAAAAUUACAAUAGCAAUUUGGCUACUAGAAGAUGUUCAUUCAUGCUUAUGCCUGUCAUAUGGAUUUGAAACAAGGAGUAAAAGCAUUUAGAGUGGCUUCAUCCUUCCACUGCAGCUCAUUCCACCAGUGUUGCUCUCCCCUAAUAACAAGUUUGCGUUCCUUGGCGCUGUUGUAAUCGAGUGGAAGCUUCUUGAGGUUCGGGCAUCCAGAUACAAACAAUUCUAAGAGAUUUGGAAAGUGCACUUAAAUUCUUAUGAAUUGCUUAAGUAUGCAAGCAGCAGAGCAGAAAACAAACAACCUUUUCAUAUAUUAUAAUAACAUGAAUAAUCAGAUAUACACAUCCUUCACAUAUUUAUACUAAACGUGAAAAAUGGUAGCUUGCUCAAAGGGAAAACAGAAAUGAAUAAAACAAAAGAUUACAGCUGCACUAGCCAAUCAUUGGAAACAUUCUAGAAACUCCAGCUUGCAGUAUUCACGUGUAAAUAUUCUCCUGCAUAACAGUUUUGCCAGCUCAUUGAAUACACCUCAACUUCUUCAUCAGCUGGUUGCUGGAUAUGGCUGCUCAGGUGGCAUGCCAGCAUGGCCUUUGGGUCAAUUGUUGACUCAUCUUCAUAAUCUGAAUUCUCAACACCCUCUCUCAAACUUAAGGUCUUGUCGAAGACAUUAAGUUUGCUUCUAAAUUGACUGAACUUGUAAUAAGGCAAUGGCUUGGUUAAUAUGUCUGCAACUUGAUCUCUGCUGGCUACAAAACUGAUUUCCAGCUCUCCUUGAGUGACUUUGUCUCUAAUGAAAUGAAGGUCUAUCUCAAAAUGCUUUGUCUUUGAGUGAUACACUGGAUUUGUGGCUAUUGCUGCUGCACUUGUGCUAUCACUUAAGAUCAUUGGAACUCUUUGCAUCUUGAUUUCCAAUUCACCAAACAGAGAAUUUAUCCAAGUGAUUUCAGUAGUACACAAAGCUAUGGCCCUGUACUCGGACUCAGCUGUCGAUCUUGCUACCAUGCCUUGCUUUAUUGAGCUCCAAGCUACUAAAUUGUCUCCCAAAAACACACAAUAUCCACUUACUGAUCUUCUGUCAUCUGGAUCACUAGCCCAGUCAGCAUCAAUAUAGGCUAUCAAAUCUAGAUGUUCUGACUUCUGGAACUUUAAGCACAUGUUUGCAGUGCUCUUUAGGUACCUCAACACUCGUUUGCAAGCUGUCCAGUGAGAUUGUCUUGGGUCAGACAGGUAUUGGCUAAGCUUGUUCACAGAAUAUGCAAGCUCUGGUCUUGUUAGAACAGCAUAAUGUAGACUUCCUACAACACUCCUAUAAAAUGAAGGAUUGUCAAGUUUGGUGCCUUCACCCUUCUUUAGUUUCUCUGCUGUGCUGAAAGGUGACUCUAUUCCCUUGCAAUUCUCCAUCUCUGUUUUAGCUAAUAGGUCUUGAACAUAUUUAGCUUGAGAGAGCAAAAUGGAGUUCUGAUUUCUUAUAACAUGUAUCCCAAGGAAGUAGCUUAAAUUUCCAAGAUCUUUCCACUUAACUUUCCUAUCACUUCCUCAAUACCCUUGCUGUUAUUUCCAGUCACAAUUAUGUCAUCUACAUACACAAGCACAAUGAUUAUUUCAGCACUGCUUCUUUUGAAGAAUAGAGAAAUAUCACACUUGGAGUUGUUGAAUCCCCAAGAGCACAGAGCAUUCUUUAAUUUGUCAAACCAUGCUCUGGGUGCUUGUCUCAGUCCAUAAAGAGCUUUCUUGAGCUUGCAUAUGUGGUUUGGUCUUCUCCUAUCCUCAAAUCCCUCAGGUUGUGGCAUGUACACUGUCUCUGUCAAAUCUCCAUUCAGAAAUGCAUUAUUUAUGUCAACCUGCCUCAACAGCCAAUCAUUACUUACAGCCAAAGUUAAAAUGAUUCUGAUUGUUGCAGCUUUGACCACAGGGCUGAAAGUCUCAUUAAAGUCAAGUCCUGGUGUCUGCAGAAACCCCUUCAAGACAAGUCUAGCUUUGUAUCUAUUUAUGGUGCCAUCUGGAUUUUCCUUUACUUUGUACACCCAUUUGUUGCCAAUGAGUUUGUAGUUCUGGUCAUGUGGAAUUAAGGUCCAGGUUUGGUUUUUGACAAGAGCAUUAUAUUCAUCCUCCAUUGCUCUUCUCCAUUUAGGAUCUUUCAGUGCCACAGUGGAGUCAGGGGGUAAGGAAGUUUGAGAUUGAGUGGAUAUUUGAUAAACCUUUGGCUUGCAAAUCCCUGCUUUUGACCUUGUGAUCAUGGGAUGUAAGGAGGCUUGAGUGUUUGGUUAUGUUAUGAGAGGCAAGGUGCAAUUUUCUACUGAGGUGUUUGGUGAGAGUUCAACAGGUGAGUGGUUGUCUGAUAUAGAGUUGAAGCUCAAAUUCUAACAAGCUCCAUCUUAACUAAAACUUGGGAGCUGUUCUGAGUUUCCAGCAGUGGCCUGAGAUUAACUAUGAGCUGCAUUUUGCUGUGUUGACUCAGGGGGAACAGUAGUGGAGAAAGAUACAACUUGAAAUUUUUCUAGAACUGUGGGGGAAUCAUUUUGGUCAGUGAGCCUUUGCUUGCAGAAAUUUGAGUCAUUUUGAAAAGGGAAUGAAUGAUCAUUAAAUUGACACUGGCUGAAAUGUAGAUCCUCCCAGAAUGAUGCAUGCAAAUGUAACCUUUGUGACUGAUGCUAAUGCCUAGUAGUGUGCACUUGAAAGUGUGAAAAUCAAACUUAUGCUUGUUGUAGGGUCUUAAGUAUGGAUAGCAUUCACAACCGAAAACUUUAAUUUGGGAAUAAUCUGGUUUGGUGAGAUAUAACAGCUCAAAUGGAGUUUUAUUUUCAAGAAUAGGUGAGGUUAAUCUGUUUAUGAUGUAGGUGGCAUAGCUGAAAGCUUCUUGCCAAUAUCUCAAAGGCAUUUUUGCUUGGGCUAGUAAUGUUAGGCCAGUUUCCACAAUGUGUCUGUGCUUUCUCUCCACCUUUCCAUUUUGUUCAUGUAAAUAAGGGCAUGAGUGUCUUAAGGCUAUUCCUUCUUUCUUGAGAAAGGGUUCGAAAGUUUUAAACUCCCCACCCAUGUCUGUUUGUAAAGCCUUGAUUCUUAAAUUUAGCUGAUUUUCUACUUGGUUUUUAAACACAAUGAAUGUGUCAAGGGCCUGUGAUUUUGUUGUUAAGGGAAACAACCAUGUGUAUCUUGUCUUGUCAUCCACAAAUGAUAUGUAAUAUCUGUGUCCAUGGGUAGAUGGAAUAGGUGCUGGUCCCCAGAGAUCACUAUGUAUUUGUUCUAAGGCUGUGCUGGUCUUGGUUUCAAUGCUUUUAAAGUUUAGUUUUGAUUGCUUUCCAUACUGACAAGCAUUACAGAAUGAGGGAAAUAUAUUUUUAUUUAAGUUGAGCUGAUUACAAGAUAAUAGAGUAUUUUUCAGAACUGACUCAUUUGGAUGCCUCAGCCUAUGGUGCCAGAGAUCUAUUUCAUUUGUUCUAAGAUCCCUACUGCUUGUAUCAGCUCUACUGGACUCGACAACACUGGCACCAACACUGGCACCUAAAGACUCAUUACUACUGAAAUUGAAACAUGCCAUUGACAUUGGAUUGCUAAUGCAACUUAUUGACUUGGGUAUUGGAAAUGAAGAUAACUCAGCAGCAUAAGUAACCUUGUUGCCACUCAAAUGAGUUGGCAUGCAUAGCAGCUCAUAUAGUCCAUCUCUAGCCACUCCUUUCACCAGAAUUCUCCCUUGGCUCUUGUCCUUGAUGAAGCAAACAGAUUUUUGAAACUCAACAUCAAUAUCAUUAUCAUGAAGCAAUUUGGAAACACUAAUGAGAUUUUUGGUAAUAUCAGGUACAAACAAAAUAUGAUUUAAUUUGAUGUGUUUGUGUGGACUGUAAGUGGGCAAUAUAGAAUAACCAAUGUGAGAGAUAUGAAGUUUGUUACCAUUACCAACAGUGAGCUUGUCAUUACCUUGGUACUCUGAGUUCAGGUUCAUGUUUCCAAUAGCAUUGGUCACAUGAUUUGUGGCACCACUGUCAAGGUACCAGGCAUUGCUGUUUUGUCCUUCUGUUGUGGCCAUGUAGGCUCCUCUCCUCCUAUUUAGCUGUGGCACAUAAUUUUUCUUAAACCUAUGCCAGCAUUCAACAGCUGUGUGCCCCAUUUUGAAGCAGAUUUGGCAUGGACCCUUUGAUUCAGAACCUUCACCUUCUGCAGCAGCUUUGCCUUUGCCUUUGUCUUGAAUAUUUUGAUUUCCCUGACCAUGACCACCAUUGCCACCAUUUCCAGUGCCACCACCAGGAUUUCUGAAGACUAUCCCAGGUUGUUGCUGACUGCCAAAUCUUUCACCAUUGCCCCAGUUCCUCCUGCCAUUUCUCAUCUGUGUGAAGUUAGCCUCAAGAAUCCCUGGGCUGAGAUUUUGCUCAGUCCUGGUUUCUUGGCUGAGGAGCAUGCUGUAGACCUCUGACAAUGAAGGAGUUUCUGGCAUAGAGUUAAUGUUAGUGACAACAGAGUCAUAUUCAGAUCAUACUCCAGCUAAGACACACAUAAUAAAGUCCUCAUCACUCAUGUUAUUUCCAGCUGCUCUGAGUGUAUUUAGGAUAGUUUUCAUCAUGGAGUAAUAAUCAUGGAUUGUAAGAGAGCCCUUUUUAGUGGUUUGAAUCUGUGUCCUCAAAUAUAGGAUUCUAGCUCUUGUUCUUGCACCAUACUGAUUGGUAAGAGUUGUCCAAACUUCAUGUGAAGUAGAACAAUCCACCACAGUGCCGAGGACACCCUCACUGAGAGAUGAGAGCAACCAGCUCAAAAGAAUGUGGUCCUGUUUCUUCCAGAUUUGAUAUUCUGGAUUUUGGUGGGUAACGGUAGCUUGGUUAGGUCCAGGACUGGUGAAAUAUCUGGGGGGACAGGUAUAGCUUCCAUUUAUGAAGCCUUCAAGCUCAUUUGCUCGUAUGCUGGAGACCACUUGUGAUCUCCAGAGCAUGAAAUUGUUCUGUGUUAACUUGAUGGGAGUGGUGAACACAUAUGUGUUGCUGGUGAUAUGUUGGGUAGGAGAUGGGUUCAUUAUGGUCACAUUUCUUGUGUUAUUAUCUGGAUUCUGAUUGUCGAUAUUUUCAGGUUGGUUUUGAUUCAAAUCAUUUGGUUGAUCAUCUGGAUUUUCCAGAGUUUGAUUCAUGUUUGUUUGUGAAUUUCUGCUGCUUUCCAUAGCUCAAAAGUUGCUCUGAUACCAACUUAAAUUCUUAUGAAUUGCUUAAGUAUGCAAGCAGAAGAGCAGAAAAAAAAUAACCUUUUCAUAUAUUAUAAUAACAUGAAUAAUCAGAUAUACACAUCCUUCACAUAUUUAUACUAAACGUGAAAAAUGGUAGCUUGCUCAAAGGGAAAACAGAAAUGAAUAAAACAAAAGAUUACAGCUGCACUAGCCAAUCAUUGGAAACAUUCUAGAAACUCCAGCUUGCAGUAUUCACGUGUAAAUAUUCUCCUGCAUAACAGUUUUGCCAGCUCAUUGAAUACACCUCAACUUCUUCAUCAGCUGGCUGCUGGAUAUGGCUGCUCAGGUGGCAUGCCAACAUGGCCUUGGGGUCAAUUGUUGACUCAUCUUCAUAAUCUGAAUUCUCAACAAUGCAUUCAAACAGAUCUUCUUCAAAUUUCUUAGAACUUGCAACCGAAGAUAUUGGAGUUUCGCAAAAGGUUUUAGCCCUGUAACUUCUUCCACUUUCCAAACACUGAUUAUUUCUUCCAUCUCAUAACAACGUUCUACAUGGACCAUCUUCAGAUUUGGGGCAAAAACAAGCCAUGUCAUCUCCCUCAAUUUACUGCAAUAGUCUAUGGUAACACUUUGAAGGCUGUUGAAACCAUAAGUUCUCUUGUUGUUUGAACUUCUGCAUAGUCAACCUUUAGCUCUUCCAAACUUGUACAAUACACAAAAUCUAGUUUGUCAAGAUACUUGAGAUCUGCUAUGGACAAAAUAUUCCAUGACCUUGAAUCCUCACAGCGUCGAAGCUCUAAAGCAUAUUUACAACUCUUGUACUGUUGGCAGCUCAAAAGUCUUCGUAGAGCAUAAAAACUUCUUAACGUGACGCUUAAUACAUUUAAAUGUUCCAAAGUAAUCAACUCCUCUACCAAAAUUUCACUACCACCAAAUAGAACGCUAUCUUCUGGUACUGUAUUAGCAGAGCCACAAUCUAGCAUCCUCAACACCUUUAACCCAGAAAAAUUACAAAGCAGUUGCCGUGGAAUCGUAUGGAGAUAACGCAUGUACUCCAAGUUCAAACACUUUAGAUUUUUCAAGGCUUUUAAUUCAUGUGGUAACUCUUUGAUGAAAGUUUCUGAAAGAUUAAGAUAUUGUAGUGAAACCAAUUUUGAAAUUCCUGAAGGCAAUUGACUCAAGGAGCGAUUCUUUGAUAGGUUUAAAACUUUAAGAGAAGGCAUAAAAUCGAAGAAAUCACUAGGGAUAGUAUCUAACAUAUUAAUGCCGAGGAACAAAGUUAUAAGAUGAGGGCAUAUUGGAGUUAUUGGUAAAAUCACAAUUUUAUUUCUCAUCAACGAUAUCCUUCUCUUAUCUUCCCAUUGUUUAACCUCGGGUGGUUCAGUUAAUUCAAUACCGGCAGAAACCAAAAAGUUUUCAUUCUCCACUUCACAGGCUAUCCACAAGGUCAUAUCACGAAUCACAUCAUGCAAUUUUACAUAAUCUGAUCCUGCUUCUUCCAAUAGGCAUGCAUGAACAAGAACACCAAUAAUGUAGUAUCCUUGGUUAUGUACUCCAUUAAUUCCUUCAUAUUCCUUCAGAAAACCCUCACCAAUCCAACACCCUAUCAAUUCAAUUUUGCUAAUUUGAUAAUCCUCAGGAAAUAAACUACAGUAUAACAGACAAGAUCUAAGGACGUCACUAGACAAACUAUCAUAACUGAAUUUUAAAAGACGAAACACCUCUUUCUCCAUACCUGGAAAUUCAUAAGCUGAUCUCCUUAACAUCUGAAUUGCAUAGCUCCAUUCUUCGGGUGUCUUCUUGCUGCUCAUGGCACGACCGGUGGUAAUAAGUGCAAGUGGCAAACCACUACACUCCUUUGCCACAGUUUUGGCUAACUCCGGAAUAUCGGGAUGACUUUCAAGAGUCUCUUCUCCGACCUUCUUUAGGAACAAUUCCCAAGCAUCUUGAUCUGCCAAACACUCCACCUUGAACUUUUUUUGAGCUUCCAUGAGGCCACAGACGUCCACAAGACGAGUCGUAAAUGUUGAAAGUCAUGGCUGGCGCCGGCCAUCUAGAUGGCCGGUGCCAACCAUUCAACAUUCAACACGGCCCGCCAUUAUUGGUGGUGCCGUGUUGAAUGACUCCAUAAAAAAAAAAAAAAAAAAAAAGAGCCAAAAUUUUGGCUAUAUAAAGAGGGCUUCCCACCCUCAUUUAUAAUCCAAUCUUGAGAGAGCAAUUUAGGGAGUUGAGAGAGAGUUUAAGAGCUUGCAUUUAUAAGCUCUUAUUUUAGUGAUUUGAGAGUUUGGGUGUAUUGGGGUUUUGGGUAGUGAGCUAAAAUACUACAAUACUUGUAACUCCUUUUCACUAGUAAAAUAUUUCCUUCUGUCUUUGCCCAUGGACGUAGGCUAAAAGCCGAACCACGUAAUUUCUGGUGUCCUCUAUUGUGCUUGUUCUUUAUUUUAUUUCCAAUUUCAUUUUAGCUGCGGUCCUGCUUCACCCACCAAUUUCCUAACAGUGGUAUCAGAGCUAUUGGUUGUAUUUUUGGAGUCGGGAACUGUUCACGUAAGGGGUACUAUUCACGUAUACGACACUAUUCACGUAUACUGUACUGUUCACGUAUACGGGUUUGUUCACAUAUACGGUACUGUUCACGUAUACGAUACUAUUCACGUAUACGGUACUAUUCACGUGAAACGGGGAAGCGAUCCAAGAAUUUUCCGGUGCAAAGCAGGGAAUAGUAGUGUGAGAAAAGCAACUGUGGUUUUGUACAUGUCUAGGAAAGUUCUGUCACAAAGGCGAUAAGAGCUUAAGGAGUCUGGGUUUUAAGUGGGACCAUUGUGACCCCUCCAGUCUUUCCUGGGAACUUUCCUGGUGUGCAUUCUCACACAUACUCACAACUAUUCAAGGUGGUAUACUAGCUUGUGUGCAGUAUUUAUCAACAAAAUGGCGGCAAAGUAUGAAAUUGAGAAGUUGAACGGAAAUAAUUUUUCGUUGUGGAAAAUGAAGAUGAAAGCUGUAUUGAGGAAAAAUAAUUGUUUGGCAGCAAUUGGAGAAAGGCCCAUGGAGAUAACUGAUGACAAGUGGAACGAGGUAGACGGUAACGCCAUUUCUGAUCUACACUUGGCACUUGCGGAUGGUGUAUUAUCUAGUGUGGCAGAGAAAAAUACGGCGAAGGAAAUAUGGGAUACUCUCACAAAAUUGUACGAGGCCAAGUCACUACACAACAAAAUCUUCUUGAAGAGAAAACUAUAUACUCUUCGAAUGGCGGAAUCUACAAUGGUGACCGACCACAUCAACACUUUGAAGACUCUAUUUUCACAACUCACAACGUUGGGUCAUAAUAUAGAGGAGAAUGAACGUGCAGAGCUUCUACUUCAAAGUCUACCAGAUUCGUAUGAUCAACUCAUCAUCAACCUGAUGAACAACAAUCCAGUGGAAAGUCUAGUUUUCGACAAUGUUGCAGCCUCCGUAUUAAAUGAGGAGAGCAGACGGAAAAAUAAGGAAAACAGACAAGCAAGUUCGCAGCAAGCAGAGGCGCUAUCGGUGACGAGAGGGAGAUCAACGGAACGUGGCCCCAGUGGGAGUCAAAGUUAUGGUAGAUCAAAAUCCAGAAGUAAGAAAAAUGUUAAAUGCUACAACUGUGGCAAGAAAGGGCACGUCAAGAAAGAGUGUUGGAGUAACCAGAAGAGAAGAGAGGGUAAAGAACCUGAGUCAUCAAAUGCUCAGGGGUGUGUAGCAAGUACCUCGGAUGAUGGCGAAAUUCUCUACAGUGAGGCAACAACUGUUUCAGAAGGCAGAAAACGACUUUCUGAUGUCUGGCUUAUAGACUCAGGAGCUACCUGGCACAUGACCUCUAGGAGAGAAUGGUUCUACACAUAUGAACCUAUCUCAGGAGGAUCUGUAUAUAUGGGUAACGAUCAUGCCUUGGAGAUCGCUGGUAUUGGUACUAUCAAAAUAAAAAUGUUUGAUGGUACAAUUCGCACAAUUGGGGAGGUACGACAUGUCAACGGCCUAAAGAAAAAUCUAUUGUCUUUAGGACAAAUGGAUAGUCAUGGGUACAAAACUCAUGUGGAGAAUGGAAUUAUGAAGAUCGUUAAAGGCGCGCUUGUAUUAAUGAAGGCAGAAAAGAUCAGUGCUAAUCUAUUCAUGCUUAAAGGAGAAACACUACAGGAGGCUGAUGCGUGUGUCGCGUCAAAUGGAGAAGAAUCAACGAUGAUGUGGCAUCUCAAACUCGGCCACAUGUCAGAACAAGGCUUGAAGAUUCUCUCUGAGCGAAAAUUGCUUCCGGGGCUCAAAUCAGUAAGUUUACCAUUUUGCGAGCAUUGUGUUAUAAGUAAGCAGUAUAGAUUAAAAUUCAGUAGAUCUAUUGCUAGAAGUAAAUGCAUUCUAGACUUGAUUCAUUCUGAUGUUUGGGAAUCACCGGAUAUAUCCAUGGGAGGUGCAAAGUACAUGGUGACUUUCAUUGAUGAUUAUUCCAGAAGAUGUUGGGUGUAUCCAAUUAAGAAAAAGUCAGAUGUAUUUCCUGUGUUUAAAGAAUACAAAGCGCGGGUGGAACUUGAAUCUGGUAAAAAGAUCAAGUGCUUAAGGACAGAUAAUGGUGGAGAAUAUACAUACGACGAGUUUCUUGCUUUCUGUAAGCAAGAAGGUAUUCAGAGGCAAUUCACGGUGGCAUACACUCCUCAACAAAACGGAGUAGCAGAGCGGAUGAACAGAACUCUUACAGAAAGAAUAAGAGCUAUGUUGAGGACUGCUGGUUUACCCAAUUCAUUCUGGGCAGAAGCAGCCAAAACCGCCUGUUAUAUAGUAAAUCGGUCGCCAUCUACAGCUAUUGGGUUGAAGACAGCGAUGGAGAUGUGGACUGGAAAGCCAGCUGAUUAUUCCUACCUACAUGCAUUUGGAUGUCCUGUGUACGUGAUGUACAAUGCCCAAGAAAGAACAAAGCUGGAUGCAAAAUCUAGAAGAUGUAUCUUCUUGGGGUAUGCUGAUGGAGUAAAGGGGUAUCGUCUGUGGGACCCCACUGCCCAUAAGAUCGUCAUCAGCAGAGAUGUUAUCUUUGUAGAAGAUCAACUACAAAGAAAAGAUGGAGAUGAUGGCACUGUAAAAGAAAAGUCAGAGACUGUACCAGUAUAUGUCGAAAAUAAUCUAGAAGAUUCAGAUUCUUCUGAAGCAGCACCAGAGCACGAGGAACAAGAACCAGUCGAGUCUGAGGCUCCAGAAGUUCGUCGGUCAACUCGUGAGAGACGACCACCGGCGUGGCACUCGGAGUAUGUCACAGAGAUCAACGUUGCAUACUGUCUUCUAACAGAGGAUGGAGAGCCUUCAACUUUCCAUGAAGCUUUAAACAACUUAGAUGUUGCUUUGUGGAUGACAGCAAUGCAGGAAGAAAUUGAAGCUCUACACAAGAACAAGACAUGGGAACUUGUACCACUACCACACGGAAGAAAAGCCAUUGGAAACAAAUGGGUCUACAAGAUCAAACGUGAUGGCAAUGACCAAGUGGACCGGUAUCGUGCAAGAUUGGUGGUGAAAGGAUAUGCUCAGAAAGAAGGUAUUGACUUCAACGAGAUAUUUUCUCCGGUGGUUCGACUCACAACAGUCAGAAUAGUCUUGGAGAUGUGUGCUACAUUUGAUCUACAUCUUGAGCAGUUAGAUGUUAAAACUGCAUUUCUUCAUGGAGAACUUGAAGAAGAAAUAUAUAUGCUCCAACCAGAAGGUUUUGCAGAAACAGGAAAGGAGAACUUGGUUUGCAGGUUGAACAAAUCUCUAUACGGUCUCAAACAGGCGCCGAGGUGUUGGUAUAAGAGAUUUGAUUCCUUCAUCAUGAGCCUUGGAUACAACAGACUCAGUUCAGACCAUUGUGCAUAUUACAAGAGGUUUGAAGAUAAUGAUUUCAUCAUUUUACUGUUGUACGUGGAUGACAUGUUGGUAGCAGGCCCCAACAAAGAUCAAGUCCAAGAAUUGAAGGCACAAUUGGCUAAGGAGUUUGAAAUGAAGGACUUGGGACCAGCAAACAAGAUUCUAGGGAUGCAAAUUCACCGAGACAAAAAUAACAGGAAGAUUUGGCUUUCACAGAAGAAUUACUUGAAGAAAAUCUUGCGGCGCUUCAACAUGUAAGAUUGUAAGUCAAUUUCUACCCCACUUCCUGUUAAUUUCAAAUUAUCCUCAAGUAUGUGUCCUAGCAAUGAAGUGGAGAGGAAGGAGAUGUCUCGAGUACCGUAUGCAUCAGCAGUGGGAAGUUUAAUGUUCGCUAUGAUAUGUACUAGACCAGACAUUGCACAAGCAGUGGGAGCAGUCAGUCGAUACAUGGCGAAUCCUGGUGGAGAGCAUUGGAUAGCUGUAAAGAGGAUUCUGAGAUACAUCAGAGGAACCUCAGAUGUUGCAUUAUGUUACGGAGGAUCAGAGUUUACUAUCAGGGGCUAUGUGGAUUCAGAUUUUGCAGGAGAUCUUGAUAAAAGAAAAUCCACUACUGGUUAUGUGUUUACACUUGCAGGAGCAGCUGUAAGCUGGGUUUCGAAACUGCAGAUCGUUGUGGCUUUANNNNNNNNNNNNNNNNNNNNNNNNNNNNNNNNNNNNNNNNNNNNNNNNNNNNNNNNNNNNNNNNNNNNNNNNNNNNNNNNNNNNNNNNNNNNNNNNNNNNAUAUUCUUGAUUAAUCCAUUUUCUGAAAUUUUUUAUUUUGUAUGGUCAAUUAUACCUUCAUACUAAAAAUUUCUGAUGUUAUGGGGUUGUUGGAUGUGUUUUGGAUAUUUGCAGCUAAGUUUGAGUUUAUAUCUCAACUUAAAAUUUGUAGUUUUCACUUGAAAAAAUUCAGUUAAAAAUUGAUUGGUAGAAUUGUGAAGAAGUUUAAAUUUUUAGUUCAACCCGAUUGCAUAUUUAAGAACAUCUCAAAUGAAUUGCUUACUGCUAUCAUCAUCAUAAUUGUCAGAGAUGGUUAAUUGAUAGACUAUGUGCCUGGGUCGAGCACUGGAAGCCUGCAAUGCAGACUGAUUGAUUUAUCAGUUUAACGUGUGCCAGGAAUGAAGAACUGGAAUAUCACCGUCAAGCAAGCACCCUGUGGAGCAAUACCAAAGAAUGCACAAUCCGGCUUUGCAAGGUGACACUGGAGGCUUUUUGAAAAGUGCUUCACGCUCACUUGCACAGAUUGAGCAUCCCCUCUGGAUAUUGCCCUCUCUGAUCGAGUCUGAGCACUCAAAUUUUGGUCCUCAGAGGGAGCUACAGUUUUCUCUCCAAUAACCAACAAUUUUCUAAACUCAGCACCUAGUGUGAUCAGAGUUGUUGAUAUUUAUAAAUGGAGAUCCCCAUAUUUGCAAGUGGAGACAUUUAACAAUUCACCAACAUGCUUCAUCCGGUGUACAAAAUUCUGCAGCUGAUUCAAAUCCGGAACCUGAACCAGAGUCGGAGGUAUAUCUUGAGCCAUAUCUAAAGUAGUUUGAAGUUCAAGACCUUGAGCCCUUGACAAUGGUUUUGAAAUUGGAACAUCUUGGAUUACUGCAGACUUGUACCCCUUGGUUUCAAAGGUAAGGAAAGGCAUUGCUUGAGUACAAUUUGGAGGCAGCUUCUUCACCAAUUUUAUUUGGAGGCGAUUGGCAGCGGAUCCAGCAGCACCAAUUUCAGAGCAAAUACUGACACUACUUCGAACAGCACACUGAAGAAGUGAUAUGUCUACGGCAAAGGCAAUGCAGUCCUCAUUUUGGCUUGAGAUGCAGUAAUCAUCGAAGAGAGUUUCCUUGUGAAACUGGGCAACACAUUGAAUCCCUUCGCCACUGAGAAGGUUGUGGAGGAAGUAAGCUUUCUCUCUAGUGAGGCAGAGGUGGCAUACCUUCCCCAUUUUGUCGAGGGCAGGUAGGAAUCUUUUUUCUAAGAGAUUUACUUCAUUCUCUGUGAGAAAUGCUUUGAACUUCAUCCCUCUGUCUCUAUCCUCACUUAUCAGGAAAUAAGUUGAAAGCACUACGAAGAGAGAGAGAGAGAGAGAGAGAGAAUUAAGAUAUAUAGACAAGAAAAAUAUUAGACGUUGAUCUUACAAACUAAUACUUCAAGCAGUAUCCUGGAAAGCUAAAAACUGCAAGAUGGCUUGAAAUUUGAAAAGAGCACGUGCUUUUCCUCCUUAACUUGAGAAAAUGUUUAAUAUAGUGCACCUUAUGGAAGCAUUUAAGCAAUUAGAACUUUGCACAAAAACAUCAAGAAGACUAAACAAGUCAGAUGCAGUGUAUUUGUCCAAGCACAAAUUGCAUUUUGUCCUCAACUUUAAUAUUUAUUGAUGAGAAUCAAUACAGGUCCCUCAUUUGUUAUAGAAAGCUUUCUUUCUUGUAGUCUCACCAGUUAAUUCACAGGUCUAUAAUCAUCUUGCAAAGUUAAGGGCAUUUCUUUUGAUCUAAAGUCUUUGCAUCACCACCUCAUCACACGCCAAGCCAAUAUUCCAUUUACCUCUACAACAAAAAGUUUUAAUUAAACAAUCCUAAUGCACGCAGCCAAAUAAAAUGCAGUAAGAAUAUUCAACUUAAAAAUCUGAAAGCCAACUUGGUGAAUUGCCUCCUUAGGUGAAGUUCCAUGCUUUACUAUAGUUGACAGAACUCAGCAAAAGCUUCCAUACAACAGAUUUUGAAAAUGAUGAUGCCAACAGAUACUCAUUCAAUCCAUUGAAACUCCAAAGGUUCAUUGUUCAUAGAAGUUUACAAAGUUUUGGUCAUCAAAUAGCUCAGACCUAAUCCCAAACAAAAAAAGAGUGAAAAUUAGAUCACGAGCAGCUAAUUGUAAAUUCUAACUUAACUCUUCAUCUCCUUUGUAAACAAGAAACAAAAUGGAGACACGCAAAAUGAAUAUGGAGAAAAUUUGAACUCAAAUGAAAUGAGGGCACGAAAGCAAACAAAUGGCAUGCACAAAAAAACCAAGCCUCAAUCAAAAACUAAUUAACCAUUAAGAAAAAAAUUGGUCAGACAAUGAACUCCAAAUUCAGGAGUCAAGCAAGAAGCUUUCAUUAUUUCAGAAGCUCCUGUACAAAUUAAUAAGUUAUGCUCUUUGGAAGCAAAACCAAAUUCCAAGAGAAACAGAACCCAAAAAAUUUGCAAUUAUUCGCAAAGGAAGUGAAGCACAGGAUUCUAUCACACAUAGGAAUUUUAUAACAAGAGAUCGAUAUAUCGAAUUAGAAAACUCAAUUCGAAUUUGUGUGAAAAAUCAAAAUUAGAAGAUUUCACAUUUCGAGAGGAACAAGCAACAGAUGAGUUUAAUUUCAGCCAUAACAUGCUAAAAAUGCUACACUUAACGGUUCCUUGUCAGCUAUUGAUGCGUUCGCUCANNNNNNNNNNNNNNNNNNNNNNNNNNNNNNNNNNNNNNNNNNNNNNNNNNNNNNNNNNNNNNNNNNNNNNNNNNNNNNNNNNNNNNNNNNNNNNNNNNNNAAGGGUCAUGUUCAAGCAGGAAAACUUCUAGAACAGGUAAGGAUUCCAUCUACAGACAUCCAUUGACAGCAGAUAUAUUUCAUUAAGCAGACACUGUUAGCAUUCAAGAUGCUGGCAGAUUCACUUGAUUCUUAUUAGUUUGUUUAGUGGCAAGGCAUAUAACCUGUAUUUCAAAGCCAAGUUGUGCUAUUGAUUAUGUUAACUUUAUUGUUAACAUUAAGUGAUUUGGAGGACAUAAUCAAUGUAGGAAAAUUAGGUGAAGAGAUGAUGUCAAAUCUUGAACCUCUUACAAAGCUCCAAGUUCUUUACUUGAAGAAGCUGCCAAAUUUGAAGAGCGUCUACUGGAAGGCAUUUCCAUUCCCAGAUGUAUGCAGAAUUUUUGUAUUAAUGCCCAGUUCUUAAGAAGCUGCCACUGGAUUUUCAUGGGGCGGGCCAAGGUAAAAUUCUUAUCAAGGGAAAGGAAGAUUGGUGGAAAGAACUUCAAUGGGAGGAUCAAGCAACUCAGAAUGCAUUGCUUCCAUUUUUCAAAUCAACUGACAAGUGAUUGAAGGGGGCAUCAUCAACAGAGAUGGAGAGAUUCUGGAGCAGAUCAGCAGGGUUUGUAUAUGAUCUUUGGUGGUUGCUUUCUUUUGUGAUUUUUUUUUUCUCAUUUUUUUACCUUCCUGUCAUUUUAUCAUUUCUUUGUCUCUUUUUCUAUUGCUGAUGUUAGUGUAUGCUUACUGUUGCUUGACAAAGUUUGCUUGCUUCUUGUUUAUUAAAUUUUUUAUGGUCACAAAAUAUUACUUGUUCUAUUUGAGAGUGAUGUGAAU
rnacentral:lncRNA from 1 species